rnacentral:lncRNA from 1 species
UUUUUUUUUCUAGUUAGGUAAUUUAUCAAUUCGAUCUCGAUUCUAACCUUCUUUUUCAGCCUUUAUCCACACCUUUAACCCAAGCCCCAUUAUAACCCUUUAAAGACCUUUUGAUUUGUGUAUCAUAUCAUUUUAUAGUGGUGGAGAUUUAAUUUUCAUGCAAGCCUAUUGUAAUGACUUUUCAUAAUUGACUUUUGAGUACUUAAUUUUUGAACCUUAAACACUUUGAGUGAUUUGAGUGAAUCUUUAGUGAGGAUGUAAAAUCUUGUCGAUUUUGAAUUAAAGGUAAUUACUUAGAUAAGGGGAGAUACCUAUGUUUUCAUGUCUUAAAAAAUGUGUGACUCGGAUUGUUUGAAUCUUUAAGGCUCUUUUAGUUGAAUUAUCAAUGUGUGAUUAUUUGUGAAUUAUGAAAAAACAUUAUUGAUGAGAAUUACAAGUUGAGAAAGAUUAAUUUUAAUUAUGAGUUGAGGAUUUUGCUUGAGGACAAGCAAAUGCUUAAAUGUGGGGAUAUUUGAUAAGCCAUAAAAGUAACAUGUUUUUAAUCUCAUUCUUGAUGUGUUUUUGGAUGAUUUAUUAUAUGAAUUAGUGAAUUUGAUGCUCCUAAUCUUUUAAAUUCAUGUUUCUAUACUUAAGUGAGCAUAGGGGAACGAAAGGAGCAAAAAACAAGCCAAAAUCGGCAAAAAGAGUUGUUUCCAGGAUUCACAUAGCCUGGGCAUUUCCAUACGGGCUGGCCACACACCCAUGUGAGCCACACAGGCUGGCCACACGCCCAUGUGCCAGUUCGUGUCGAUUUCGCACCCUACUUCCCUGUUACGCGAAAAAAACCCCAAUUUUUAGGGUUUCUGAGCAUUCUAAAGUCUAUAAAUACACACUAGAAGAGGACCUAAGGGGAUAGACAGAGCUGAACAAAGAAAAGACUCGAAGAACACCAAUAUAUUCAACUCAGAAGCAGGAUCUCCUUCAAAAUUGAAGAUUUCCAUUCAAUUUCUCUCGAAGUUUUUGGAUUUCUUUAUGUUUUCUUGUUUUCCUAAUUUUGAGAUGUUUUCUUCCAAAAGUAUGAACUAAAUUUCCUAGGAUGAAACCUAAGAUAGAUCUUAUUAUUUGAUUUUUCUGAAUUACAUGAUAAAUAUUUGUUCUUGAUCUCAAUUAUGUGUUCUUAUUUCAUGUUUUAAUGUUUUCAGGAUAUUAAUUCAUGAUUGAUGUGCUUAUUCAAUGGAGCAAAAGUUUCUGUUUAAGAGUAUCUGACAUAAUUGAGUUGAGUUGCAUGCAAUCCUAGAAAUAGGACGACAUAAAUCUACCGGAUUAGAGUCAAAUCUAAUAGGGGAAUCCAUAGAUCGAGUUAAUGCGACAAUAUGGGUUUUAAUUAGAAAGAGAUUUCAAUUAAUCAACCUAGAGUCAGUUAUUGUAAUCAACCUAGAGUCAGUUAUUUUUACUCUCGAAAGGGAUAUUAAUAUAAUUUAGGGAUUUCUACGUAUCAAGGUAAAUGAAUAAAUCGUUUAAUUCAGAUUUAGAAUAAUAAGUGAAGUCUAGUCUAGGUAGAUUCUUUCUUGGGUAUUGUCUCUCUCCUCGGUUUUCUUCAAUAUUUUCCUACUUUAUUCUCUGUUUAGUUCUUAGUAAUUAGUUAGUUAAUUUUAGAUUAAACAAAUCCCUUCAAUUUUAUAGGCUAGAUAAUAAAAAGAUAGUAAUUACUAGUACUUUUAGUCCUCGUGGAUACGAUAUUCCUGACUCACUAUAGCUAUACUACCAUUCAAUAGGUACGCUUGCCUUUGUCGUAUUUUAGUUAGUUUAUGACAUCAUCAGUCAUCAUUUGUACCGAGUCAUCAUAUUCAAUUGAAGUUAGUUUCUGAUUUUGUUCAAGAGGUGUACUUGUUGGUUUUGCUUCUCCUAACCCCACAUCAGCUAUCGAUUCCAACGCAUACUUUCAUUGAUUCAACACAAUUUCUUCACGUGAUCGAAUCACCUCUAUCAUAAGAAAAUAUUUCAAUGCACCUAAAUCUUUUCAUCUUAAAAUUUUGGUACAGGACCUUUUUUAACUCAUUUAUCAUACCAAUGUCACUCCCUAUGAUUAAUAGAUUAUCAACACAAACAAGUAAGAUGACGAUGUUACCCCCUUGUCAUUUGGAAAAUAAGGAAUAAUCAUAUUUACUUUGUAUGUAACCUCCUUGCAGCAACGCCUCGAUGAGCUUUAAAUUCCAUUGUCUAGAAGCUUGCUUCAUGCCAUAAAAUGAUUUGAGCAGACAACACACCUUGUGCUCCCCCUGUAUGCAAAAACCAUCCGGAAUAUCCAUAUAAAGCUCUUUACACAAAUCUCUUUGUAGAAAAGCAUUGUAAACGUCCAUUUGAAAAAAAGGUCAGUCAUGUAUGGCAGCUAGACUAAUAACAGUCUGAAUGAUAACAUGCUUAACAACAGGGGAGAAGGUCUCUUGAAAAUCAAUACCAGCCUACUGAUUAGAUCUUUUCCUAACCAAUCAAGCUUUAAACCGUUCAACAGAGUCAUUAGAGUUAUACUUGACCUUAUAUACCCAUUUGCAUCCAAUAGGAACUGCACCAAUAGGUAAAGAAACAACCUCCCACAUACCAUUAGCUUCUAAAGCCUAAAUUUCUUGUUGCAUAGCAUCAACCUACAUUGGAUCCAAAAUGGCCUCAGCAUAUGUUCGGGGUUCAAUUAAUGAAGAAAUAUAGGCUGCAAAUAACUGAGUGUAAAUAGGUAAAUGUAAGGAAGAAUAACCAUUAGAAAUAGGAUAUGAACCUGUAACAAGAGAAGUUGAAGAUUGGUUGGAACAGAUGUAAUCUUUCAUCCAAGCAGGUGUCUUGACAGACCGUGUGAUACGAUGUAGAGGGGGAAGAGAAACUGGUGCAGAUGGUAAGGUCAGAGAAGAAGAAGGUACUGGAACAUUAGGUGAGGGUAAAUAUCAGAUAGGGAUAGAAGACAAAGGCUCAAGAUGAAGAAAAUUGGAACUAUCAUCCAUAGGAAAAAACAUAGAAUUUUUUGUAGGAAAUGCAAAAGGAAAUACUGUCUCAUGAAAACUAACAUCACGAUUAACAAAGAAAUUUUUGGUUUCAAGAUUGAAUAACAAGUAACCUUUCUGAAUAGGAGAAUAGCCCAUAAACACAGAUGGAAUAGUCUUAAGAGAAAAUUUAUCAUGAUAAUUAGGUAUAUAGCAUAACAAAGACAUCCAAAAACCUUUAAACAGGAAAGAUUUGGAGGUUUUCGAUAUAAUAUUUCAAAAGGACUCUUCCAACGCAAAAUAGGAGUAGGGAGUCGAUUUAUUAAAAACAGGCAGUUAACACACAUUCACCCUAAAAUUUACUAGGCGUAUGAGACUGAAAUAUAAGUGACCUAGCAACAUCAAACAAAUGUCUAUAUUUUCGCUCAGCAACUCCAUUUUGCUAAAGAGUGUGAACACACGAGCUUUGAUGUAUGACACCUAACAUAGUAAAAAAUUCAUUGCAUUCGGUUUUAAAAAAUUCAUACCCAUUAUCGUUGCGAACAAUUUUGAUACUAGUGGAAAACUGAUUUUUAACCAAAGCAAAAAAUUGUUUAAGAUAUACAAAAGCAUCACUUUUAUAUUGUAAAAAAUAUAUCCAUGUCAUCCUUGAGUAAUCAUCAACAAUAGUUAAAAAAUACCUAUGGCCACUAUGAGUAGAAACUCAAUAGGGUUCCCACAAGUCUAAAUGAAUAAGGGAAAAAAUAGAAUCGACACGAGACGUUCUUAUGGGAAAUGAAAGUCUAGUUUGUUUAGCAAGAGGACAUAUAGGACAUUUGUGUAUGCUAUCACUAUUCGAGACUAUACAUGGAAGGUUAGGCACCUUAUUCAAUCUUGAAACCGAAGCAUUCUAUAGCCUAGUGUGCCAAAGAAACAAUGGUUCAACAGCUGUAAUAAAAGCAACAAAUGGAGUCGGAUCCACACUAGUCUGUCGAGACGAACCUAGGAUGUAAAGACCACCUCGCUCUUUACCAAUCCCCCUUAUCUUUCCACUUGAGAGAUCAUGUAUAAAGCAAAAUUGAGGAUAAAACGAGACAACACAAUUAAUAUCAAUGGUAAGUUUAGAAAUAAAGAGAAGGUUAUAAUGGAAAUUUGGAACAUAUAGGACUUUGGUAAGUUGAAGACCAGGUAAAACAGUACAUGUACCAACAUGAGAAAUUGAAACAGAAGAGCCAUUUGGGAGUUGAACACAAGAUGAAUGCAACGCACAUGCAACAAGAGAUUCUAAGAAUUGAAAAUAAAAAAGUAUGUGGUCAGUGGCUCUAGUAUCUAUAAUCUAAGUAUGACCAAUAUUAACCAUACCUGCUAGACUUGCAGUAGCUUCAACUGUGGGCUCCUUGUUCAGCAAACUCAAGAUUUGAUGAUACCGUGCUUGAGCAAAUACAUGUGCUUGUGGACAAGAGCUAUUACUAGUCAAUUCAUUGCCAUUCACAGAAUCAAUGACAAAAGCAUUAUUCACUACAGAUCUAGAACCAUUGUUUGCCUUUUUCUUAGUAAACUUGAAAUCUGCAGGAUAGCCAUCUAAUCUUGCAAUGAUCACAUGUACCAGUAAACCGUUUCUUUUGUACCAUGUGUGCUGAGUGAAAAGAGACUAGAUCAGACCCAACAUCUCCAUAGUUAUGUUGCCUCUGUGACUCCUCUUGCACAAGCAUUGAGUAUGUGUGAUUAACAGACAGUAACGGGUUUAUUAACAAAAUUUGGCUUCGUACCGCAUUAUAUGUUUCAUUCAAACCCAUUAAAAAUUGAAAUAGACGUUGUUGCAAAAGAUGCUCAACAUUCAGUCUGGAUUGAGCACACCCACAUGAAGAAGACGGCAAAAGAGCAUCAUAUUCAUCCUAGAGCAAUCGCAACUUAGUAAAAUAUACAGAGAUGGAAGUAGUACCUUGAAAAUGCGAGAUGAUUUCACGAUGCAAAAAAUAAAUUCUUGAGCCAUCAAUUUUGUGGAGCCGUUCACUAAGAUCAUUCCAGACCACUGCUACACUAGAUGCAAAAAUAAUCCUUGCCGAAAGUUCUUUGCUGACAGUAUUCAAAAUCCAAGAUAGUACAAUAACAUUACACCGCUCCCACUGAUAACCCAUUUCAUCUGGCAAUGAAUCUUUAGAAUAGGUGCCGUCCACAAAUCCCAAUUUGUUUUUGGCCAACAACGCAAUUUUCAUUGUCCGGCUCUAGACUUUGUAAUUCUCAACUCCGAGCAACUAGUGAGACACCAACAAGGCACCUUGAGUAUCAGAUUUGGGCCAGUGAAAACCAACCAAAAAGAGGCCCGUUAAUCAAUUUGUAGAGCCCAAAACAACAAAAGAAAAAACAACCAGCAGCUAUAUCUGUCAACAUCAGCGAUGGGAAGGAAAAAAGGACGACUGGAAGAACGAAAAUUAUGAAUGAUCGGAAAAACCAAUCAUUGACCACCGGAAACAUAGCGAUCACUGGAGCUCUGAAUACCAUGUUGAAAACCGAUCAAGAAUUCAUUGAUGAAAAAAUAACUGUAUGUACAUCCAUGAUGAAUCAAUCCCGCUACUUAAUUUGUCAGUAUUUAUAAACUGUGUGCUAACCAACCUAUCUUAUACAAACUGAUUCUAACUAACCAACUAACUACUUGCUUAUUUCACAACAGGCAUGGACUUCGAUUUGCUGGCACUUUAAUCAAAGCUGGCAUUGCAUUUGCAGCUGCUGCAAGUGAUAAUCAUAACAAUUCAAAUGGUUUUCAAGAUUCAUCAUUUGCUGCAAUAUCUGGGUGGAUUCCAUGUCUGUUUGUGAAUCAUUUAGACCCCAUAUGUUCUGGAUAUAUUGGUUACUUCAAGCAUAGGAAAAAGAUUGAAGACAUUGGAGCUGGGGGUCUUGCAAGGCUAACAAGCCAGCAUUCACUAGGGAAUAUGGCAAUGAGUGCAGUGGGAAUAAAGGGUAUUGACACUACGGAACCACUUCAUUUGCUUCCUUCGGCAAAUCUGACAGUGAAUCUCUAUCCUUGCCAAGAUAUGAUUUCUGCUCAUGAGCUUCAUCAAUGGUGGAGGCCUGAUCUGAACUUGAGUUGCAGUGUUUACUAGUACAAAUAGUUUGUCGCUGUCAUGGCUGCUGCUUGAUCUGCCAUCGGUUAUUCGGGGAAUGUAUUAAUAUUAUUACAGGGUUUACAACUAUAAGCUUUCAAAAAAAAAAAAAAAGAAAUACUGGCUUGUAGUAAAUCCUAAAUAAAUUUCCUAGAAUUUAAGCCUUAGUCUGGCCUGCCUUUGCUUGCUUUGUAUUAAGAUUGUAUAAGUUUAAUGGAAAUGGUGAUAAAAAAGCCUUUUGUAAUUUAUGUAUUUAUUUUUUUAUAGUGAGGUAUUCCGGAAGUAGUUUAUAGUUAAUUUAUUUAGGGGUUUCUUUCCUUUAUUUUACUAAAAAAGAAGCAGCCUUUUGUAUGUAUAUUAGCCAAAAGCUAGAGUGUGUAAGAAAGGGAGUUUUCAAAGGAUUUUUCGCAUUUAAACUUUAAGUUAUUAUAAUAAUAACAGUCUUCAACUCAUGCCACCACUGAAGAAAUUAAUAUUUAUAAAAUACACAAGGCAAUGUAGUUGGUAAUGAUCUUCAUGAUUUGUUAUCGGUUUCUUUACCUGAGGGAGCAACUGAGAUCUCACUAAGGGAAUUAAAGCCUCUAUGUUUGAUGAAGGUAGUGAGAAAAAAGUACGAAGGCUUGAUGGCUUCACUUCACAUUUCUUUUAAUUUGCAUGGCAUAUAGUUGGUAAUGAUCUCUCUAACGCGGUUAAGUACUUUGUUGAGUGCUUGACGAUGCUUCCAGCUUUUAAUGCUCCUACUGUUGUCUUAGUCUCUAAAGUGUCUAAAUCCUAAUCAUGUUUAAGGAUUUUAGACCAAUCUCUUGUUCUUCAGUAGUGUACAAGUGUGUCACUAGAUUUCUGGUUAAAAGGAUCACUUCUUUUCUCCCUGAUUUGAUUUCCGCUAAUCAGAGCGCUGUCAUACAAGAAAGGUGUAUGACUGAUAAUACCUUGUUAGCUUAGGAGAUUGUAAGAGGUUAUAACAGGAAGAACUUGUCCCAUAGGUGGGCAAUGAAGGCGGACCUGCAAAAAGCUUUUGACACACUCAAUUGGGGGUUUUGUGCUUGAUGUUUUGACUGCCAUGGGAUACCUAGAUCUUUUUGUAGGGUGGAUAAGAGCAUGGCAUCACUACUCCAAUAUUUUCUUUCUAAAUGGUGGUCUGGUAGGAUUUUCAAAGGCAUUAGAGGCAUCAGUCAAGAGGCGCACUGUCCUCUUAUCUAUUUAUUAUUGCCAUGAAUGGGUUAUUUAAAAUGCUGGAUGUGGUAGUCAAGGAGACAAUCUAUUGAUAUUUUUGAAGGGUACUAUGGGCUCAAUUGUGGGUAUUAAAAGCGUCCUUGACCAAUUUUACAUUUUGUCUACGCUGCAACUUAAUGCGUCAAAAGUGAUUGGUAUUUCUCAAGAAGAAUCGGAUUCAAUUCAUCAUGUCACUGGAUUUCAGAUAGGGAAGCUACCUAUACGGUACUCGAGGGCACCCCUUGUGACCAGAAGGUUGACAAUAAGGGUCUGUUCUCCUUUAUUGGAGAAGAUUUCUGCUCGUAUUUCUUCUUGGAUGCAGGUAGAGUGUAGCUUGUUCAAUCGGUAAUCUUUCAUGUUCAAAAUUUUUGGUAUAGGCAAUUUAUUUUGUCAAAAGUUGUACUCCAACGUAUUAAUCAGAUUUACGCCUGCUAUAAUUUUGGAAAGGGAAAGAUGGGGCGACAAAGGGAGUAAGGGCAAGUUGGGGAGAAAAUUGUAAGCCCAAAUCCGAAGGGGGACUUGGUUUAAAGAAUCUUGAGAUAUGGAUCCGUGCUAAUAUGAUGUUAGCAUAUCCAAGCUACUUUGGCUAGCGAGGGCUCGCUUUGGAUAGCUUGGAUGCAAGCUUAUAUUUUAAAAGAUUAAUAGUUGUGACAGGUCACGGUGAAUGAUCUUGGGGUUGCGAAAGGAAGCUAGUUCUUGCUUAUACUUGGUAGGUCAAUGGUGAAUUGCCUGUGAAAAAGAACUGGGUCGAAAUUAGAAUGGAAGAAGGUAAAAUCCCUUGGCAUGAAAUUCUUCAGCAUCCACUACAUAUAUCGAACCAUUCUAUUGUUGCUUGGAUGGCGAUCCUGAACAGGUUACCACCCAAAGAGAGACUUCAGUCCACGGGGCUUAAUAUUAACACUUGCUGCAAAUUGUGUAGUGGGCUGAGGAGACAAGGGAUCAUCCGUUUUUUGAUUGUGAGUUCUCAAAGGAAGUUUGGGGAGCAGUUCUUAAGGUUUGCAAUAUUAAUAGAAGGCUUAGUUGUUAGAAUCAAGAACUCACGUGGUCUAUCACAUAAAAAGGGGAAAUUGACAAUGAUUAAAAAUAUUGUACCCAUACCUACUUUCUUUAAAUUUAAUGAUAUCAAUAUGCAAAAUAUCAUAUAUUAAAGUCUUAAGCAUAAAAGAAGGAGGAGCGUUCUAAGUAACACGAUGUGCAUAGAACAAGGUGUAUUAGUAAGAUCAUGAAUUACCUUAUUUAUAUUUUAAAAUGUGUUUAUUUGAAAAUUUUAAAAGUGAUCUUUGAAAAAAAAAUGAAAAUAUGUGAAAAUUAAAAAAUAAAAAAACUGUUUUCAUAGUUUUCGCUAAAACUAGAAAAAUGAUUUUCACCAUAAAAAGUAAAAUUUUCAAAGAGAUUUUAUUUUUAUUUUUUUUAAUUUUUAAAGAGGUUUUAUUUUUAUUUUUUUAAAAAGAGGUUUUAUUUUUAUUUUUUUAACUUUUAAGAAUCAAAAUUAAAUUGAUAGAAUAUGUAAAGUUAAACGCUAAAUUUAUUGAUUGUUUUAGAAUUUUGACCAAAUUGAUAGAAUCUGUAAACAUUUGGAGGCUAAAUUUAUUAUUAUAUCAUAAGAAAAGGUCACAUCAAUGUUCUGUUAAUGAUUUAAUGAAAUAGUGACCAAAACAUCAAAUGUCGAUAACUAAAAUAAAAUUUUGUGAACCUAAGUGGCUAAAAUAAUAACACGUUAAUAAUUGAGUAACUAUUAUAAGAAUUUUACGAAAAAUACAGUAAUUUGAGAUGAAAAUUUAUAACAGUCAAAAACCAAAUUUAAUUAAAAAUAAUUAUAUAACCCAAUUAAACUAAAUUUCAUAAUUUGUGUGUUAGCCUUAUUUUGACACAUCGCUUCAUGUAGAGAUGCAUUUUGUAUUUGCAUAAGAACAUUACUUUCCCCCUUUUUUUUUUAUUUGAUUCUAGUUUCAAUUCUUCCUCGUUUAUUCUACUAUAAAAUUGUUUGAAAGGUCUAUUUCGAAAUUCCGUAGAAUAAUUUUAUUAUAGAUUCUGAUCAUAUUUGUAUCUUUUGACAUAAUGUUUAGAAUUACCUAUAAUUCUUACUCAACUCAUAAAUAAGAGGAUAAUACGAUUGAAGUACACUCGAACCAAUGUCUUCUUACAUUGACAAUAAUACUCAUACAAAUCGAACUAAGACUCAAUUGACCUUUAUUCAUAAAAUUAAAAACCAAAAAAAAAAAUGGAAAUAAAAGUAACAUUACAUUAACUUAAAGGAAAAGUAUAUAUGCCAAAGAAGACAUAAUGCAAGCCUUCCACACGACAUUUCUACAUCGUCAUAUGCCCCAUGUCAUAUUAUAUUCUUUAAAUUUUCUCUCUUCAUAUAAAGUAAUUUUGUUCUCACUCAUCCAAUAUUAUCGAAGAUUAGUAAAUGUAAAAUUCCAAGUUUAAUUCAAUUUCUUCAUGUAAUAUAUGAAAUUAAUUUAUAAAUUUAAAUUUAAUUUUUAACAUUUAUAAUAUAUAUUUUUUUAAAUUUUCGACAUAGACUUGCAUAUGAAAAAUAAAUAAAUGUAUCGAUAAUUUAUAAUUAAUUAUUUUCUCUAUUUAUUUUCUAAUAUUCUUCGAGGUUGAUGUCAUGUGCAUAAUCCUAUGGUUCCAAAAAAGGAAAAAAAAGUUUUAGAUAAAGAAUUGAUAACUCAACUAUUCUUUAUGUAUGCUUUUAAAAAAAAUUGUAUAUAUACAUUAUACUAAUUGACACAUUAAUUAAUGUAUAUAUACAUGAAACGAGAAAAAGAUAGAACCGGAAAAAAAAGUAAUUGUCGACAACAAUUUUGCUUAUAAUAUUGCUAUUAAAAUAAUAAAAGAAAAUGAGGAUCUUUAACCUAAAUCUACUAAGGAAUGUAAAAAUAGAAAAGAUUGGCCAAAAUAGAAAGAUGCAAUUCAAGUAGAAUUGAGUUCACUUUCUAAAUGUGAUGUUUUUGGACCAGAAGUCCAAACAUCUAAAGGUGUAAAAGCCGGUAGGAUAUAAAUGGGUAUUUGUGUGAAAAAAAAAUGAAAUUGAUAAAGUCGUAAGAUAUAAAGCUCGCCUUGUAGCACAAGGAUUUUUGCAAAGGCCCAACAUUAAUUAUGAAGAGACAUAUUCUCCUAUGGUGGAUGCAAUCAAGUUUAGAUAUCUUAUUAGUUUGACAGUACGUGAAAAACUUGUCAUGCAUCUAAUGGAUGUUGUUACAUCCUAUUUAUAUGGUACAUUUGAUAGUGAAAUUUAUAUGAAAAUCCCUGAAGGAUUUAAAAUCCCGAAAAGAUAUAGAGUUUCUUGAUAGAAUUGCUCGAUCAGAUUAAAGAAAAGUUUAUAUGAAAUAAAACAAUCUAGACGUAUGUGGUACAAUCUUCUUAAGGAAUACUUGUUAAAAGAAGGUUACAAAAACAAUCCAAUUUGUCCAUGUGUCUUUAUAAAAAGAUUUGGAUCAGAUUUUGUGAUAAUUGUUUUUUAUGUUGAUGGACUAAAUAUUAUUGGAACUCCUGAAGAGCUUCAAAAUACAAUAAAUUGUUUAAAGAAAUAAUUUGAGAUGAAAGAUCUUGGAAAAAAAGUUUUAUCUUGGAUUACAAAUCAAGAAUUUAAAAUAUGAAAUUCAUGUUCAUUGAUCAACUUAUAUGGAAAAUAUAUUAAAGAAAUUUUACAUGGAUAAAGCAUACCCAUUAAGUACUCCAAUGGUUGUACGAUCGUUAGAUGUGAAUAAAGAUCAAUUUCGUCUUUACGAGAAUGAUGAAGUGUUUCUUAGUCUAAAGUGUCAUAACUAAGUGCCAUAGGGGCAUUGAUGUGUCUUGCAAAAAAUACAACACUUGAUAUAGCUUUCGUUGUAAACUUGUUAGCAAGAUUUAGUUCUUUUCCAACAUGUAGACAUUGGAAUGGAAUUAAACAUGUAUUUAGAUAUUUCAGAAGGACCAUUGAUAUGGGGUUAUUUUAUUCAAAUGAUUCAAAAUCCCUAUUGGUUGGCUAUGUUGAUGUUGGAUACUUAUUAGAUCCACAUAAAGUUUGAUCUCAAACAAGAUAUUUAUUUACAUGUGGGGGUUGUAAUGGCCUAAAUUCAAAGUUAUCGAAAUAGUAGUUUCGUAACCACAAAUCCAAUUUAAAGAGAUAUUUAUUUCAAUAUUUUUACAUGAAAAUUAAUAUGAUAGGAAAAUCGUAUGAAAAUAUGAAUAGAAAAAUUUUACCGAUUUAGGGGUUAGUUAGAAAAAGAAAUUAUUGAAGAAAUUGGGUAAAAUAAGGUAUCGGGACCUCUAUCUCGUAAAACCGAGUUGAAAAUAAUUUUAUAAAUAUUUAUGAAAUGUUAGUAAUGUGGUAUUAAAAUUUCGUUAGGAAAUUUUAAUGUUUGGGUAGUUAAUUAAAUAAAAAGGACUAAAUUGUAAAAGGUGUAAAAAUGGAUGGGAUGAUUAAAUAGCUUAAGUGUCUAAUGAGAGAAGAUUUAAAAGGAAAUUAUACCCAAAAUUUAUUUGGGCUGGACGGCAAGGGCAUGAAAUCAGCAGGAAAAUUGAUGAAUUAAGGGCAAAAUUGGAAUAUUGCAAAAUUAACUAAAUAAAGCUAGGACUAAAUAGGAAAUAUCUAGAUUUCUCUUCAUUUUUCUUCAUUCUUAUCAGCCAAAACGCCAUAGGAGGGGUUCUCUAAGCUGUUAUUUCAUAAUUUUUGCACCAAGUGAGUUAAUCCUUGCCUUUUUCUUGUAAUUUUUGUGUUUCUAAAACUUUUACAACUAGGUCCUACUAUUAAAUUCAUUAGUUUUUUAUUUCAUGGAUGAAAUUUAAAGUCACCAUGGUUGAUUACUGUAAUUUUAUGAUGAAAUAGCAUGAAAUUUAAGCUUUAAUUUGUUUAUAAAAUGAUUUUAUUAGGUAAUUUCAAUAGAAAUUGAUUUCUAGGACCUAAUUGUGAAAAUAUUUGGAAUUAAAGUCUAUUGCUGAAAUUCUGAUUGCUAAAGGCUGUAAACUAGUUUAAGGUGAUAGAAUACAAUGUUAAUUGAGAAAAAUCAGCUCAAUUGAGAGGCUAAUUGAGUAGGGACUAAAUUAUCAUUUAUUAAAAGCCUAGCGGAAAAAUGGUAAUAAACAGCUUGCACUAAAACAAUUUUGGACAGCAGCAGUAGAUUAACUUUGAAAAAUCAACAUAAAUUUUAUAAAUUUAAUUAGAAGAUGAAAAAAAUAUGAAAUCAAAUCUUAUUGAGUGUAGUUUCUCAUAGAAGAAACGGUGUAAGCAAUGGAUCUGUAAAUCAUGAGAUAUAAUGAAUUUUGUGAGACAAUGUCAGAAUGAAUUCGGAUUUCCCUGUUUUGACUUUGAAAAAUCAUAAAAAAAUUUAAUAAAAAUAAUUAGGGACUUAAAUUUAUAUGUUUAGAAUCCUGAAUGAGUCUAAUUUCAAGAAAAAUAAACGAGAACAUCAUCUGAAUCUUGUAUGAAGAGAUAAUUAAUUUUUAGUGAAGAAGGGUCAGAACUGUCAGACAACAGAACAGUGGUGAAUUUAAAGAAUAAACUGUACUUAUUGGCUAAACCAAAAAUUCUGAAAAUUUUCUGGUAAGAAAAUAUGUGAGUCUAGUUUCAGGGAAAAUUAUCGGAUCCUAAUUUGGAGUUCUGUAGCUUAAGAUAAAAAUAAUUUAGUGACUAUGACUUAAGUAGAUAGCUUUGAAUAAACUAUAAAUAAUAAUAAUGAAAUUAUAGAAAAUGUUGCAUAUGAACAUGAAAUGUAUUAAAUUGAUAAUUAAAUUUAUUUAUUUAGAUCCAGAAGAUUCAAAUACGAAGCUAGACCGAGGAAAGGAAAAAGUUCAGGAUUAGUAGAUUUUUACACACGAACAAGUAUCAAGGUAAGUUCAUGUAACUUGAAUUAUAUUCUUAAAUACUUGAAAUGUAUGUUAUUGAUGUGAAUAUGAUUUGAAUGUUCAUCGUAUGAAAAUUGAUAAAACAUUGAUAUAUUUGAUAAAAAUGGGAAGAAAUCCCGGUUGAAUGGAAGGAAAAUUUGAUGGAUCUCUGAGAAGGAAUUGACGGUAAAAAGAAUCUAGCCUGGACGGGUGAUCCUAUCCUGAUAUAGCCCUCCCGAAGAAUAUGUGUAAAAUGGAUCUGGCCCGGACGGGUAAUCCGAAUUAGGGUUUGAAUUUAGCCUGGACUAGUAAUUCAGAUCCAAGCUCUUUAGAGUAAUUGUCAUUGCAGGAGAUUUAGCCUGAACUGGUAAUCCCGACAAUACUCUAUGAGUUUAUAUUGCAAGGGAUUUAGCCUAGACUGGUAAUCCCGCUGCAAGGUUAAGGUUCGAGGGAGUGUGCUCUCUAAAAUGGAAAUGUGUGCACAUAUAUACGAAUUGAUGGUCUCAAAAAUUGUACGGUAAAAGUGUACCUCUGAAAAAAUCCAUCGAAAUUUCGAGAAAUUCAAUGGGAUAAAUAUGAAAAAAUAACAAGGGAAUGGAAAUCAUGGUAUUAAUGAGCUCAUCAAUCAUGAUAUAUGUAGAAGCCCAAAUUGCCCGGGCCCUUAAACAACCCAUCAGCCAACCCUUACCCAAACCCCAAUUACAUCAAAACCCAACUAAACCUACCCAACAACCCACUAACCCAACUAAACCUACCCAACAACCCACUAACCCAAAACUAACCUUAGCCCAAUACCAAACCCAAAACAAAUAACAAAAAAAAAACCCUAAAUCAGCUACUGCCCCCUUUGCCACCGCCGCUUCUGUCCCAUCACCUCUGUCAGCCCCAUUCCACCGUUCAACCAUCACCUGCAAGACAAAGAGAACACGCAAGCAGUAAAAACAGAUUAGAGAAGCAAUGUAGACGGCUAUAUAAGCCGAACAAAGUAAUGUAAAAGGGGAUUUUUUUUCAGUCAUUUUCGAUCAAUACAAAAUGAUUUAAACACAAACACAAACAGUAAUCCGAGGGAAAUCAAAAGAAUACUAGGAUAACACCAAAUGAGGCGACCAAAAUACCAAAACCACAACCGAGAACAUAAAGUGAUUUUAAAUUUAUUAUUGUUUUGUUUCGGGUCCAUUUUCUCACAUAUAUAUACAUAUAAAAAAACAUAAAAAAAUAAUACAAAAAGGUACCUUUUCGAUUUUUCGGCCACCACCAGCGGUGACCGACGACGGCGUCUGACGCGACGGCGACCGGCCAGUUCUUCACCAGAUUUCUGAAUGGCAGAGAGAAAAGGGGGGAAAGAAUUCAUUUUUUUUAGUGAAGAGGGGAAAAUGAGAAUUUUUGCCAAAUUUUUGACUUAUAUAAUGGCCCCAUACGACGCCGUUUUGAGGAUGGGUUUCAGAGGCCAAAACGACGUCGUUUUAGCCUCUGACCCGAAACCUGACCCAAGGAAGUCCAGGAUUCGCGUGUUUUUGGACCAAGGGUCUAUUUGCACCCUUGGUCCUUCCGCUUUUGAGGCCGUCUUAAUGUGGUCCCAUUAUGUUUUUUUUUUCCUUUUUUCGAUUUUUCCCCAGAAUUUAAUUUAUGUUUCAUUUUAAUCCCCAUGUGAACUGCAUCAUUUCGGAAAUGGGAAUAUUUUUCCUAUUGAUUCCUACCCUCUCCUGCGUGUUCGUAUUUGGUCCUUUAUUAUUUUUCAAAUUGGGCCUGAACUUUUAUUUUAGGUUCGUUCCAGUCCUGUUUAUUAUAUUCAAUAUUGUAAUUGAAUUAAUUGGUUUAGUGUUAUUAUAUUAUUCCACUAUUAUUACCUAAUAUGUAUCAUCAUCAUUAUUCUACUCUAUUAUUGUAAAACGUAUUGUUAUUAUUAUUAUAUACGUACAUGUUUAUAUAUUUUUAUAGCAUUAUUUUAAUUACUUCAUUUUAAUAUUAUUAUAUUAUAUUUACUUUUUAUAUUUCUAUAUUAUUAUUAUUAUUAUUAUUAUUAUUAUUAUUAUUAUUAUUAUAUAGUAGUGUAUAUUUUUUAUUAUCUAUGUAUAUGCAUAUGCAUUCAUAUAUAGUAUUUUUUUAAUUACUUUAUCAUUUUUAUUAUAUUAUAUUGUUCUUUUUUUUUGUAUUUUGAUAUUAUUACUAUUAUUAUUAUCAUUGUUGAUAUAGUGAAUGUUUUUGUUAUAUAUGUAUACAUAUAUGUAUUUAUAUAGUAAUAUUUUUAAUUACCUUAUUUUAAUAUUAUUAUCAUUAUACACUUUCCUUUUAUGUUUAUUAUUUGCCACUUUAUUGUUAAUUAAUUUAACUUAUCGAUUAUUAUUAUCAUUAUCACUAUUGUUAUUACUUUACUAUCGUAAUAUAAUGUAUUGUGAAUAUUACUUUUAUUUUCAUUAUUAUUAUUUUUACUUAAUACUUAUAUAUAUUAUAUAGUAUUAUUAAUAGUUUUUAAAAUUAUUGUUUUUGUUAAUAUAUUAGUAUUUUCAUUAUUAUUAUUUUUACUUAAUACUUAUAUAUAUAUUAUAUAGUAUUAUUAAUAUUUUUUAAUAUUAUUGUUUUUGUUAAUAUAUUAGUAUGUCAUAUAUGUAUUCUUUUAAUAUAUAUAUUAUACUCCAUAUUACGCAUAUAUAUAUUAAUAUUACAUUAUGUAUAUAUUUUUUUAAAAAUAUUAUGUUUUUAUAUAUUAUGUAUAUAUUUUACACCAUAUUAGUUAUGUUUUUGUACUAUCUUAUGUGUACAUCUUGAAUACUAUAUUAUGUAUGUAUUUUAAACACCAUAUUUAUAUAUAUAUAUAUCAUGUAUAAAUUUUUAAUACUUUAUUACAUAUAUAUUCUUAUAUAUUAUGUGUAUAUAUUUUAGUACUAUGUUUAUAUAUCUUAUGUAUAUAUUUUAAAUACCGUAUUGUGUAUAGAUUUUAAUGCCAUUAUGCAUAUUUCAACACUAUUAUUAUUUAUUUUUAAUAUUGUUGUUAUUAUCUACAUACAUAUAUAUAGAUAUAUUUUUAGUACUUAUAUUAAACAUAUUAUUUCCUUAUUAUAUUAUUAUGUAUUUUGCUUUCAUUCUUUCUUUUAUUUGUAAAUAUUUUUUAUUCUCUUUUAUUGUAAAUAUCAUCGCUAUCAUUAUUCUAAUAUUUUAUUUAAAUAUUCUUCGUUAUCACAUCAUUACUUGCAUUUUUAUUACAAUAAAUCUUUUUAUUUUUUCAUGUUUCCUAGUUAAUUUCAAUAAAUAAGGCAACGUCCCGAUUUCAAAAUCAAGUCCAUGAUUUCAUCGCUAUGUUGGGUGAAUCACGUUGGCUCUUAUAAUAAACGGGACAUCCUUCUAAAAAAAACCAAAAAAACUUGAAACUUUUUUGUUUUCUUCAAUCGGUUCACGAUUAAAUUUUAGAUUGAACUUGUAUUUUUAAAAAUUAAGACAACACAUGUUUAAUAAGAUAUCAAUUUUGGGCAUCACGAGGGUGCUAAUACCUUCCUCGUGCGUAACUGACUCCUGGACUCUAUUUUCUCUGGAUUUUAACGUAGACCUAAAUUUGGCCUUCUUUUUAUCAAAAAUAAAACUUUUGGUUAAAAUGAAGAUUUAUUAGGUAUCCGAUGACACCUAGAAAAAGGGAUCGGUGGCGACUCCUUUUUUUUAAAAUCAAAGUUCAUUUCUCAAGUUUUCACUAAAUCGCCACAAUUAGCGACCGAAAGCAGAAAAAUUUUUACGUCACUAAAGCUGGCGACUCCGCUGGGGACUAUUUUUGAGAGUCGAGUCAAAUUAAACGCGUGUUGUCAAAAUUUUCGAAUUUCUUUUGUUCAAAUUAAUGUUUAGUCGUGAUCUUCAAAUUUUGUUUUCAAAAAAAAUCAUGCAUUUGCAUCAUGUCGUAAAUGUUUUUCUAACUUGUUUUAUCUUUUGCUUUUCAGCUCUUUUAAGUUUCGUAGUUUUAAAAUAAGAUGAAAGGUUUGUGAGUUUCUCUCCUCACACCGUGUACUUGCAUUUUUUCAUAACAUGAGCUCUCUACCCGGGCUCCGUCUGCUUAAGUGGAAGUAAAUGCUAUACCUUCGUGAGUUAACUCGUCCCUCCGCACAGGCUAGUGAAUACUUCCGGGUUACAUACGACUUAUGCUUUCGUGAGUUAACUUGUCCCUCCGCAUAGGCAUAAGUAAAUGUAAUCCCUCGAAUUGAACUCGUGAGCCUGUGAUGGGCUAUGACCAAGGCUUCGUACUAGUCUUAGUAGACGAUAGUACGAACAAUUCGAGUACUUGUCUAGAACCAAAACCGCACAUAGUAAACCAUACAAACCACCUAACUAGAGCCAUGUCGAACCUCCGUUCGUUUAGUAGUCACCAAAAUAAGUACACGGGAGAAACGCCUCUUAUCUUUUGGACUUUCACUUUGUAUGCAAGGGGAUUGGGUUGGUUUAAGAAACUAGAUCGGGUAGCAUAAUUUGAUAAAUUUUCCAUAAUUUUUCUGCCUAUAUUUGAAUACUAACCAGGGUUGUUCGUCUUUGCUUUAUUUUUCAUCAUGCAUUAUAGGCAUCAUAUUAGAAAAGUGUUGACUAGAGAUCGGUUGCCAAAAAACGGGUUUCUGAUGGAAGAGUUGAUUGUACAAACAACCGAGAAAAAUGCCGUGGUCCGGGAUUGGUCUUUAAAAACCCAGAAAGAAAAAGGGGAUAGUUUAAUGGAAGGAUGUGUUUCUAAUCUACCCGAGUACAUAACUGUGAAUGUUCGUCGGAAUAAUCUGGAAGACUUGAUUCAAAUUUGGAAUCAGUGGGACUCGGACACUAAGGGUAUCUUCACUGAGAGGUACGGAAAUAUAGCCCACCUGAUCACUAUCAACAUAGUAGAACGUUUGAUUCAAGCCAUGAUCAAAUUUUAGGAUCUGGCCUAUCAAUGUUUUACUUUCAAUCAGGAAGACAUGACCCCGACUAUAGAAGAAUACGCUGCUUUGCUUCGCAUCGAUAAUGUGCAAUUCCACAAAAUAUAUGUGAAAGAGCCCAAGUCGAUGACCUUCAAGAAAAAAAUAGUGAAAUUGACAGAUAUGACCAAUACAUUGGCCGAAAAAUAAAUAAAGAAGAAGAAUGAAAUCAUCUGUAUCCCAUGGUUUUUCCUGCGAGAUUUGGUUCUAAGCCAUCCCGAUGUGUUGAAGAGAGUGAAUCUUUUCGCUUUGGCCAUUUAUGGAUUGAUCGUCUUCCCGAAGGUCCUUGGACACAUAGAAGUUGGGUGGUGGAUUUCUUCGAAAGAUUAAAACAAGGAAUCAACCCUGUCCCGACUAUCUUGGCCGAGACCUUCAGAUCCUUAAACAGUUGUAGGAAAGUAGGGAAAAGACGCUUUAUCGGAUGGGCGCAGUUACUCAAUGUCUGGAUUUUGAGCCAUUUCUGGAAAGUAGAGCGCACACCGUACCACAUGUUUUCAAAAACCUUCGCUCUAUUGGAAGCCUAUCUUGAGAGAGAAUGGCCAAAGGAUGUCACCAAAGAGCAUUGAGUUUCAGUUUUUCAGAACCUUCGAGCUGAAGAUGUAACCUGGAGAGCACCGUGGAUCCGCCCUUCGGUUCUGUUAUACAAGGUUGGAAGUCAAGAUUGGGUGCAACUACUCGGGUUAUGGGGAGGAAUUGGAUACGCUCCGUUAAUGGUCCAAAGGCAAUUUUCUUCACAACAAUUCAUACCCGCCACUGGAGGAUUAGCACAGUCUAAGUUUGCUUUUGCGGGUGAGGGAUAUAUGAAGAGGGUCCGAGAUACCGCAAAGCCUUGAAAGAGAAUUCAUCUCAUGGAGUUAGCUCUAUACGCUGACACUCUCACCCAAGAUUAUGUCAUAUGGAGAAAGCAACGAAUGAAUAGUCAGCACGUCUCGUCAACAAAUUACACCGUCUAGAAUCCUUUCUCGGAAGAAGUGCCAUCUGAGCUAGAAAUGACAAGACAAGAAUUUGAACAAGAAAGGCCAAGAUGUCUCGGGACCUUAGUGCUCUUCAAGAGGAAAACUACCAACUGAAUAUCGACAUUCAGAUUAAAAGAUCCAGAACCGAGAAAGCGCAAAAAGAAGCUGAAGUCGUAAAAAAUUACUUAAGGGACCUCCAUUUGGAAAAUAAAAAGUUAAGAGGCACAAUAAAAAAUAGUGGGUUGGGCAAAUCGUCAGCAGAAUAGAAGGAGGAAAUUAGCAACAUCAAAGGGGGAUGGAAUUCUGGAAAGGGAAAGCGAAGAAAGAAGAAAAAAAGGCUGCGCGGGCUAUGAUGGAGCUAAGGAAGAAGAAUGCCGAAUAUGAAGCUGUGUCUGCGGAGGUAAUAACUAGUUGAUCUAAAUGUCAAGAACUAAAAGAGAGGAUACGAGAUUUAGAAGACAUGCUGCAAGAUCAUCAACAACAGCUAGAUACUCUCUUGGAGGCUUUGGAAGAAAAGAAUAGUCAAUAUGAUAGAGACAUUCAUGCUUACGACGAGGGCCUCCAAGAAAAAGAAAUGCAACUUAGCUAUUUGAUCAAUGAAGUUCGUGGGGUAGCCAUGCAUGUGGUACAAUUAUCGGAAGAAGCUGAAAUUCUCAUUUGCCAAUUCCCUCCAAGUCGAAGAUCAAACAUAUCAAAAUUCUUAGCACGAGUAAAGAAAUAUGGCGAUAUAGCUAGGAAGUUUGUGUAAUGGCUGAAUCGAAAAUGGAAAAAUAUUUUGUAAUGGACUCUUUUGAUAAAUGAAAUGCCUAAAUAGGGGCCGUCUUGAAAUCAACACUAAAUUCUUGCAUAUUCAUGCAUGACUAACAUUCAUUUGACAUUUAUGCAUUCAUUCAGUCAUUCAUUCAUUCAUUGCAUAUCCCAUAUUCAUUCGCUGAGGUUAAAACAUACAAUUUGCAGUUGUAAUACCACAAGACUGGAACCACGUCAUUUGUAUAGGACACGUCGACAAGCUAGAGUAAUGGAGGCUGAAUUCAAUGAAAGGAUGGAAAGAAUCCAAAGGGAAUUACAAGAGCAGUUGGCCAAGUCGCAGCAAGAGACAAGAGACUUAAUGGUGAGAUCUCGAGAAGAAUUGCUCGAACAGAAGGACCAAAUGGCUAAGAUGAUGGAAAUGAUGUCGGCUCUGGUAAAAGGAAAGGGACUUAUGAACCCUGACGUUGUGGAACCACAGUCAAGGGUUAACCUCGAUCAGGAUCCGCCCCAUCCUCCAAGAUUUACUCCACCGCACGCCCACACAACAAAAAGAGGGUACGCUCAAUGGGAACCUACAGGCCUGGAGCAACGACCUGCGCCACCUACCAAUCUGGGGAAAGGAAUAUUCGUAUCAAACCCGGAGGCUAGUCCUGCUAAUCCACUCGUUCCAGAUUUGGACGAUCCAGCAGAGAUAGCCAGGUAGAAAUUGGAUGAUCACGAUGCAAAGGAGAAAUAUAGGAGCCUAGAGGAAAGGCUCAAGGCGAUAGCGGGCACUGAAGUCUUCUCUACACUGAGCGCUAAAGAGCUCAGUUUGGUACCCGAUUUAGUUUUGCCUCCAAAGUUUAAGGUACCGGAUUUUGAAAAGUACGAUAGGACAAGAUGCCCAAAAACUCAUCUCAUCAUGUUUUGCCGGAAGAUGACCGGUUAUGUGAAUGAAGAUAAGCUACUCAUACAUUUUUUUCAGGAUAGUCUAGUAGGAUCGGCUCUUCGGUGGUACAACCAGCUUAGUAGGGAAAAGAUCCGAUCCUGGAAGGACUUGGCGUCAGCAUUCUGUGAGCAGUACAAGCAUGUAUCGGAUAUGGUGCCUGAUCGAAUGACUCUACAAAUGAUGGAAAAGAAACCACCAGAAACCAUUAGGCAAUACGCUCAAACAUGGAGAGACGUCUCGGCCCAAGUAGAACCUCCGCUAACAAAAACGGCGAUAACCGUCCUCUUUAUCAACACCUUAAAGGCGCCGUUUUAUGACAAACUAGUGGGAAGUGCCACGAAUGACUUUACGGAUAUUGUAAUAUCCGGUGAGCUUAUAGAGAAUACCGUCAAGAGCGAUAGAAUAGAAGGUCAGGAAAGUUCAAGAAGGGUAGCGCCCAUGAAGAAGAAAGAACCAGAAGCCCAUAUGGUGGGAAUGGGAAGCCGUUAUACCCCUAAUUCAUAUUCAAACCAACCCCGACCUCGAAAUUAUCCACCUCUAAAUUUCUAUUAUCCUCCUCAAACCCCUUACUACCAAGCACCACCUCCUUCCUACCCCGUAUACGCCAUAAACAACCAAAGACCCGUCGCCACAUUCUCACAAAGCACUAUACCCUCUUAAAGCCAACCCAGAAACGAACCAAUACCAGCAAGGCCCAAUCCUGAGAGACCGCAAUUUACUCCUAUCCCUGUGUCGUAUGGGGAAUUGUACCCAAAUCUUUUAGAAAAAUAAUUGGUAUCUCCCCAUUAUAUGGCACCCCUAAAACCCCCGUACCCGAAAUGGUACGAUCCUAACGCUAGUUGUGUAUAUCACGCUGGGAACCAGGGACACUCUACGUCCAAGGAUUCAUCGAUGCGGGCAUUCUGUGAUUUAAUGGUAUUGGCGGUACGGCCGGGAACCCAUUCCCAAACCACACCAAAAGGAAUGCGAGCGUAGUGGGAGAAGAGGACAAACGGUAAAAUAGAAGAUGGGUUUCUGAAAUAAGAACACCUCUGCAGAAAAUCUGGAAGGUACUAGUUAAAAAGGGGUUGCUCUGUCAUCUUAACAGAGUAUUCGAAAGAAGAAAUGCAAAAGGCCAAAGUUUUUGCGAAUUCCAUGGUAUUGAGGGGCACGACAUUCAGUCCUGCGAGGAGUUCAGAAGAUUACUACAAAAUAUGAUGGAUAAUAAGGAGAUUGGGAUUUUUUAUAAAAGCGAAGAGGCUGAUAGAAGAGAAAUAUGUGCCUCUGACAAUCAAUCGUCAGGUUUUCCGUAUAGCACCGACCAACCGUUAAUAAUUUAUUACGACGCGAAGAAGGAGCUGGUGAAACCAAAAGUGAUAAUCGAAGUACCAUCUCCUUUCCCUUACAAGGAUGACAAGGCGAUACCGUGGAAAUACGACAUCAACAUCAUCACACCUGAAGGUGAAAAGUCCGAAACCAUAACCGGAAGUGUUAGAGAAGUAGGUCAUUUCACCCGCAGUGAGAGGUGUUAUUCUAAAAAAGUUGAGCCGGCAAAGAAAAAUAGUAACUUGAAAUAGAAAAGAAAAGCACCGAUGCACGUGACCGAAGAUGAGCAUGAAACUGUGCCUGAACAAGAAGCUAAAAAGCCUGUGGACGAGGAGGAAACACAAGAAUUCUUAAAAUUUAUCAAGCAUAGUGAAUAUAAUAUGGUGGAACAAUUGAAAAAGCAACCAGUACGAAUCUCGAUUUUAUCUCUACUGUAAAACUCAGAGCCACACCGGAACGCUUUGCUGAAGGUGUUAAAUCAAGCUUACGUAGCAAACAACAUAUCUGUUGAGAAGCUUGAUAGGUGGGUGAAUAAUCUGAACGCUGACAAUUUCAUCUCUUUUCAUGAUGAUGAGAUACCGCCAAACGGUAGAGGCUCAGUGAAAGCACUGCAUAUUACGAAUCGCUGCGAGGGCUACAUAAUACGAACGUGCUCAUCGAUAAUGGGUCAGCACUCAACGUCAUGCCUUUAGGCACACUUUCUAGAAUCCCGAUGGAUUUGUCCUAUUUAAGGCCCUGUCAUUCCAUAGUAAGGGCAUUCGAUGGGACAAGACGAGAAGUCAUGAGAAAGAUUGAGAUCCCUCUGGAAGUGGGCUCUUAUAUAUACGAUGUUGAAUUUCAAGUCACGGACAUUACACCAUCAUACAAUUGCCUCUUGGGAAGACCUUGGAUCCAUUCUGCUAGAGCAGUUCCGUCCCCUCUCCAUCAAAAAGUGAAGUUUAUCAUAGAUGGUUGUUUAGUCACUGUCGAGGGAGAAGAAGACAUUGUCGCAUCUAUCUCUACCGAUGCACCGUACCUGGAAGUGAGCAAAGAUACAAUAGAAUGUUCCUUCUGAUCCUUAGAAUUUGUCAAUGCCACUUUUGUUGCUGAAGGAAAUAGAAUUCCCAUGCCUAAGCUGUUAAGGAAUACCAAGUUGGGAGUUGAGCUGAUUGUGGGAAAAGAAGCCCAAGCAAGGAAAGGUUUGGGAAGGUAUCUGCAAGAAAUAGUCAGGGUUCUAAAGCCAGUGCACCACAAGGCCCGAUACUGUUUGGGGUUCCGGCUGAACAUGCGUCAAAGAAGAAAAUAAUGGAAGAAAGAUCAAGAAAGAAGGAUCGCAAGAACCUUAGGCUGAGAAAUAGAAUGGGGGCCCAUAACGUACCCUCCUUUGUCAAAAACAUUUACAUCUACAGGAAUGAUAUAUCCCGGACAAGAUAAUCCACGAAGCACACUGUUGAAAAAACAGUUUUUCAUGGCGUAAAAAUAUGAAAAAACAGCUUAAUAUAACUCUUCCAUAGCGUUUUUCUGAUGAGAAUGCAGAAAAAUAAAGAGAAAUCUAGAUAAUUCCACUUUAGUCCUAGCUUUAUUAAGUAAAUUUUGCAAUUUUUCAAAUUUUCCCUUAAUUCUCCUUAUUUUCUUGCUGAUUUCAUGCCCUUGCCGUCCAGCCCAAAUAUAAUUUGGGUCUAUUUUCCCUUUAAACCCUCUUUCUUUUAUCAACUAAGCUAUUUAAUCAUUUCUCACAAUUUUGCAUUUGAUACAAUUUAGUCCUUUUUGUUCAAUUAACUAUCAGAACUUUAAAAUUUCUUGAAGAAACUUUAAUACUAACAUAUUAACACUCCAUAAAUAUUUAUAAAAAUAUUUAUGGCUCGAUUUAAAAUUAUCGAGGUCUCGAUACCUCGUUUUCGAUUCUAAUUAUUUUAAUAUUUAUUUUUAGUACACUAUUCACUAUUUCAAAAUUUCUCCUAGCUUCACUUUUAAUUUAUACUCACUAAAUUAAUAAUAUUUCCUACUCAUUUUUCGGAUUUAGUGAUCUCGAAUCACUGUUCCGACACCACUGAAAAUUAGGCUGUUACACAACAUAUCCAGAAGAUAUGUAAUUUGCCUUUACAGGAAAAGAUGUCAACUAUCUUAUAUGAAGAUAAUACUACAUGUAUAGCUCAAUUGAAGGGUGGUUACAUCAAAGGUGAUAGAACGAAACAUAUUUCACCAAAAUUAUUAUUCACCCAUGAUCUUGAGAAAAGACGUGAUAUAAAUGUUCAACAAAUUCGUUCUAGUGAUAAUUUAGCAGACUGUUUUACUAAGGCAUUGCCAAUUUCACCAUUUGGAAGACUACUACAUAAGAUUGGAUUGCGUCAACUCAAAGAUGUAAUGUAAUGUUGCCAUCAGAGGGAGUCUAAAAACAAGUUGUACUCUUUUCCUUUAACCAAGGUUUUGUCCCAUUGGGUUUUCCUGGUAAAAGUUUUUAACGAGACAGUUGUAAUAAAAGAUUCUGUACUCUUUUUCCUUCAUUAACUUUUUUAUCCCACAGGAUUUUUCCUAAUAAGGUUUUAACGAGACACAUUAUCUACCAAUAGGCAUCCAAGGGGGGGUUUCCCAAUAAGUACAUUCUUUAUUGCUUUCAUAUUUUCUUUAUUCUUUAUUCUCACCAUAUUUCUUUAUUUUAUAAUAAUAAUUAAUUAUUUUCUCCAUUUAUUUUCUAAUAUUCUUCGAGGUUGAUAUCAUUUGCAUAAUCCUAUGGUUUCAAAAAAGGAAAAAAAAAGUUUUAGAUAAAGAAUCGAUAACUCAACUAUUCUUUAUAUAUGCUUUUAAAAAAAAUGUAUAUAUACAUGCAUGAUACUAAUUGACACAUUAAUUAAUGUUAUGAGUUAAUUGGACAUCAAUUCAAUUACAAAAAAAAAAUUAAAAAAUUAAAAAUUUUAAAAACAAUAAACUUUAUUAUAAGAAUAUUUAUGUUUUUCCAUACUUUAUAAAUUUUUUUAAAAUAAAUAAUUUAAAUUACUAGAAAGGAUGUAUGAAACUAUGAUUCCACGUCAUCCUAAUCAUUUUCCAAUGGAAGAAUGAAAAAUAAGAUUUUUUUUCUCUUGAUUUUUAGCUUUUUUCUGCUGAAAAAAAAUCAAAUCCAACUAAAAAUGCUAAAAAUUAAGAGAAAAAAUCUGAUUUGUCAUUCUUUUAUUGGAAAGGGAUAAGGAUGAUGUGAAAUCACAGUUUCAUACAAUCCUUUCUCUUAAACUACAACUUUAAAAUAAAUUAAAAAAAUAAAUGUUAAGCUUGAAAAUUCUUUAGAUAAAUGUUGGUUUGAUUUUAUAAAAUUUUUCAUAGUGACUUGUGUAUUACAUAAACCUGUACAAACACACAAAUAAUACCAAUAAAAAUUAUCAAUAUAUUUUCACUUCGGAUACAAAUAAUCAAAUUUCUUAUUUUCUCUCUCAUAUUUAUUCUGGUUAGUUGUUUAGUUAAUUAAUUUGAAUUGAAUUAAUUGUAUGGAAUCAGGGGGCGAAGUUAAAAAAAAUUUUGGACCGAAAUUAAAUUGUAAUUUUUACUAUAGGAAAAAUGUAAUUUUAUCAUGUUAAUAGUCUAUAUCUUUAUAUUUUUAAAUGAUUAAAUAAAAUUUUUAUCAUUUUUAAGGGGGCAAAGUAUAAUUUACCUUUACUAAUUUAAAAUUUUAAAAUACCUAAAUUCAAAAUUUUUCAUUUUAAGAAGAGCCGGGGCCCUGGCCAAUCCCCUAACUACACCCUGUAUGGAUUAAUACUAAUAUUAUAUUAGUUAGUUAUUAGGUCUAAUUGUUUUUUUUUUGCAAAGUUAGUAAAAUACAAAAAGGAUUGUUGAGAACAAUCCAAACAAGUUCAAUAACAGUUUUUUUAAAAAACGAAAAAAACAAAACAGCCUAGCAAAUAUUACUAAGCUGACAAAAACAACUUCAGUACUUGACUUUUGCAGAAAACAACAGACCAACCAAACAUCAUCCACUCUGCUUUAGCAGCAACUCACCAAGCAGCUUUAAAGAAGUUUUUCCUUGACAUGCCUGCCUUUGCUAAACUUUCCCCCAUUCCAUUCUUUUUAUGAUUAGUGACUGCAAAUUAGAUUUCAGCAAUAUGUCUACAUCCAUCUUCAAUUUCCGCAAAUAACUUCCUUAGCGACCAUGGACGAAGAUUUCUAUAUUUCAACCAAUUCGAUUAGCUUAUUUGACUUGUAUUUAUUUUGAUUAGCUUAAUUAAUUAAUGUGUAUUUAAGAUAUAAUCAAACUACUUGAUUUCAAGUUAAAUUAAUAACAUAUGAAUUAUUAUUAAUUACAUAAAAUUAUAACAUCUUAACUUGUAAACAUCUAUAGGAUAAAUUUUUAUCAUAAAUCAACUAUAACUUUACAGUAUCUUAAAUUUGAUUCCUUUGAACAAUAUUGUCCAGCAAGCAUAAGAACCUCCUUUUCCAAAAGCUUCAAAUUCUAUAUAUAUAUAUAUAUUUAUUAAAUUUGAUUCUUGAUUUUAUGUUACUUGUUCUUAUCAUAUGUAUUAUAAUUUUAUUUCAGUUUAUGCUCAAAACAUAACUGUAUAUAUACAUAUGACUUUAUCCAUACACAUAUGUCAUUUGCCUCUUCAAUAACGUUACUUUGAUAACAAAAUCUCUCAGAAAGAGAUUUAAAAACCUAGCAAAUUUGAUAGAACAGACAAAUUUGCAUAAAAUUCAAUAAAAGUUUCAUUCACUAGCAUUUCGAGAGUCAAAUUUUAUGAUUAGCAUCUAUAGCUUCAAUUGUUUCAAGAAUAUCACAUUUUUCUUCCACAAAAUGGCAUUCAAAGCCUUAAAAUUGGUUGCAAUUUGCAAGAGGUUCCCUUCCAAUGAGAAUUGCAUGCCGAGUCUUUUCAUCGAUUGAUUUUAUAAAAGUCUUCAUCCUUGCCUUUCAAUAUGUCUAAUUGGAUCCAUCCAACAUGGGGUUGUGAUAAACCUCAAAAGUAACAUAUUUUAAUCCUAUGCUUGGCAUAUUUUUGGAUGAUUUAUCAUAAGAUUUAGUGGAUUUGAUGCUCCUAAUCCUUUAAUUUCAUGUUUUAUAUCUAGAUAAGCAUAGGAAAGCAAAAAGUGCAAGAAAAAGGCCAAAAACGGACAGAAUGGGUUUAUUUCAGUGCUUCACACGGCCUGGACACUUCCACAUGGGUAAUCCACAUGCCCGUGUGAGACACACGGGUAGGCUAGACGCCCGUGUGUCAUGGCCGUGUCAACUUAAAACCAUGUCAAAAUUACACACUGCCUGAGCACCAUCACACGGUCGUGCCACACUGCUGUGUCCCUGUCGAGACCUAUUUAAUUCUACUCGAAAAAGUCUAAUUUUGGGCUAUUUUUGGGCAUUCGAAAGUCUAUUUAAACACACGAGAAGAGGAUCAAAGGACAAGGGGUAGAAGGCAGAGAAUACUGGAAGAUAGCCAUCGGAAUCAGCUCGAAAGCAGGAUCUACUUCAAGACUGAAGAUCUCCAUUCAAUUUCCUUAAAAGUUCUUUGGGUUUCUUUAUGUUUUGUUGUUUUCCCAAUUUUGAGAUGUUUUCCCUCAUCGUUAUGAACUAAACUCCCUAAAUAUCUAAGGGAGAUGAAACUUAAGACAAAUCUUAUUACUAUUUGAAUUAUAUGAUAAAUACUUGUUCUUAUUCUUAAUUAUGUGUUCUUAAUUCUUGCUUUAAUAUUUCAGGAUAUUAAUUCAAGUCUGAUGUGCCUAUUUAGUAGAGCAAAAGUCCCUGUUUAAGAGUAGAUCUAGCAUAAUUAAGCGGAGUUGAAUGCAAUUCUAGACAUAGGAUGACGUAAAUCUGUCGGAUUAGAGUCAAAUCUAAUAAGGGAAUCCAUAGAUCGAGUUAAUGUGAUAAUAGAGAUUUUAAUUAGAAAGAUAUUUCAAUUAAUCAACCUAGAGUCAGUUGUUUUUAGUCUUGAGAGAGAUAUUAACAUAAAUCAGGGACUUUUGCUCUACUGAAUAAGCACAUCAAACUUGGAUUAAUAUCCUGAAAACAUUAAGGCAAGGAUUAAAAACACAUAAUUAAGAACAAGAACAAGUAUUUAUCAUGUAAUUCAGAUAAUUAAAUAAAAAGAUUCGUCAUAGGUUUCAUCCUCCCUAGGUAUUUAGGGAGUUUAGUUCAUCAUGUAAAAGGAAAACAUCUCAAAUUUAGAAAAAUAGCAAGACAUAAAAAACCCAAAUAAACUUCGAGAGAAAUUUGAAUGGAGAUUUUCAAUCUUGAAAUGGAUCUGCUUCCAGGAUUAUUCCAACGGCUUUCUUCGAAUAAUUUUUGCUUUCUUCUCCGUGUGUCCUUAGGUCUUCUUAUAGUGUGUUUAUAUAGAAUUUAGAAUGCUCAGAAACCCUAAAAAUUAGCUUUUUCUGCGUGUUUGGGAAAUAGGGAGCGAUAUCAACACGAGCAGGACACAUGGGCGUGUGACCAGCCCGUCUUGUAACGACACAAAAUUCGUGGGAUCGAAAAAGUACAUUAUCAGGCCUCCGUCUUAGCGAAACGAAGACAAAUCGAAGAAAAAUUCAUCCUAAUAGUAAUAUGAGAAAAUUACUUAAACACAAGACAUAAUUCAGAGAUUUUCUGAUAACCAUAUAAAUAAUCUCCCUACACUUAAGAUGUAUAUUGUCCUCAAUGUACGAAAAUAGAUAAUCACAGUAGAAAUAUAAAUAUCAUAAGAGAGGAAGAGAAUUGAAACUGUCCUGAAUAUUGGAUGAAAUUCCCAAAAUAGUGAAAAGCAGAAUUGUAGAUAAAUGUAGAGGUAGUGCAAAAUUCUGAGCAACUGAUAAGAAGAUAAAUACAAUACUGAAGAGGAUUAAGAAGGUUACUCGAUUAGAAACAAACAUAAUAAUUAAAAUAAAGUUCAAAAUAUAAAAACAAAAUAAAAAUAAAAAUAAAGAUAAAAAUAAAAAAAUAAACACAAAGAUAAAUGAACUCAAUGGUCCUCAUCAUCAGAUUGAACAAUGUCACGAGCCAGUGGCGCUGAAGGAGAAAUAUGAAAAUGCUGCUGCAAUGUGGCAUCAAUACUGUCAAACCUCUCAGCACAGUACUGAUGGAAACUGGUGAAUUCCUCGUAGGAUACUCCUCGAGAGCUAGUAGCAGAGGGAGUGUGUCGGUGACUCGAUGGUGGAGGCUAUGGUGGGUCCUCGUGAUAGGGAGGAACAUCAUCAGUGAAGUCCUCUAGGUCAUGCUGAACGUCAGACUGGACUAGUCUGUACUGAGGGGGGUCCACUCCAUGUCGCCGCUCGAUCAUCCUCAUGUGGAUCAUACUCGAGAUGCCCUGAAGGGACAUUUGACCAACUAGGGUGAGUGUCGAGGACUACUCCGAAGUGUUGAGAAGAUCGAAGUGUCGAGCGAGGCGAGUCACGUAAGGACUAGACAGAUGGGGCCCCUCUCAUGGCGGUCAAUAUGAUGGCGGAAAGAUAAAGCGAUAAAGUACGACAAAUCCAUAAUAUGGCCGUAGGCCAUGCUCCACAAGAAGUAUGCGUCAUGCGUGCUCACGACUCCAGUGCUCUCUCUCCGUCCUGUCAAUGUGUGAGCGAGGAGUGCGUGAAUAUAUCAUAGGGCCGGAGAGAGAGAAGUCGCCUUCAAGCGACUUGCGUCAUAUGGAGUCUGGCCACCGGUGAGAUCGGUCCAACAACGCGAAAGCGAGUGAUAGAUGUGUCGAUGAAGCUGAAGGAAGUCCUCGGCAGACAUGAACUCCUCUGUGUAGAGUCUCAAAGUAGCACCAAACUUGAUAAACCGUAAUUUAUACAUAUUUUUAUCCCAUGCUUAACAUGUUUUUGGAUGAUUUCUCCGUAGAAUUGGUGAAUUCGAUGCUCCUAAUCUUUUAAUUUCAUGUUUUAUACUUAGGUGAACUUAGGACAGUAAAAAGAGCGAGAAACGGGCCGAAAAUAGAGAAAAUGGGCUAACAUAAUAAAUCAAAACGGCCUGGACUUCCUCACAAGGGUAGACCACACGGUCGUGUCAGUUUGGCAGAAUCGAAACACGACUCACACGGGUAGACCAUACGCCCGUGCCUAUUUAACAUCCUCGACCACGGCUUGAAGCCUAUUGCACACGGGCGUGUCCCUGUCGAGCCCAAGUAUAGUCCUAUUUGAAAAAGGCCACUUUUGAGGGCUUUUAGGCAUUGUAAAACCCUAUAUAAACACCCUAGGACAAGAGGAGAAAGGGACGCAGGGUAGGAAGGAAUGAAUUACUCGAAGAAAGCCGAUUGAUCCAUCUCAAAAGCCGGAUUCACCUUCAAGACGGAAUAUCUCCUCUCAACUUCCCUUUAGGAGUUUUGGGUUUUCUUUAUGUUUUGUAUUCAUUAUUCUUCUGAGAUGUUUUAUUUUAUAAUUAUGAACUAAACCCCUAAAUACCUAAGGGGAAAGAAACCUAAGAUGAAUCUUGUUAUUAUUUAAUUCUUGCUUCAAUAUUUCAAAAUAUUUUUUCAAGUUUAUGCACUUAUUCGGAGGAGCAAAAGUCCCUGUCUAAGAGUAACUUUGACAUAAGUAAGCAGAGUUGAUUGCACGCCUAGACAUAGGGUGACAAGAUUUUGCCGAAUUAGGGUGAAACCUAAUAAGGGAAUCCAUAGAAUGAAUUAAUGCAACACUAGGGAAUUAAUUAGAAAAAGAUUUCAAUUAAUCAACCUAGGGUUAGAAAUUGUUAGUCUCGAUGGAGAUAAUAAUAUAACUUAGAGAUUUUUACGGAUCAAGUCAAAUGAAUAAAUCGUCCGAUUUAGAGUCAAAUAACAAGUAAGUCUAGGUGGAUUUUUCCUUGGGUAUUGUCUUAAUCAAUCAGUUUUUCCUAAAAGUAUUUUCCCCAAUUUUCUCUCUGUGCACCUUUAGUUUAGAUAAUUAGUUUAGAUAAACAAAUUUCUUAAUUUUUAGGCUAGAUAAUAACAAGAAAGUAAUUACUAGUACUUUUAGUUCUUUUGGGUUCGACAAUCCAGUCUUGCUAAAGCUAUACUACUGUUCGAUAGGUACACUUGCCUUUUAUCGUGAUAAUAGUUAGUUUCAAGAAUGAUUAAUUAUAAAUAUUUAAAACCUGUCGCGAAUAUCACAUAUCAAGUUUUUGGCGCCGUUGCUUGGGAACUAAGAUAUUAGGAACACUCAAUUUUUAUUACUUUAGCCAUUUAAUUUUAUUACAAUUUAAAUUUUGUUUUGAUUUUAUGUUACUAAAUUCUCUUUUUCCUUCUUCUGGCAGGUUCUUAUAGUUUAUGACUAGAAGAAACCCGUCAGGACCAUUACUCUUUGACGGUGAGAUCGAACGAACAGUUUGCAAAAACCAAAGAGAAAUAAAGUAAAGCUUAAGAUACACAGGGGAAGAGCAAGAGGACGAUAUUCAAACCACAACCGAGGAGAUGGCUGAAAAUCGGUAAAACCCGAUACCUCUUGCGAUUGUUGCUGAUCCAGUAAAUUAGAAUCCUACUCCACGCACUAUGUAUGAUUAUGCUAAACCUACUUUAACAGGAACUGAAUUGAGUAUAGUUAGACUUGCUAUUGCUGCAAAUAAUUUUGAAUUGAAACCUAACACAAUUCAAAUGAUACAACAGUUUGUUCAGUUUGAUAGUUUGCAGGAUGAUGAUCCAAAUACUCAUUUGGCGAAUUUUUUGGAAUUCUGCGAUACUUUUAAAAUUAAUGGCAUUUUUUACGAUGCCAUACGUCUUCAGUUGUUUCCCUUUUGGUUGAGGAACAAAGCUAAAUAGUGGUUGAACUGGUUACCACGAGGGUCAAUUACUACUUGGGAACAAAUGACUGAAAAGUUUUUAUUAAAAUAUUUUUCGCCGGCUAAAACGGCUAAAUUACAUAAUGAUAUCUCUUCUUUUGUGCAGAUAGAUUUAGAAACAAUUUACGAUGCAUGGGAGAGAUACAAGGACCUCUUAAGAAGAUGCCCUCACCAUGGGUUAGCACUCUGGCUACAGGUUCAAACGUUUCACAAUGGCCUAAACCCCUCGACUCGACAAAUGGUUGACGCAGCCGCUGGUGAAUAACAAAACAACUGAAGAGGGUUACGAAUUUAUAGAAGAAAUGUCACUGAAUAAUUAUCAGUGGAAAGUUAUGAGGACAAAACUGACGAAAGCAGCAGGUGUUUUUAACUUCGAUUCAGUCACUAUGCUCUCAAAUCAGGUAGAACUUUUCAAUAAGGAAAUUGGCAGUUUACUUAGUUCUCCACAGGUACAGCCAAUGAUGAGAUGUGAUUCAAACGGAGGAGGAAUAUACACAAAUGAUCCAACAUUCAAAACGAAGGAUGAGUAUACACAAAUGAUCCAACAUUCAAUCCUAGCACCGAGGAGGAACAAGUUCAAUCUAUGGGUAAUAAUAAUUCUAGACCUCAAAAUAACCCAUACAGUAAUACUUAUAAUGCAGGUUGGAGGAACCACCCCAAUUUUUCAUGGGGAGGUCAAGGGAAUCCAAGGUCACAAGAUCCUCCAAGUUUUCAACAACCUCCUUACCAGUAGGAAAAGAAGCCGAACCUUGAAGAGAUGCUCACAAAAUUUAUCUUGGUGUCAGAAACUCGUUUUCAGAAUACUGAAACAGCACUUAAAAAUUAACAAGCGUCAAUCUAAAGACUCGAAACUCAAAUAGGACAGCUUGCCAAGUUGAUUUCUGAACGACCACAAGGUAGCCUGCCAAGCAACACUAAAUCUAACCUAAUGGAGCAACUCAAUGUGAUUACUACUCAAAAUGGGGAAGGAUUAGUUACACUAGAACCAGAACCAAGGCAAGAAACUGUGGUAAGAAAAGGUAAAGGUGAAGCAGGCCACAAUGAGUAGAAAUCGGUAAGUGCAGAAUACAAACCUCGUGUGCCCCCUCAGACAAACAAUUUGGUAAAUUUCUCAAACUAUUAAAGAAAUUACAUAUUAACUUCCGUUUAUUGAAGCUUUUUCGCAGAUAUUGAAUGCAGUCAAAUUUUUAAAGGAGCUUCUAGCAAAUAAAAGGAAGUUAGAUGAAGCGUCGCAUGUGGAGCUAAACGCAGUUUGCUCAGCCAUUCUACAGAAUAAGCUGCCCAACAAAUAAAAAGAUCCAGGGAGUUUUACGAUUCCUUGUUUAAUUGGUAGCUUAGAUGUUAAUAAUGCGUUGGUUGAUUUAGGGGCUAGUAUUAAUGUCAUACCUUAUAAAAUGUUUAAGCAACUAGGUCUUCGGAAACCCAAACAAACUAAGAUGAGUAUUCAAUUAGCAUACAAAACUAUUAGAUUUCCUAGGGGUAUUAUUGAAUAUGUACUUGUUAAAAUUGACAAAUUUAUAUUCCCAGUUGAUUUUGUUGUUCUAGACAUAGAAGAGGACAGUAACACUCCUUUAAUUUUAGGAAGGCCCUUUUUAGUAACUGCCAGAACAAUUAUUGACGUUGGCACAGGUGAACUCACACUUCGUGUGGGAGAUGAAACAAUCACCCUUCAAGCUCGUAAUUCGAGUAACACAUUGAAAAUUGAAGGUGAUUGUACAGAUCGUUCUACUAAAACUGACCAUAUGGUGCAACCUACUUUCCAGGAAAUAAGUUUGAAAAGCAUGCAUGAGCCAUGUUUAAGCAACAACAAAGGACCCAUCUAUAAAGAACGGAGGCUACAGAUUGAGGAAUUAGAUGAAUGGCGGACACAGAAACUGAGAACACUCGAUAGACCAAAACCAAGCCAAGAUGAACUCAAUUUCUUACCAAAUCAACUUAAGGUUGGAGACAAAGUACUACUAAAUGUAGCAGAUCCCUGUAUUGCUACUACUGAACCUAAUGGAACAACCCCUCUUACGGUACUUAGCAUUUUCCCAUUCGGUACAGUCGAAGUAAUUCAUACCAAAUUUGACACUUUUAAGGUAAAUAGUACCUAUCUGAAACCUUAUUUUGGUAAGAAUGAUAGCAGGAAUGAGGAGUGUGAAUUCCUCGCACCACCUUGACCACGCAACAAGAGAGGUAAGUCGAGCUUAGACUAUAAACAAGCGCCUCUCGGGAGGCAACCCGAGCACUAACAUUAUUAACCAGUUCAUUCUUUUUCUUAGUGUUUUCUGUACAAGAAGAGUAAACCAGUGCGACAUGGCCGUGGGUAAGACUGUCAAAUCAACACAAGCGGGUGACACGUCCCGUGCCUACAAGCUGUGGUUUAAACUGAGAAAUUAACACUGGCGUGUGAUACGCCCGUACCCAACACCCGUGGUCGACACUGUCAAACUAACACUGGUGUGGGCCUUCAUACAAGGGUGUGGGAGAAGCGAAUAACAUCGCACAUGGUUGUGCGAUACGACCGUGCAAACCACACGGCCGGGACACAUGGGCAUGCCUUCAGGCCGUGUUAGACAAUAAAAGUUCAUGAUACACACGGGCUAAACUCGAACCACACGGGCGUGUGACACGACCGUGUGGCCCAAGUCUAUUUAUUUUAAUUUUAUUUCCCUUCAUUUAUUUUAUUAUUUUUCAUACUUCGCUUAUAUUUAUGGUUAUUUUCGAAUUAUUCCUUAAUUCUCUUCCAAAGUAGUGUUUAUUUUCUCAGAAUCAAGCCUUUCAUUAGCCUUAUUUACAAUUCCUAUUUUUUCUCUUCCAAGGAUUUCAUCCGAAAAUUCAGGGCAGUUUCGUUUUUCUCCCUCUAUCUUUUGAUAUUCUCUUUACAUCACUAUUAUAUAUCUUUGUACAUUGAUGACAAUGUACAUCUUAAGUGUGGGGGGAAUAUAUAUAUAUCUAUAUCAUAAAAUCCCUGAAUGUUGUCUUAUUCUCAUGUGAUCUUCUCAUAUCACUAUUAGAAUGAAUUUUGAUUAAUUUAUAAUUUUUAUUAAUAUGUCUUAAAUUAAAAUAUAGGCAUUCAUACAUUGAUUGUUUAAACUUUAAGACAUUAGAGAAUCAAGCAUGAUAAGUUGAUUUUUGAGAAUUAAAUGUUUUAGGUUGUUUCCCCAAGUUUAGAUAUUAUCUUGAAUUGAAAUUCAUAGUUUUAAACAUCAAAAGCCAUAAUUUUUAUGAGAUUUUGAGCCUUUAGAGCAUCUAUUAUUUCUUUUAUGCUCACUUUUAUUAUUGCUAUGAGUGUGUCAAUAUUGAUUUGUUAUUCUAGAACUUGCUUGAUUAUGCAUGUCAAGACCACACCAUUUGAUUUGAUAUGUCAAAAUGAUAAAGGCACCUAGAUUUAACCCACUUACUCCAUAAAAAGCCUACCUUCACAAUUAACCCUUAGUGAACCCCCUUGAGCCUAACAAGCCAUUCCUGGAUGUAUCCCCAAUAUUAACCCAUAACUCAUUAUUUUUGAAAUCCCUUCAAUUAAUUUGAUCUCUAUUUUUGUCGAGAUUUGAUUUGAAUAAAUUGCUCAGCUAUGUUUUUAGUUAUCCUAUUUUUUCUUAAAAAAAACAUACAUAUAUACAUAUUAGUAGUAAUCUUUCGAGCUUAAGUAUUUAAUUCCAUAUUCUGAGAUGAAGCUCAUUUUUAUUCAAGUGUAAUUUGUAUUUUUCUAGUUAGGUACUUUUUCAAUUCAAUCUUGAUUCUAACCUUUUCUUUCAACUUGUGACAAUACCCCCUAACCGAAGCCACGUUACAACCCUUUAAAGACCUUUUGAUUGAUGUAUCAUCUCAAUAUAUAGUGGUGGAGAUUUGAUUUUCAUGCAAGCCUAUGGUAAUAACUUUUCAUAUUGGCUAAUGAGUGCUAAUUUUCUUGUCCUUAAACACCUCGAGUGAUUUGAAUGAAUCUUUAGUGAUGAUGUUAAAUCAAAGGUAAUUACUUAGACUAGUGGAGACACCUAUGUUUUCGUACUAAAAUGCUCAACUUGGAAUGUUUGAAACUUUGAUGAUUUUUAGUUGAAUUUUCAAUGUAUGAUUACUUAUAAAUUAGUUUGAGAUAUUAUCGAUAAGAAUUAUAAGUUGAGAAGAAUUUACUUUGAUUGUAAGUUAAGAGUUUUGCUUGAGGACAAGCAAACGCUUAAGUGUGGGGGUAUUUGAUAAAUCGUAAUUUAUACAUAUUUUUAUCCUAUGCUUAGCACGUUUUUGGAUGAUUUCUCCUUAGAAUUGGUGAAUUCGAUGCUCCUAAUCCUUUAAUUUCAUGUUUUAUACUUAGGUGAACUUAGGAGAGUAAAAAGAGCAAGAAACGGGCUGAAAAUAGAGAAAAUGGGCCAACAUAGGAAAUCAACACGGCCUGGGCUUCCUCACACGGGUAGACUACACGGCCGUGUCAAUUUGGCUGAAUCGAAGCACGACUCACACGGGUAGACCACACACCGUGCCUAUUUAACAGCAUCAACCACGGCUUGAAGCUUAUCGCACACGGGCGUGUCCCUGUCGAGCCCAAGUAUAGUUCUAUUAGGAAAAUGCCACUUUUAAGGGCUUUUAGGCAUUCUAAAACCCUAUAUAAACACCCUAGGACAAGAGGAAAAAGGGACGAAGGGUAGGAAAGAAGGAAUUACUCGAAGAGAGCCGAUUGAUCCAUCUCAGAAGCCAGAUUCACCUUCAAGACGGAAGAUCUCCCCUCAACUUCCCUUCAAGAUUUUUGGGUUUUCUUUAUGUUUUGUAUUCAUUAUUCUACUAAGAUGUUUUAUUUUAUAAUUAUGAACUAAACCCAUAAAUACCUAAGGGGAAUAAAACUUAAGAUGAAUCUUGUUAUUAUUUUCUGGAUUGUAUGAUAAAUAUUUGACUUGUUCUUAAUUAUGUGUUCUUAAUUCUUUCUUCAAUAUUUCAGGAUAUUUUUUCAAGUUCAUGCGCUUAUUCGGAGGAGCAAAAUUCCCUGUCUAAGAGUAACUUUGUCAUAAUUAAGCGGAGUUGAUUGCACGCCUAGACAUAGGGUGACAAAAUUUUGCCGGAUUAGGGUGAAACCUAAUAAGGGAAUCUAUAGAACGAAUUAAUGCAACACUAGGGAGUUAAUUAGAAAGAGAUUUCAAUUAAUCAACCUAGGGUUAGACGUUGUUAGUCUCGACGGAGAUAAUAAUAUAACUUAGGGAUUUCUACGAAUCAAGUCAAAUGAAUAAAUCAUCCAAUUCAAAGUCAAAUAACAAGUGAAGUCUAGGUGGAUUUUUCCUUGGGUAUUGUCUUAAUCAAUCAGUUUUUCCUAAAAGUAUUUUCCCCAAUUUUCUCUCUGUGCACCUUUAGUUUAGAUAAACAAAUCUCUUAAUUUUUAGGCUAGAUAAUAAAAAGAAAGUAAUUACUAGUACUUUUAGUUCCUUUAGGUUCGACAAUCUGGUCUUGCUAAAGCUAUAUUACUGUUUGAUAGGUACACUUGCCUUUUAUCGUGAUAAUAGUUAGUUUCAAGAACGAUUAAUUAUAAAUAUUUAAAACCUAUCGUGAAUAUCACGUAUCAGAACUCUGGGACGCUCAUAUGUCGCACCAAACCACCGAGGCAAAAAGUGAUGGUACCUGGCUCAUCAUGGACCGAGAUGACCUGCUGGACCGAAAAUGUAGCGCAGAGCUCUAAGGUAAACUCCGUGUAAGUGGGCUCGAUGAUGGUGAAGAACCUAUGUGGCAAUAAUCGCGCGCACAUCAUCAGCCAAAUGGACCUACUCUAGUACGGCCCAAUCAAUGCAUCAACCCAAACCUAGUGGUCGUACUCGAUGUAGCUGGUAUAAAUCCUCCUGUGGACCUGCCGCAAAUCGAAGGUAGGGGUAGCGAGCCUCGGCAGAUGCGAUCAGGGAUGAGGUCGAGCCGAGGCCCUUCCGCUUUUCCGAAGCGGGGACUGGGACUUUAGAUUUGCCUCGUGUGUUCGUCAUAGUGUGCCUGAAAAGUAAAAGAAUGUAUCAAUAAUUGCAUCACAAAAUAAAAUCCAAGUAGUCCUAAAUAAGAAAUUUCUCCUAAAACAGUAUGUUUGAAUACUAAAGCAUGCAAAAAAUAGAAAGUGCAAUUAGCAUGAAUCAAAGUGGUGAAAAUACUAGGAGUAUAAAAUCAAAUAACAAGAUCAUAAAAUACAGAUUUUAAAAGUACAAGCAGGGAUAAAUAACUAAAUCAAAGAAUAAUAAUAAUUGGAACAAUGAGCAAGGAAGUCAACAGACUAACUAAUAAUGAAUCGUAAUAAUGGCAGUAAACAAAUAUUAAGUGAAUAAAUGAAGAAAAACUAAGAAUAAACAAUAAUAGAGAAUAAACAAAAGAGAAAUAAAAUAAAAUAAAAUAAUUAAUAAUAAUAAUUAAAAAUGAAGACAUAAUAAAGCAAAUAAGAUAAUAGGUAGAAGAGGGGACCGACGGUGGUAGUUUCUAGACGAUAACGAUGGUAGUUUCUAGAUGAUGACGAUGGUGCGGGACGGCGGUGGUUAUGGUUGGGGCUGGUCGGUGGAGGGAGAAUGGGGAAGGGAAUGGUUCGGUCUAGGGAGAGGGAGGAGCUGGGAGGUUUGUGCUAGGGCCGGCCAAGUGUAAGUUGAGAGGGGGGUUUGGGUGAGAUUUUAAGUGGCUGGUCGCGGCUGGUGUGGGCUGGCUGGGGGUUGUAUGUGCCAGAGGGUUUGAGUAGAGUAGAGGGGUUGCUUGUUUGUCAUGGAGGUGGCGUGGGUGAAGGCCGACGGGGGUGUCAUGAGGUGGGGGACAGGGUCGUGGGUGUCGUGGGUUUUAGGAUAUGGGACUAGGGAAAGGUGGGAAAGAAAAAAGGGAAGAAGAAGGGGAACUGAGGGAAUAGGGCGACCGAAUCGAGGGAGUAUGGCGACGGUUGGAGAGAAUGGGUUGUCGAUGGUGGUCGAACGGUGAGCAAGGAGAAUGAGCGGCAGCUAAGGGUGAAAGUUGGAGGAAAAAGACAAACUAAAAAAAAAUUCAAAAGGGAUUUAGGGUUUAAAAGGGGACACGAUCGUGUUAGGUUCGUGUUGGGCCACACGGUCGUGUCACACAUCCGUGUGGUCUCUAUUUAGCCCGUGUGCGUUCAAUAAUCCACUUGUAUUGCAUUGCAUCACCGGAUGUACCUGUAACAGACGUGUGCCCCUAAUUGGGUGCUAACAUCAGAAACAAAAUGUCAAGGUUUUUAGACACAGGCUAGGACACGGGCGUGUUAUGGCCGUGUGAGGGAUACGGGCGUGUCAUGGCCGUGUGAGGGACACGGGCCAUGGACACAAACGUCUGUCAAGCUGUGUGAAAACCCCUAUAGGUUUGAAUUUAGAAUUUAAUUCAUACGGGCUCAGGACACAAGCGUCUCCCCUUGUGCUUAAGCCGUGUGACCCGCAUGGGCCAUUAGCAUGGCCAUGUCAUAAUGACUACACAGGCGUGUUGCCUUUCCAUACGGGCGUAUGUCCUGCUUCAAGGAGUAUUUUUCAAAAGUUUUUAAAGAUGUUGGGAUUAAUCCCGGGAUAUUUCCAAAGCGUGAUUUGGGCCUCAUAGGCCCAAAUUAAGAGCUUCUUGAUUAAAAAGGAAAAGUUUUAAAUUAGACCUAGUUCUUAUAACUUGAAAUUGAUUGUAUACAUGUGUUUAAGUGUGGUAACGCCUCGUAUUCCAUCCUAACAUAGGGCACGGGUGUGGGGUGUUACAUUUAGUGGUAUCAGAGCUAUGGUUUAGUCGCUUCUAGGACUAACCUAGCAUGAGUACCAGUCUAGCUAUACAUGCCAUAGUUGUAUAUUGAUAGUGUGACGACUCCUAACGAUUAUAAAUUAUGUUUUCAAAUAGUAAAUGGAUCCUGACGUAGCUACGGCAGAUGAUGUGGAGAGUAAUACGUCGGCUCUCGCUAAAGGGACUGUGCCAACAGAUAGUAGGCCCGUGACAUUGAGUUAGGUCAGAGGGGCUAGAGAGGCUUACCUCCACAUAAUGGACGCGUGGUAUUCGGAGUUCAUUCGCGUGAAUCUGAAUACUCAACCUCUCCCACCUCCCCCAAAUUCCUCAACCCGUUCAUAUAGCUCCUCAAGAAGCAGAAAUGGCCAGAAGAGAGAAACCUCUAGUAGAUAGAAUUAGAAAGCAAUGGGCCGAGGAAUUUCGGGCGAAUAUUGAUGAUGACCUAGAGAGAGCAGAGUUUUGACUAGAAAAUACCAUUAGACUCAGCCUACCAAUGGUGGAACACCGUUGUGUCGGUUGUAACAGGGAAAGGAUUACAUGAGAGUUUUUCCAAGAGGAAUUUCCAAAGAAGUAUAUCAAUCAAAGGUUUAUAGAUCAGAAGAGGAAGGAAUUUCUAGAAUUGAAGCAAGACCGAAUGAUACUAACAGAGUAUGAGCAUGAGUUCGUGACGCUCAGCAAGUACAUUAGGGAGUGCGUAUCUACCGAAGCCGUCAUGCCCAAGAGAUUUGAGGACGAAUUAAAUGAAGACAUCUGAUUAUUAGUUGGCAUCUUAGAAUUGAAGGAAUUUGUGGUGCUCGUGGAGAGAGCAUGUAAAGCCGAGGAAUUGGCCAAAGAGAAGAGAAAAGCUGAUAUCGAGUCCCGAGACUCAAAGAAAAGAUAGAUAGGGAAAUCACAUCAAACCUUAUCCAAGAGAUCGAGAGAGUUCACUACCCGAUCAAAUGCUUCAGUGGGAUUUUCAAGUAGAAACAAGAACAAGCAGUACACGACGUCCAAAGCCCAAACCACUUCUAUCGCGAGUGCUCGGCCAAAUAGGCUGGAGUGUUUGCAAUGUGGUAGGCGUCAUUUCAGUGAGUGCCGAGGGAAUGAGAGGGGUUGCUUCAAAUGCAGAUCACUAGACCACUUCAUCCGAAACUGUCCCGAAUUAGAAGAUAAAGAGAAAAAGCUACAUAUGAGGGUGAGUAGUGCUCCUUCAAGGGGUAGACCACAGAAGAACCUGGGUAGUGGGGCUAGCAGCAGAGGUGCUCCUAGAGAUUUAGUUGUGAGGUCCGAGGGUUGAGCACCUACAAAGACUUAUGCCAUUCGCACUCGCGAAGAGGUAUCUUCACCAGAUGUGAUUACGGGUACUUUUUCUCUUCAUGAUAUUUCUAUUAUUGCUUUAAUUGAUUUGGGAUCUACCCAUUCUUAUGUAGUACCCAGUAUGAAUAUGCUAGUUUGAACCUACUAAAACUGUGGUGAAAGUGUUUGACCCAUUAGGCAAACAUGUGUUGGUAGACCAAGUAUGUGACAGCCCAAUUUUCAGUGGUGUCGGAAACAGUGAUUUGAGAUCACUAAAUCCGACAAGUAUGUGUGAAAAUUUAAUAAAUUAAUAAUUAUGAGUCAAGUGUGAAUUUAGAAGAAUUUUUGAAUUAGUGAAUUUUGUGUUUAAAAAAAGAGAAAAAAGAAUUUAAUAAGUAAAUUGGGUCUAAAACGAAGAUCGAGACCUCAAAUGCAUAAGUUGAGCCAUAAAUAUUUUUAUAAAUAUUUAUGGAGUGUCAUUGAGAUAGUAUUAAAGUUUUGUUAGAAAAUUUUAACGUUUGGAUAGUCAAUUAAUUAAAAAGGACUAAAUUGAAAAAGGUGCAAAACUUGCUAAAAUGAUUAAAUAGCUCAAGUGUUAAAUGAAGGAGGACUUAAGAGGAAAAUUAGCCUAAAGGGAAUGGAUGAGGUGGCAUAAGCAAGAAAAAAAUCUAGAAUUAGGUGAACUAAGGGUAAAAUGGUAAAUUUCACAAAAUUAAACAAAAAAAUUGAAAUUGAAAGAGAUUUCUAGGCCAUUCUUCUCAUAAUUUCGGCCAGACAGCCAUGGGAGAGAACUUUUAAGCUGGUUUUGCACAAUUUUACUGCAUGUGAGUUUAUUUCUUGCCCUUUUCUUAUAAUUUUUGUAUUUUUCAAACUUUUACAAUUAGGUCUAACUAUCUAAUUCAUUAGUUUUUGAUUUUAUGGGUGACUUUAAAAGUUACCAUGAAUAAGUUCUGUAUGAUUAUGGUGAAUUAUUAUGGAAUUUAAGAUCUUAUUUUAUUAUAUGAUGAUUUUAUUAAGUGAUUUUGAUAGAAAUUGAAUUUAGGACCUAAUUGUGAAAAAGUUGUGAAUUAAGGUUUUGUGCUAAAAUUAUGAUAUUCAAAGGUUUUGUAGUAGCUUAGAAUGAAUAAAUAAAGUGUUAAUUGAGAAAAAUUAGCUCAAUUGAUGGGUUAAUUGAACAGGGACUAAAUUGUAAAAAAUUGUAAAAUUUGGGGCAAAAGUAUAAUUUUAGGAAUUAAAGGGUAUGAACUGUGAAGUAGAGUAAAAUUGAAAUGAAUGCUAAUAAAUGAAUGAUUUUAUAAUUAUAGAUCAAGAACCCGAAGUGAAUCGUGGAAAAGAGAAAAUAGUCGAUUAGUCCCUGAACUUGUAUGACUUUUGUGAAUUUGCCAAGGUAAGUUCAUAUGAUUUUUAAUAAUGCAAUGUGUAAUUUAAUGUUUUGAAAUGAAAAUUUCAUGAAUGAUAUAGUAUAUUAUUGCAUAUAAAAUGCCUUUAAACUAUGAUAGUUGUAAAAUGAUAUUUGAAUAAAAGUACAAAUUAAAUGAAACGACGGACUUGAGUACUUUCAUUCAGUGGCUAAGACGAAUUGACGGAAAAGACCAUGGUUGGACCAUGGCAACAUGUGAAAUGUGAUUUCUGUAUAAGACCAUAGCUAGGCUAUGGCAUCAGAGAGAUGUGAUAUAUGCUUUCGUAUAAGACCAUAUCCGGGAUAUGGCAUCGGUGUGAUAUGUGCUACUAUAUAAGACCAUAUCUGGGAUAUGGCAUCAGUGUGAUAUGUGAUCCGUGUAAGACCAUGAUUGGGCUAUGGCCUCGGUAUGUGAUAUGUGACUAUGUGCAAGACCAUAAUUUUACUAUGGCAUUGUGAUAAUGAGGUACUCAAUUCCGUAAUCGUUCCCUAAUUUGAUUAUGAACGAAAUUGUGAAAUGGUCCAAAAGGAUUAAGAAUUGGUGAAUAUUAUGAAAAUGACAUGAUUUGGAAUAAGUUCUUGAUACUUAAUGACAUUGAGAUUAUGGAUCUAUGUUUAUCAAGCAUAAUUAUGUGUGCUUACCAUGAUGGAUGAAAUGAUAUUGUAUGGAUUUAGUGAAUAAUAGUGGUGAAUGAAUAAAUAUGGCCUUGGCAGUUUUGGGUUACUGCAGUAGUGUAAAUUUGGAAAUUCACCAUAAAUUGUGGAAAUUGAGUUAGGGGCUGAAUAAAAUAUGAUAUUAAAUCCUGAUGAGUCUAGUUUCACAUAGAGGAAACGGUUCAUGCAAUUGGAUUUUAUGUUAUUAGAUAUUUAAAUUGUUGUGAGACAGAGUCUGAAUGACUUCGAGAUCCCCUGUUCAGAUUUUAGAAAAUCAUUAUAAAUUUUACAAAAAUACUUAUGAGUUCUAAUUUAUAUGCUUAGAAUCCUUAAUGGGUUUAUUUUAAAAAAAAUAUAUACGAGAACAUUAUACGAGUCCUGUGCUAUGAGAUAAUUGAACUUAGUGUAGAAGGGUCAGAACUGUCAUACAGUGAAUCAGGGGUAACUUUGAGGAAUAAGCUAUACUAAUUGGCUAAGCCAAAAAUUCUAUAAAUUUUAUGGUAGAAAGGUAUAUGAGUCUACUUUCAGGGAAAAUUAACAAAAACUUAAUUUGAAGUUUCGUAGCUCCAAAUAUAAAUAUUUUAUUGACUAUUGUUCAAGAAGACAGCUUAUCUGAACUUGAGAAUAUGUUGGGAACAUUGAUAAAAUCUGUUAAUGAGUUGCUUAUUGUUUUCAUAUGAACUUACUAAGCGUAAAGCUUACCUCUCCUCUCCACUUCUUCAGUUUUGGCAGGUCGGCUCGAGGUUGGAGAUCAUCGGAGGCAGCAUCACACUAUCAAGCUAUUAUUUUUUUGGGGGAAUUGUUUCAAAUAUUAGAAACGUCAAGUGAGUGGCAUGUAUAGGAAGUUAGUUUUAUGACAUGUAUUAUUAUGGUUUGGUCAAACAUAUUGGACCUUAAUCACUGUGGUAGUAAGUUUAAUUAUUUAUGUCUUGUUGUAUGUCUAUGAAUAGGUGGGUACAUGUAAGGUGACAAAGGCUUGGUAAAUAGCCUAAUACUGCCCACACAGUCUGAGCGCACGGACGUGUGUCUCGGCCGUGUGUCAAUUAUAGAAUCGGUAGUGAGCUCCACGGGCACGGAACACAGGAGUGUCCAUAGCACACGGGCGUGUGUUCUACCUUCACACGGGCCUGUGGAGCCUUAAAGUAUGGAUUUUUUAAAACUUUUCGUAAGUUCUCGGUUUAGCCUCGAAAUUAUUCCAAAGAAUGUUUUGGGCUCCGUAGACUUAAAUAAGGGAUGUUAUGCAUGUCUUUGGAAAGUUUUAGAUUAAACGAAAUUGUAUGGCUCGGUUUUACUUGUAUGUGUAUGUUUAAGUCCGGUAGCACCUCGAACCCUAUCCCGACAUCGGAUGCGGGCGAAGGGUGUUACAAAGUAUGUAGAAACUGUCCCUUGACAAUUAGAGGUCAUUAUUUUCUGACUAACCUUAUGUUGUUGCUGUUUGAUGAAUUCGAUGUAAUCCUCGGUAUGGACUGGUUGACUUCUCAUAGGGUUAUAAUGGAUUGUGGACGAAAAAUCAUCAAGUUGAAAUGCAAAAAUGGGGAUGUCCUCCGGGUUGAACAGGGUGAAUAGGAUAACUCACCUGUAAUAGUAUCGUCUGUGACUGCGAAGAGAUAGUUGAGAAAAUGAUAUGAGUCUUACCUUGCAAUUGUGUUGAAUACUCAAGCGUCGAAAGUGAAAAUUGAGACAGUGCCUGUGGCAUGUGAGUACCUGGACGUGUUUUCGGAAUAGUUGCUGGAUUGCCUCCAACUAGGGAAGUUGAGUUUGGUAUCGAGUUGGUCCCUAGUAUGGCGCCUAUCUUGAUUGUUCCGUAUAGGAUAGCUCCUAUGGAGCUAAAGGAGUUAAAAGUUCAACUACAAGAGUUAACAGACAAGGGUUUUGCGAGACCGAGUUUUUCUCCGUGGGGUGCCCCAGUGCUAUUUGUGAAGAAAAAGGAUGGAUCGAUGAGAUUAUGUAUAGACUGCAGACAACUCAACAAGGUGACUGUGAAGAACAAGUAUCCUUUGCUAAGGAUCGAUAAUUUGUUCGAUCAGUUUAAGGGAGCUACCGUGUUUUCUAAAAUCGACUUAAGGUCUGGCUAUUACCAACUAAGGGUUAAAGAGCAAGAUGUACCGAAAACCGCAUUUAGGACGAGGUGUGGGCACUAUGAGUUUCUAGUUAUGCCCUUCGAUUUAAUGAAUGCCUCUGCGGUAUUCAUGGAUCUGAUAAACCUUAUUUUUUGGCCGUAUUUGGAUAAAUUCGUGGUGGUUUUUAUCGACAACAUACUAAUUUACUCACGUGAUGAGAGUGAACACGCAGAGAAUCUGAGAACGGUUUUACAAACCUUGAAAGAUAAGCAGUUAUAUGCCAAGUUUAGUAAGAGUGAAUUUUAGCUUAAAGUGGUCGGAUUCCAGGGACACGUCGUGUCGGGAAAUGGAAUCAGAGUUGACCCAAGAAAGAUCUCGGCUAUUGUUGAGUGGAAACGCCUAGGAUGUGUCAGAGAUUCGAAGCUUUUUGGGUUUAGCUGGGUACUAUAGAAGAUUUGUGAAUGGAUUCUCUAUGAUAGCUACUCCGAUGACAACGCUGUUACAAAAGGAUGAGAAGUUUGAAUGGACAAAGAAGUGCCAACAGAGUUUUGAGAAAUUAAAGACUUUGUUGACUGAGGCUCCAGUUCUGAUGCAACCAGAACCGGGGAAAGAAUUCGUGGUAUGCAGCGACACCUCCUUAAAUGGAUUGGGGUGCGUGCUCAUUCAAGAAGGCAAAGUUAUAGCAUAUGCCUCGAGAUAGCUAAAGUCACACGAGAAGAAUUACCUGACGCACGAUUUAGAGUUGUCUACCAUCGUGUUCGCGUUGAAAAUUUGGAGACACCAUUUGUAUGGCGAGAGAUGUCGAGUGUUCUGAUGACUUAAAAGGAUUUGAAUCUACGGCAACGAAGGUAGCUAGAGUUGAAAAAGGAUUACGAGUUGGUGAUUGACUACCACUCGGGGAAAGCGAAUGUAGUCACUCAUACAUUGAGUAGGAAAUCAUUGUUCGCCUUGAGGGCUAUGAAUACUCAAUUGACCAUGUCUGAUGAUGGUUUGAUUCUAGUCGAGAUAAGAGCUAGACCUACAUUCCUUCAAGAAAUCUGUGAAGCUCAGAAAUGUGACAAGGAUUUACACGCUAAGAUGGCUCAGUGUGAGUCGGGUGAUGAAUUAGAUUUUUGGAUUAAUACCGACAGCUGCUUGAUGUUCCAAGAUAGGGUUUGUGUACCCAAAGAUAAUGAGCUUAUUCAGAAGAUUUUACUAUAGGCACAUAGUGGUUGCUUGUCUAUCCGUCCGGGUAGUGUGAAAAUGUAUAACAACUUGAAGAAGUUGUAAUGAUGGUCGGGGAUGAAAAGAGACAUUUCUGAGUUUGCUUCUAAGUGUCUAGUUUGUCAACAAGUGAAGGCCGAACACCAAGUACCCUCGGGUCUACUUCAGCUUGUGAUGGUUCCCAAGUGGAAAUAAGACCGAGUAACCAUGGAUUUUGUGUCGGGGUUACCUUUGACACCAAGGAAAAAGGAUUCAAGAAUUAUACUUACCUAAUAUUUUCAAUACAAUACAAUAAACAUUCCUAUAUCCAUUCAAUGCAUUAUUACCCUAACAUGCACAAACUCAACAUUCAAGUUAGUACAAUAAUUUCCAUGUACCAAUAAUAUAUACCAUGAUUGAUGAGCUCAUCAAUACCAUGAUUUUCAUUUCCUUGUUAUUUUUUCAUAUUUAUCCCGUUGAAUUUAUUGGAAUUUCGAUGGAUUUUUCAGAGGUACACUUUUAGUGUACAAUUCCAGGUCCGUCAAAUCAUAUUCAUGUGCGCGCAUUUCCAUUUCAGAGAGCACACUCCCGUGAACCUCAACAUUGCAGCGGGAUUACCAGUCCAGGCUAAAUCCCCUGCAAUAUAAACUCAUAGAGUAUUGUCGGGAUUACCAGUCCAAGCUAAAUCCCCUGCAACGACAAUUACUCUAAUGAGCUUGAAUCUGAAUUACCAGUCCAAGCUAAAUUCAGACCCUAAUUCGGAUUACCCGUCUGGGCUAAAUCCAUUUUCCACAUAUUCUUCGGGAGGGCUAUAUCAGGAUAGGAUCACCCGUCCGGGCUAGAUCCUUUUUACCGUCAAUUCAUUUUCAAAGAUCCAUCGAAUUUUCCUUUCAUUCAACCGAGAUUUCUUCCCCUUUUUAUCAAAUAUAUCAAUGUUUCAUUAAUUUUCAUACAAUGAACAUUCAAAUCAUAUUCACAUCAAUAACAUACAUUUCAAGCAUUUAAUAAUAUAAUUCAAGUUACAGGAACUUACCUUGAUACUUGUUCCUGUACAAAAAUCUAUUAAUCCCAAACUUUUUCCUUUCCUCGAUCCAGCUUCGUAUUUGAAUCUUCUGGAUCUAGAUUUAAUUAUCAAUUUAAUACAUUUCAUGUUCAUAUGCAACAUUCUCUAUAAUUUCAUUAUUAUUUAUAGUUCAUUCAAAGCUGCCUACUUGAGUCAUAGUCACUAAAUUAUUUUUAUCUUGAGCUACAGAAUUCCAAAUUAGGAUACACUAAUUUUCCCUGAAACUAGACUCAAAUAUCUUCUUACCAUAAAAUUUUCAGGAUUUUUGGUUUAGCCAAUAAGUACAGUUUAUUCUUUAAAUUCACCCAUGUUCUGUUGUAUGACAGCUCUGACCCUUCUUCACUAAAAAUUAAUUAUCUCUUCAUACAUGAUUCAAAUGAUAUUAUUGUUUAUUUAUCUUGAAAUUAAACUCAUUUAAAAUUCUAAACAUAUAAAUUUAAGCCCCUAAUUAUUUUUCUUUAAUUUUUUAUGAUUUUUCAAAUUUAGAACAGGGGAACUCAAAUUCAUUCUGACCUUGUCUCACAAAAUUUAUUAUAUCUAAAAAUUUACAAAUCCAUUGCUUACACAGUUUAUUCUAUGAGAAACUAGACUCAAUAAGAUUUAAUUCAAUAUUUUUUUCAUCUUCUAAUUCGAUUUCUAAAAUUUAUGGUGAUUUUUCAAAGUUAGUCUACUGCUGCUGUCCAAUAUUGUUUUAGUGCAAGCUGUUUAUUACCAUUUUUCCCCUAAGCUUUUAAUAAAUGAUAAUUUCGUCCCUACUCAAUUAGCCUCUCAAUUGAGCUUAUUUUUAUCAAUUAAAACUUUAUUCUAUCACCUUAAACUAGUUUACAGCCUUUAGGAAUUAGAAUUUCAGCAAUAGACUUUAAUUCCAAAGAUUUUCACAAUUAGGUCCUAAAAAUCAAUUUCCAUUGAAAUUACCUAAUAAAAUCAUCUUAUAAACAAAUUAAAGCUUUAAUUUCAUUCUACUUCAUCAUAAACUUACAGCACUCAACCAUGGUGACUUUUAAUUUCAUCCAUGAAAUCAAAAACUAAUGAAUUUAAUAGUAGGAUCUAGUUGUAAAAGUUUUAGAAACACAAAAAUUACAAGAAAAAGGCAAGGAUUAACUCACUUGGUGCAAAAAUUAUGGAAUACCAUCUUAGAGAACCCUCCUAUGGCGUUUUUAGCUACUGGAAUUGAAGAGAAAUGAAGAGAAAUCUAGAUAUUUCCUAUUUAGUCCUAGCUUUAUUUAGUUAAUUUUGCAAUAUUCCAAUUUUGCCCUUAAUUUAUCAAUUUUCCUACUGAUUUCAUGCCCUUUCCGUCCAGCCCAAAUAAAUUUUGGGUCGAAUUGCCUUUUAAAUCCUCUCUCAUUAGACACUUAAGUUAUUUAAUCAUACCAUCCACUUUUACACCUUUUACAAUUUAGUCCUUUUCAUUUAAUUAACUACCCAAACAUUAAAAUUUCCUAACGAAAUUUUAAUACCACAUUACUAACAUUUCAUAAAUAUUUAUAAAAUUAUUUUCGAUUCAAUUUUAUGAGAUUGAGGUCUCGAUACUUUGUUUUUACCCAAUUUCUUCAAUAAUUUCUUUUUCUAACUAACUACUAAAUCGGUAAAAAAAUUUUAUCGAUAUUUUCAUACGAUUUUCCUAUUAUAUAAAUAUUCAUGCAAAAAUAUUAAAAUAAAUUUCUCUUUAAAUCAGAUUUGUGGUUACGAAAUCACUGUUCCGAUAACCUUGAAUUUAGGCCAUUAUAGUGAGGCUCAGCAAAUACGCUAGGGACUGCGUAUCUAUCGAAGCCAUCAUGUGCAAGAAAUUUGAGGAUAGAUUGAAUGAAGACAUCCGAUUAUUAGUUGGCAUCUUAGAAUUGAGAGAAUUCGUGGUGCUCGUGGAGAGAGCAUGUAAGGCCGAGGAAUUGGCCAAAGAGAAGAGAAAAGCUGAUAUCAAGUCCCGAGACUCAAAGAAAAGACAGAUGGGGAAAUCACAUCAAACCUCAUCCAAGAGAUCGAGAGAGUUCACUACUCGAUCAAAUGCUUCAGUUGGAUUUUCGAGUAAAAACAAGAACAAGCAGUACACGGCGUCCAAAGCCCAAACCACUUCUAUCACAAGUGUUGGUAGUGCUCGGCCAAAUAGGCCAAAGUGUUCGCAAUGUGGUAGGCAUCAUUUUGGUGAGUGCCGAGGGAAUGAGAGGGAUUGCUUCAAAUGCGAAUCACUAGACCAUUUCAUCUGAAACUGUCCCAAAUUCGAGACAACCACAGGAGGUAGAGGGUUAUUCUAAUUUUCAGCUAUCUCCUCGGUAAUAUUGGUAUCAUCCUAUUACUCUUCCUCUAUAUACUGUAGACUCCGCCUUAUUUCUCUACGAUUUCUGCAAGCUGUGCUUUCAAUUUCACUAUCAAAUAAUAGAGGUCCUGACAGGUUUCUUCUAGCCAUAAACUAAUAGAACCUGCCAGAAGCAAAUAAGAGAAAAAGUUAGUAAAUUAAAGUAAAAACAAAAACAAAAAUAAAAAAUGGCUAAAGUAAUAAAAAUUUAGUGUUCCUAAUAUUUUAGUCCCCGACAAUGGCUCCAAAAACUUGAUGGAUCACGAAACUAACUAAUAUUUCGACAAAGACAAGCGCACCUAUCGAAUAGUAGUAUAGUUAUGGUGAGUCCAGAAUAUCGUAUCUACAAGGACUAAAAGUACUAGUAAUAACUAUCUUUCUAUUAUUUAGCCUAAUAAUUAAAUGAGGUGUUUUAAUCUAAAAUUAAACUAAUUAACUAUGAACGCGACAGAGAUCGAAUUGGGAAAAUACUUAAUAAAACCAAUGAGAGAGACAAUACCCAGGAAAGAAUCCACCUAGACUUCACUUGUUAUUCUGACUCUGAAUCAAACGAUUUAUUCACUUGUCUUGAUCAGUAGAAAUCCCUAACAACUGACUCUAGGUUGAUUAAUUGAAAUCUCUUUCUAAUUAAAACCCUUAUUGUCGCAUUAACUCGAUCUAUGGAUUUUCCUAUUAGAUUUGAAUCUAAUCCGGCAGAUUUAUGUCGUCCUAUUUCUAGGAUUGCAAUCAACUCCGCUUAAUUAUGCUAGAUCUACUCUUAAAUAGGGACUUUUGCUCUACUGAAUAAGCACAUCGAACGUGGAUUAAUAUCCUGAAAAUAUUAAAGUAAGGAUUAAGAACACAUAAUUAAGAACAAGAACAAGUAUUUAUCAUGUAAUUCAGAUAAUUAAAUAAAAAGAUAUGUCGUAGGUUUCAUCCUCCCUAGGUAUUUAGGGAGUUUAGUUCAUCAUGUAAAAGGAAAACAUCUGAAAUUUAGAAAAACAACAAGACAUAAAAAAACCCAAAUAAACUUCGAGAGAAAUUUGAAUGGAGAUAUUCAAUUUUGAAGUGGAUCUGCUUCCGGGAUUAUUCCAACGGUUUUCUUCGAGUAAUUUCUGCUUUCUACUUCGUGUGUCUUUAGGUCUUCUUCUAGUGUGUUUAUAUAGACUUUAGAAUGCUCAGAAACCCUAAAAAUUGGCUUUUUUCUCGUGUUUGAGAAACAGGGAGCGAUAUCGACACAAGCAGGACACAUGGGCGUGUGACCAGCCAGUGUGGCACACACGGGCGUGUGACCAGCCAGUGUGGCUCACACGGGCGUGUGCUUAGCCCGUGUGGAAGAUGGUCAGGCUGUAUGGUUCCUUAAAAUAGCCUGUUUUGUCUAUUUUUUACCCGUUUUCUGCUCUUUUUGCUUCCCUAUGCUCACCUAACUAUAGAAACAUGAAAUUAAAGGAUUAGGAGCAUCAAAUUCACUAAUUUAUAUAAGAAUUCAUCCAAAAACGCACUAAGAAUGGGAUUAAAAUAUGUUACUUUUAUGGCUAAUUAAAAAUUUUCUUUAAAAUAAAGUAUUGUGAUAUUUAUAGAAUUAAACUUUAACUAAAAUUAUAUAUGAGCUUUAUACGAGGUGGUUAAGUGUAACACCCUCACUCGUAUUCAUUGCCAGAAUAGGAUUACGAAGCAUUACCGGAUCAAUUACACAAUUAUACAUACAAUUCUCAUACAUUUAUCAUCAUCAAGUAAACAUCAUUCAUAAUCAUACAUAUCGCCCCUAUUAUGAGCCUACGAGGCCCAAAACAUGCUUUAGAAGUGGUUCGGGACUAAACUGGUAACUCGGGAAAUUUUUCAAAAACUUAGAAAAUUUCUCAAGGUACAAGGGCUACACGUCGUGUGCCCCAGCUGUGUCUCUUACACGGCCAAGAGACAUGCCUGUGUCUCAGGGCGUAUAGGCAUUCAAAAUGAGAUCACAUGGCCGUGUCCCAUCCCAUGUUCAACCCCGUGUAACUCUCUGACUUGGCUACACGUCCAGACCACACGCCUAUGUGUCAGGCCGUGUGCCUCUCAAAAUGGCCUCACACGCCCAUGUGCCAGGCCAUGUGAAAACUGAAGGGUAUUGUAACGCCCCCACGCCCGAGACCAUCGCCGGAGUCGAGUAUGAGGUGUUACUAAGCUUAAUUUAACAUAUUUAGAACUUUGGAUUAUUUAUUUCUACAUUCGCAGCUUUUAAGCUACUUGCAUCAUAGUCACAAGAAAAAUCAUAUCUCGAGUUACGAAACUAAAAAUCAAGAUCUGUAAAUUUUCCCUGAAUCUAGACUCAUAUACCUAUCUACUAAUUUUUUUCUAGAAUUUUUGGUUAGGCCAUUUAGUACAGUUUAUUAGUUAAAGUUACCCCUGUUUUAGGACUUGACUGGUCUGACCUCUGUUUACUACUAACCACAUUUAUCUCUGUACAAAAUUCAUAUGAAUAUGAGGUUUAUUUCUCCUGAAACUAGACUCAAUAUGGAUUCUGAAAGUAUAAAAUACACUACCUAAUUAUAUCUUUAAAAUUUAUGGUGAAUUUCUAAAGUUGGAACAGGGGAUUCAGAAACUUCUAUGACCCUGUUUCACAAAAAUUCUAAUAUCUUCUAACAUAUAAUUCCUUUUCUUGUUUUAUUUGUUUCAUGUGAAACUAGACAUAAUAAGAUUCAAUUUUAUAUGUAGUCCAUCACCAAAUUAAAUUUCUAUGAUUUUUAGUAAAUUUUCAAACUCGCGUCAGUGUUGCUGCAGUAUCCUGUUUAUGGCAAAUUUCAUCCCUUUUGAUGAGUUUUUAUACACUAAGUAUCUUAUUAAUUUUCCUUAUCAUCAAACAUAAUCUAAACUAACCAUUUUCAUAAUUUAUCAUUAUCAAACAUUUCCUCAACCAUUCCAUUACCAUACCAUAAGAUCAUUUACACAAAAUAGAUAUAUGCCAUACUUAAAUUUACAAGCCUUUACCAAAAGUCUUUCGGAUAGUGUGACUGAGCCUUCGACCUAUCCCGACUCCUGAGCUGGCUUGGCCAAAACUACAAUGAGUAAGAAGGAGGGAGUAAGCAUAAAUGCUUAGUAAGUUCAUAUGCAAAUAAUAAGUAACAUAACAAACAGUUAUACCAAUCAACAUUAGCAUACAUCACUAAAACACAUGUCACAUUUCUAAUCAUUUUUCAUCAUCUUAUUACCUUAUCGUGGUUGUAUCAAUACUCAACCCGAGGGUUAAAUACAUACCUCUUCAAAAUAUCCAUUUCACAUCACUUACCAAUACGUCUCUUUACAUCUCAAAUAUUCCUCCAUUUGAGUAGAGCUUUACCCGUUGAACACAUCGGAAUAUAAUUCGGAUACAUGGAUAACUUGCACAUAAGUGCCAUAUAUGAAAUCAACCAAUCAUGUAACCCGCCCAUAAGUGAACUCGGACUCAACUCAACGAGCUCGGGCGUUCGCAUCCAUAAGUGAACUCGGACUCAACUCAAUGAGUUCGGAUGCCUAGUUACAUCUCUCGAACUCGGACUCAACUCAACGAGUUCGGACAUUCGCAUCCAUAAGUGAACUCGGACUCAACUCAACGAGUUCGGAUGCUCAACCAUCCUAGUGACAUGUCACUUGUAUCCUAAUCUAUUCCUAAGGUUCAAACGGGCUUUUUCCUCGAACACUUAUCCUUGCCGUCUUCCGUAGAAUGCUAAAAUCAAUACUCGGUAACAAUUAUAUUUAACAAGUAGCUCGCAUAAUUUACAUAUUAUUUGAAAUUAACCACAAAGCAUACAUUUCAUAAUUAAAUUCAGCAUAGCAUAUAAUUAACAUCAAUAACUUAAAAAUAAAAAUUAUGCUACUUUAUUUACACAUGAACUUACCUUGGUACCAAAAUACAAGGAUUUUGCAAUCUAGUCCACAAUAUUUUCUUUUCCUCGAUUGAGGUUGAUUCCACGUCUUUCUUGAUUAUGGAGCUUGGAAGCUUGAAACAAAUCCUAGCUAUGGAGAACCCUUGAAAUUUCGGCCUAAUGAAGAAGAUGGACAAAAAUUGGCUUUUAAUUUUGUUUUUAAUUCAUUUUAAUAACUAAAUGACCAAAAUACCCUUACUACUAAACUUUCCAAAAAUUCCUUCCAUGUCCUAAUUUUGUCCAUGAACUUAAAAUUGGUAAAAUUGUUAUUUAAGACCUCCUAAUUAAUAUUUCAAAGUAAUUUCAUAAUAAAAACUUCUAGAAUGCAAAUUUUGCAACUUAUUCAAUUUAGUCCCUAACUUUAAAUUAAACUCGUUAUGCCCAAAAUUUCUUCACGAAAUCUUCACACAAUUAUGCAUUCAUAUCAUAAACCUCAAAAUAAUUAUAAAAUAAUUAUUUCUAUCUCGGAUUUGUGGUCACGAAACCACUAUUCCGAUUAGGCCCUAAUUCGGGAUAUUACAACUCUCUUCCCCCCCCCUUUUAAGGAUUUUCGUCCUCGAAAAUCUUACCGGUAAACAGGUGUGGAUAUUGGUUUCUCAUAGUUUCUUCAGGUUCCCAUGUAGUCUCUUCUACCCCAUGCUUUUGCCACAACACUUUCACAAGUGCAACACUUUUAUUUCUUAGUUGUUUGACUUCUCGAGCUAAAAUCUUAAUCGGUUCUUCUUCAUAAGUCAUAUCCGGUCGUAGUUUAACUUCUGUCGGUGAAAUUAUAUGUGAAGGAUCCGAACGAUACCGACGUAACAUAGAUACAUGAAACACAUCAUGAAUCUUCUCUAAUUCAGGUGGUAACGCUAGCCGAUAUGCUACCGGUCCAACUUUUUCAAUUAUUUCAUACGGUCCAAUAAAACGCGGACUUAACUUGCCCUUUCGUCCAAAUCUAAGGACUUUCUUCCAUGGAGACACUUUCAAAAAUACCUUAUCACCAACUUGAAACUCCAUUUCUUUUCGUUUCAAAUCCGCAUAAGAUUUCUGUCUAUCUGAAGCAGCUUUCAAACAAUCUCGAAUCACUUUCACCUUUUCUUCGGUUUCUUUUAUUAAAUCAACUCCAUAGAUUUGACUUUUCUUGAGUUCAGUCCAAUACAAUGGCGUCCGACAUUUACGACCAUAUAAUGCUUCAUAAGGUGCCAUCUUCAAACUUGUCUGAUAACUAUUAUUAUAAGCAAAUUCUACCAAUGGUAAGUACCUUUCCCAACUAUCUUGAAAUUCCAAUACGCAACAUCUGAGCAUGUUUUCAAGAAUCUGAAUUACUCUCUCUGAUUGUCCAUCAGUUUGUGGAUGAAAGGCAGUGCUGAAAUUUAACUUUGUACCUAAUGCUUCUUGCAACUUUUUCCAAAACCGUGAGGUAAACCUCGGAUCUCUAUCCGAAAUGAUUGACAAAGGUAUCCCAUGAAGUCUAACAAUCUAUCGGAUAUACAAUUCAGCUAACUUAUUAAGAGAAUAAUCUGUACGUACCGGAAUAAAUGAGCCGAUUUAGUCAGUCUGUGAACUAUUGCCCAGAUGGCAUUUUUCUUCCCUGGAGUUAACGGCAACCCUGAUAUAAAAUCCAUAGUAAUCCUAUCCCAUUUCCAUUCAGGAACCAUAAUAGGCUGAAGUAAUCCCGAAGGUACCUGGUGUUCAGCUUUCACUUGUUGACAAACUAAGCACUUUGAUACAAACUCGGAAAUAUCUCUUUUCAUUCCACUCCACCAGUACAUUUUCUUCAAGUCAUUAUACAUCUUCGUACUGCCCGGAUGAACCGCCAAACAACUAUUAUGUGCUUCAUGCAAAAUCUUUUGAAUCAACUCAUCAUUUUUUGGUAUACAAAUCCGAUUUUUAAACAUCAAACAACCAUCAGAACCGAUUCUGAAAUUUGAUCCCGUAUCAGCUUCACACUGUUUUCUCUUGGCUUGCAAAUCUUGAUCAUCUUUUUGAGCUUCAGAAAUAUUUUGCAAAAACAUUGGUUUUGCUCUUAACUCUGCUAGAAUCGAACCAUCAUCUGACACUUUCAACUGAGUGUUCAUAACUCUCAAAGCAAACAACAACUUUCUGCUCAAAGCAUCAGCAACCACAUUUGCUUUUCCCGGAUGAUAAUCAAUAACAAGCUCGUAAUCUUUCAACAACUCCAACCAUCUUCGUUGUCUCAAAUUCAAGUCUUUUUGUGACAUCAAGUACUUAAGACUUUUGUGGUCGGUAUAUACCCGACAUUUUUCACCAUACAAAUAAUGUCGCCAAAUUUUCAAAGCAAACACCACCGCAGCCAAUUCCAAAUCGUGAGUAGGAUAAUUCCUCUCAUGAGGUUUUAACUGCCUCGAAGCAUAUGCCACCACUUUUCCUUCUUGCAUGAGCACACACCCCAAACCAUUUAGAGAAGCAUCACUAUACACCACAAAUUUUUUACCUGAUUCGGGCUGUACUAACACUGGUGCCUCUGUUAAUAACUUUUUCAAUUCUUCGAAACUCUGUUGACAUUCUUCCGUCCAUUCAAAUUUAACAUCCUUUCGGAGUAGUCUAGUCAUAGGAGCCGCAAUUAUAGAAAAUCCAUUUACAAACCGCCGAUAAUACCCAGCUAGCCCCAAGAAACUUCUAACUUCAGUUACAUUUUUUGGUGGUUUCCAAUCAACAAUGGCUGAAAUUUUACUAGGAUCAACCCGUAGACCAUCACCUGAAACAAUAUGACCCAAAAAUCCAACUUCCCGUAGCCAAAAUUCACUUUUACUAAACUUAGCAUACAGCUGUUUAUCUCUCAAAGUUUGCAAAACUAUCCUCAAAUGCUCAGCAUGCUCUGUAUCAUCUUUUGAAUAAAUUAAAAUAUCAUCUAUAAACACCACAACAAAUUUGUCCAAAUAUGGCCGAAAUAUGCGAUUCAUUAAAUCCAUAAACACAGCAGGAGCAUUUGUCAACCCGAAUGGCAUAACUAAAAAUUCAUAAUGACCAUACCUUGUUCUAAAAGUAGUUUUAGGUACAUCCGACUCCUUUACCCGUAGUUGGUAAUACCCAGAUCUCAAGUCAAUCUUUGAAAACCAUGUCGCUCCUUUUAGCUGAUCAAACAAAUCAUCAACUCUUGGCAACGGAUACUUGUUUUUGAUUGUCACCUUGUUUAACUGGUGAUAAUCAACACACAACCUCAUAGAACCAUCCUUCUUUUUCACAAAUAACACGGGAGCACCCCAAGGUGAAAAACUCGGUCUCACAAAACCUUUAUCAGUCAACUCUUGCAACUGCGACUUUAAUUCCUUCAACUCUGCUGGUGCCAUUCUAUACAGAGCAAUCGAAAUCGGAGCUGUUCCCGGUAUCAAAUCAAUACCAAAUUCUACUUCCCUGACUGGAGGCAAACCCGGCAAUUCUUCUGGAAAUACGUCCGCAAAUUCACACACAACCGGCACUGAUUCAACUUUUUUUUCAACUUCUUUUGUAUUAAUUACAUACGCCAAAUAAGCUUCAUAACCCUUUCUCAGAUAUCUUUGAGCCGACAUUGAAGAAAUCACACUAGGCAAUGCCUCUGAUUUAUCUGAUUCAACCCGCAGAGUUUCACCAUUUUCACACUUUAAUUCUAUAACCUUUUCUUUGCAAUUUAUUUUAGCAUCAUGCAAUGUCAACCAAUCCAUACCCAAAAUAACAUCAAACUCAUCAAAUGGCAACAACAUCAAGUCGGCCGGAAAGUAAUGAUCCCGAAUCAUUAAAGGACAUUUCUUACAUACUUUAUCAACAGUCACACAUUUGCCUAACGGAUUCGACACUCUAAUCAUAAAUUUUGUGUUCUCAACAGGUAUAUUCAUACUAGACACCAAUUUCAUGCACACAUAUGAAUGAGUAGAACCGGGAUCAAUCAAAGCAAUAACAUUAACAUUAUAGAGAGAAAAUGUACCGGUAAUCACAUCAGGUGAGGAAGCAUCUUCACGCGCUUUAAUAGCAUAAGUUCUAGCCGGAGCCCUUCCUUCAGGUCUAACCGGUGCAUCCCUGGCUACAUUCUUACUGCUUGUUUCACUUCCAGCUUUUCUCGGAUACCUUCCCCUCGAGUCUGCACCACUAGCUUUUACAUUCUGAAAUUUUUCUUUUUCAGCUCUCUCUGGGCAGCCUCUAAUAAAAUGAUCCGGAGAACCAUAUCGAAAACAUUCAUUUGCUCUACACGGACCAAAAUGAUUUCUACCACACCGCUGGCACUCAGGUUUAACAAAUCUCGAGUUCCCUACACUGGCUGCCGAAGUAGUCUGGGAUUUAGGACCCACAUUUUGCUUCUUAUAAUUCCCAUAUGAUUGCCCAGCUGAAGCUUGGGAACGAGGAUUCAUAUUCCUUGACUUUCCAGGUUGCUGUGAAAAUGAACUACUCAUCGGUCUUUUCUUCCAAUUUCUAGUUUCAGCCAAUUCUUCGGCCUUACAAGCUCGAUCAACCAAUACUACCAUUUCUUUUAAUUCAAGAAUUCCAACAAAUACCUUGAUGUCUUCGUUGAGCCCGUCUUCAAAUCAUCGGCACAUCUUGGCCUCUGUAGGAACAUACUCUCUGGCAUACUUACUUAAUCGAACAAACUCUCUUUCAUACUCUGUAACCGUCAUAUUACCUUGCUUCAGCUCAAGAAAUUCUUUACGCUUCUGAUCAAUAAAUCUUUCACUAAUAUAUUUCUUCCGAAACUCUUCUUGAAAAAAUUCCCAAGUUAUUUUCUCUUUCGGUACCACCGAAAUCAAAGUCUUCCACCAAUUAUAAGCUGAAUCCCUCAACAAAGAUAUAGCUCAUUUUAAACAUUCUUCAGGUGUACAAGAUAAUUCAUCAAAUACCCGGAUAGAAUUCUCAAGCCAGAACUCUGCUUUCUCGGCAUCAUCAUCAAUAUUUGCUUUAAAUUCUUCGGCCCCUUGCUUGCGAAUUCUAUCAACUGGAGUUCUGUGAAAUUUCAUCAGAUCCAUACCUUGAGGCAUCGGGGGUACAGGUUGAGGAAUUGGGGGAGGUGGGGGAGGUCGUACAUUUGGGUUCGUACGAACGAACUCAGUGUACCAUGCACUCAUCAUUUGGAGAAAGGCUUCUCGAUCCCUUUCUCCUCCUCCCUGACCAACAAUAGGAGGUGGAUUUUCAGUCGGCGCUGCUCCUUCAGCUGGAGCUGGCGCAUUACUCUCUACUUCAUCUGCCACAGCUGGAUCGGGAUCCAUUUACUAUAUAAAAAAAAUUCAUUUAAAAAGGUCAGAAGUCGUCACACUAUCACAAUUCAUACAUAUGGCAUGUAUAGCAAAAUCUGUACGAACAACACGUAGUCCGAGAACCGACUAAACCUGCUCUGAUACCACUAAAUGUAAUUCCCCGACGCCCGAGACCAUCACCGGAGUCGAGUAUGAGGUGUUACUAAGCUUAAUUUAACAUAUUUAGCACUUUGGAUUAUUUAUUUCUACAUUCGCAGCUUUUAAGCUACUUGCAUCAUAGUCACAAGAAAAAUCAUAUCUCGAGUUACGAAACUCAAAAUCAAGAUCCGUAAAUUUUCCCUGAAUCUAGACUCAUAUACCUAUCUAAUAAUUGUUUUAUAGAAUUUUUGGUUGGGCCAUUUAGUACAGUUUAUUAGUUAAAGUUACCCCUGUUUCAGGACUUGACUGGUCUGACCUCUGUUUACUACUAACCAUAUUUCUCUCUGUAAAAAAUUCAUAUGAAUAUGAGGUUUAUUUCUCCUGAAACUAGACUCAAUAUGGAUUCUGAGAGUAUAAAAUACACUACCUAAUUAUAUCUUUACAAUUUAUGGUGAAUUUCUAAAGUUGGACCAGGGGAUUCAAAAACUGCUAUGACCCUGUUUCACUAAAAUUCAAAUACCUUCUAACAUAUGAUUCCUUUUCUUGUUUCAUUUGUUUCAUGUGAAACUAGACAUAAUAAGAUUCAAUUUUAUAUGUAGUCCAUCACCAAAUUCAAUUUCUAUGAUUUUUAGUAAAUUUUCAAACUCGCGUCAGUGUUGCUGCAGUAUCCUGUUUAUGGUAAAUUUCAUCCCUUUUGAUGAGUUUUUAUACACUAAGUAUCUUAUUAAUUUUCCUUAUCAUCAAACAUAAUCUAAACUAACCAUUUUCAUAAUUUAUCAUUAUCAAACAUUUCCUCAACCAUUCCAUUACCAUACCGUAAGAUCAUUUACACAAAAUAGAUAUAUGCCAUACUUAAAUUUACAAGCCUUUACCAAAAGUCUUCCGGAUAGUGUGACUGAGCCUUCGACCUAUCCCGACUCCUGAGCUGGCUUGGCCAAAACUACAAUGAGUAAGAAGGAGGGAGUAAGCAUAAAUGCUUAGUAAGUUCAUAUGCAAAUAAUAAGUAACAUAACAAACAGUUAUACCAAUCAACAUUAGCAUACAUCACUAAAACACAUGUCACAUUUCUAAUCAUUUUUCAUCAUCUUAUUACCUUAUCGUGGUUGUAUCAAUACUCAACCCGAGGGUUAAAUACAUACCUGUUCAAAAUAUCCAUUUCACAUCACUUACCAAUACGUCUCUUUACAUCUCAAAUAUUCCUCCAUUUGAGUAGAGCUUUAUCCGUUGAACACAUCGGAAUAUAAUUCGGAUACAUGGAUAACUUGCACAUAAGUGCCAUAUAUGAAAUCAAGCAAUCAUGUAACCCGCCCAUAAGUGAACUCGGACUCAACUCAACGAGUUCGGAUGCCUAGUUACAUCUCUCGAACUCGGACUCAACUCAACGAGUUCGGACAUUCGCAUCCAUAAGUGAACUCGGACUCAACUCAACGAGUUCGGAUGCUCAACCAUCCUAGUGACAUGUCACUUGUAUCCUAAUCUAUUCCUAAGGUUCAAACGGGAUUUUUCCUCGAACACUUAUCCUUGCCGUCUUCAAUAGAAUGCCGAAAUCAAUACUCGGUAACAAUUAUAUUUAACAAGUAGCUCGCAUAAUUUACAUAUAUUUGAAAUUAACCACAAAGCAUACAUUUCAUAAUUAAAUUCAGUAUAGCAUAUAAUUAACAUCAAUAACUUAAAAAUAACAAUUAUGCUACUUUAUUUACACAUGAACUUACCUUGGUACCAAAAUACAAGGAUUUUGCAAUCUAGUCCGCAAUCUUUUCUUUUCCUCGAUUGAGGUCGAUUCCACGUCUUUCUUGAUUAUGGAGCUUGGAAGCUUGAAACAAACCCUAGCUAUGGAGAACCCUUGAAAUUUCGGCCUAAUGAAGAAGAUGGACAAAAAUUGGCUUUUAAUUUUGUUUUUAAUUCAUUUUAAUAACUAAAUGACCAAAAUACCCUUACUACUAAACUUUCCAAAAAUUCCUUCCAUGUCCUAAUUUUGUCCAUGAACUUAAAAUUGGUAAAAUUGUUAUUUAAGACCUCCUAAUUAAUAUUUCAAAGUAAUUUCAUACUAAAAACUUCUAGAAUGCAAAUUUUGCAACUUAUUCAAUUUAGUCCCUAACUUUAAAUUAAACUCGUUAUGCCCAAAAUUUCUUCACGAAAUCUUCACACAAUUAUGCAUUCAUAUCAUAAACCUCAAAAUAAUUAUAAAAUAAUUAUUUCUAUCUCGGAUUUGUGGUCACGAAACCACUAUUCCGAUUAGGCCCUAAUUCGGGAUAUUACAGGUAUACUGACUAUGCCACACGGCCAAGCCACACACCCGUAUGCUAGGCCGUGUGAAGCUACUGACUUGGUUUUUAGUUCAACACCAGAGGACACAUGGCCGUGUAACUUGGCCGUGUGUCACACACGGCUAAGACACACGCCCGUGUCUCUGCCCAUGUGGACAAAAAUAGGCUAUUUACCAAGCCAUUUUACCACCCACACUUGUGCAGACCUACACCAUACCAAAAGGUACCAAAACAUAGCAUAAAAAGGGAAUUCCAACCAUUCUCAAUCAGGCCCAUAUCUUGCAUAAAACCAUACUAGUAUUCACUAGAUACCAAGUAUCCUAAUAGGCUAUUUCAAAACAUGCCAAAUUCACAUUCACAAAGUAUCUAUGCAUAAUUUCAACUAAGCAAAACUUUGCCUAAAAUCAUAAGCAUACCAAUACUAAAUUCCAAGCAAAGGCUACCUAACUACUCAUCCUCAACUAACAAUUUACCAAGCAAUUAUAUGCCACAUCAAAGGGAUAUUAACACUUAUGUACAUAUAUAUACAUCAUCAACUAAACCAAAUAAGCCAACUUACAUGGCUAUAUACAUAGUAACCAUUCAUCAUUCACAAGCCAACUCAAAUGGCUACAUCCAUUACCAAAAUACAUAGCAAAAUGACCAUAACACCUAUACAUGCCGUACGACCAAAAAUUAGUUUCAAAAGUACCACAAUGAUAGAUGGAUAGUGUGAAGCGAUCUCCGACAAUCCCCAAAUCUGAACUAGCUUGAUAACACUAUAAAACAUGGAAAAUUUAAACGAUGUAAGCUAUAAAGCUUAGUAAGCUCGUAUGAUAAUAAUAAUAAUAAGCAAAUCUUACCAUCCAUUUACCAAUCAAAUAAUAGAAAGCAUUAUACAACAAUUCUAUUAAAUCUCAAAGCUACCAAGUGAUCAUUCACAUAACUUACUAAGGAACUCAUCAGUUCCAUAGUUUCAAUGCUCAAUAAACUUCCGUACAUACCUGUACCGAUACUAGAACAUCUCUCACCAUCUUAUAUCCUCAAUAUACCCGUUGAACCAUUUAGAAUAAAAGUCGGAUACCCAGGAGUCUCGCACCCUAAGUGCCAAUAUCAUGGCUUUAACUCACUCUGGCAGUACUGAUAUCAUGGCCUAAAGCCAAAUCAGUGUAACUCACACAAAGUGCUAAUAUCAUGGCCCAAAGCCAACUCAGUGUAACUCGCACCCCAAGUGCUAAUAUCAUGGCCCGAAGCCAACUCAAUGUAUCCCCUAAUGACAUGACACUCGUAUCAUAUUCUAUUCCUAAGGUUCAAUCGGGAUUUUCAAUGUCGAGUCUUCGCCGAAUGUGUCCGCAACAUUGUAAUUCACAAUUUAGGCAACAUCAAAGCGAUUAAUACACAUUUAUAAUAAUGCUUAUUGCAUACAAACUUACCUCAGUCAGAAAAACAGCGAACUAAGUCAAUUAGUUCGAAAGCUUUUUUUUCCCCGAUCUAAGUCCAAAUUUCCCUUUUCUUGAUCUAUAGGUAAUCAAAAUUAUCUUAUUUAAUCACCUCUCAAUUCAAUUUAAUCCAAAACACAUUAUGAAAAAAUUACACUUUUGCCCCUAAUAUUUCAAUAUUUUUACAAUUUAGUCCAUAUCUCAUAAAAAUGCAAAUUCAUCAAUUAAGCCCUUACCCAUGCCAACCGAAUUUCAUAGGGACCCCUAGCAGCCCAUAUUUUUCAUUUAUUUCACAUUUCAACCACAAAAUUUACACAUUUCACAAUUUAAUUUAAAUUUGGACAUUUUACUAAAAAUCACUUCACAAAUGUUGUUUAUCUAACAACAACCAUGCAUUUUCUACCAUUAAACAUCAAAAUACACCAACAUUCAUCAAUGGAAAAACCCUAUACUUUUAACAAUUUCUCAAAUUAGUCCUUGGGCUAGCUAGAUGAAGUUACAACGAUGCCGAAAACAUAGAAAUCAUUAUAAACGGAACAAAAUUCACUCACAUGCAUGGAGUUCUUGGCCGAACCUAGCUUCAAGCAAAAAUGGCUUCUUUCUUUUGUAGAAUCGGUUGGAAGAAGAUGACAAUGAGUGGGAAUUUUGUUCUAUUUUAUUUUAUUAACCUUUAAUUAUCAAAUACAAAAAUUAACCUUAAAUUAAAACAUUAAAAAUCACCUAAUCCAUGUCCAAGAAUGUCCACUAACAUUAGCAAUUGUAUAAUUACCACAUAAGGACUUCCGCUAAUUAAUUUUAUAGCCAUUUAAUAAUUUUGGAUAUUAGCACAACACUUUUAUACUUUUUGCGAUUUAAUCAUUUUUAUCAAAUUAAGCACUCAAACGAUAAAGUCUCUUAACGAAAUUUUCACACAAUCAUACUAUCAUGCUGUAGACAUUAAAAUAAUAAUAAAAUAAUUAUUUUGACCCCAAAUUUGUGGUCUCGAAACCACUAUUUUGAUUUGACUAAAAACGAGCUAUUACAUUAAGUCGAUCUCAGGUUUCUAUUGAACGACCUUCUCCACUAUUCAUAAACAGAUUUAGGAUUUAUUUUACUUGGAUUCUGUCCAAUAUACUAUCAGCCAAGUCAGUCACAUUUAUGUCUCUAUCUUCUAAGAGUCAUCUGCUUCAAUACCAAGACAAGGUAUCUCUCCAAUUGGAUUUGAUAGACGACAUAUUAGUUUUUCAAUCGAUUUGUUCAAUUUUGAUUAGACUAAUAACAUGUUUGGAUUAUCUACUAAUAUAAGUUGUCUUUCCUUAUUACGAUCCGACCACAUAAUGCCGUUUAAUAUUAGUUAAACUUUAGAUAAUUAGUAAACUAAUAUUUGUUUUCAUUUUUCUUUACAUGCAAAAACUAUUGAAGACAAUAUAUGAAUAUAUUAAUGAUACUGAUGAAUAUUUUAUUAAACUAAUUUUUUUUGAAAAAUUACAAGUACAUAUAAACAAAAUCACUAGAUCCUAACGGGUUUAAAUCCUACAACUCACUAUAUACCAAACUUACACUUAUACAAAAAAUCUAGAUCACUUUCCACUAAAUUUUCUCUCGAAAAACCGCGGCUAUAUAAUCAAAUUGGUUUUUAAUAGAAUAAUAUAAAGCGCUGACUUUCUUACAAACUAAGUCAAGCUUCACAUAUAUAGUUACUUUAGCCACGGUGAAAUCAAGGGCGUAGCUAGGGGGCUAGCAAGGGCCUUAAUUUCUCCCUAAAAUGAAAAAUUUUUCAUUUAAGUGCUUUAAAUUUUUUAAAAUUUUAAAUUAGUAAAAAUAAAAAUACACUUUGGCCUCCUUAAAAAUGAUAAAAAAUUAAUUUAAUAUUUUAAAAAUUAUAAAUAUAUAGACUAUUAAAAUGGUGAAAUUAUAUUUUUACUAUCAUAAAAAUUACAAUUUAAUUUCGGUCCCCUAAAAAAAAUUUGAUUUCGCCUCUGGAUGAAAUACAAAUAUAUUACAAUAACAAUACCCACCAAAGUAUCUUACAAAAUAUCCUAACAAAGUUUAGGAUAAAUAAUGAAAAUUUCAAGAUAUUCUUUAACUCAGUCGAUCCAAUUUCCAUUAAAUAGGGAAUUCGAUUUGCAUGACGAAUUGACAUUCGAUCAUUUAUGAUUUGUUCCUUCGUUAGAUUAAUCUUCUAAGACGUGCCAUGAAAGCUUGCAACAGAUUAUGAGUUCAACAUUCAAAUAGAUUUAGCUAAAAUGAUUAUCAGUUCUAAACAUGAUAAAUUAUUGUUUCAGCCUAGCUACAACAUAAGUUGAAACUGCUCUUGUAGCUGAAACCAUAAUUUCUCCAACAAAGGUUUCAUCUGCACCACAUUUAUAGAGCAAAAUUUAUGACUAAACAACGAUAUUUUCCAAAUAAUUUAAAUUUUUUUCAAAUCUAUCCGUAAAAGAGCUAAAGGGUAUAGGCAGCGACUAAAAUCAUGUCAAGCAUUUACAUUGGUAUGUAUACUGGCACCAUUGAAGGAACGUUUGAUUCCUUUGAACAAUUUGUCUAGCAAGCAUCAGAACCUCCUUUCCAAAACUUUCAAAGCAUAAUUAUUGUUUUCUCUGUAUUAAAUUUGAUUCUCGAUUUUUUGUCGCUUCUUCUAAUCACAUCCACUAUAAAUUUGCCUUAGUUUAUUACUAAAAGCACAACUUAAAACAAAAGAUUUUAACUAGAAAUCAAAAAUGGGACAGCCACAAAGCAAACCAAGCAAACCAAGCAAACCAAGGUUUCCUCAACCAGGGGAUCACAUCUACUGUGAAAGAAAGGGAGGUCUCUAUGAUCACCAUGGUUUGCUCUGUUUCUUUUCAAUUUUUUAUCCAUAUACCCAGAAGAUCAUAACAUGUAUACACACACAUAAACAUUGGGUGUUUCUGAUUGAGCACUGCAGGAAUAUAUGUGGGGGACGGCAUGGUGAUUCAUCUCCGGGGAGCAGCGAAGAAACUUGGGGAGCUACCUGCAUGCCAUAGAUGUGGAGGCAAGCGAGUCGAAAAUGGUGAAAUAGCAAAAGUAUGCAUAGAUUGUUUCCUUGAUGGUGAAACGCUCCAGAUCUAUGACUAUGGAGUUCCCGUUCUAGAAUUCAUUAGUAGAAAACGUGGUACUUGCUGCACAAGCCGUUCCAAGCCUCCUCAUGAAGUUAUUAGCGCCGCAACUGAUUUACUUGAACGGAAUGGGUUUGGCCCCUACGACAUGUUUACUAACAACUGUGAGCACUUCGCUGUGUAUUGCAAAACAGGCUCUAAGGUAAGUUACCAGAUUUUAGGCCGUAUUGAACUAGCUACUACUGCUGCUCCCGCUGGUAUUCUUGCUGGCGCUGCUGUUGCGGCAGGUUAUGGUGCUUCGGGAAGCAUGUAACUUCUGCCUGCAACUCAUUCACGGGACUUCAAUUACAUCUUACUUAUAAGUAUGAACCAUGUUAAGAAGAUCUCAUAUCCCAGUAAACUUAAAAGUCAAAGCCAACUAGUGCUGAUAUUCACCUAUAUGCAAAUAUGAAUUACAUAUUUGGUAUAUAAGUGUGUUUGAAAACAAUAUAAAAUAAGUAAUAAAAUAUAGGUUGUGGUGUUUCGGAAGGAGUGUAACUUCUGCCUGCAACUCAUUCACGGGACUUCAAUUACAUCUUAUAAGUAUGAACCAUGUUAAGAAGAUCUCAUAUCCCAGUAAACUUAAAAGUCAAAGCCAACUGGUGCUGAUAUUCACCUAUAUGCAAAUAUGAAUUGCAUAUUUGGUAGAUAACUGUGUUUGAAAAUAAGUAAUAAAAUAUAUGAUUUCAAACUAAUAAUAACAAUACAUAUGCAAAAUGCACAAAAUUAAAAUGAAAAAUUAAUUUAAAUUGUGAGUAAAAGAAAUUUAAAUAAAUAAAUUAAAUAAAUAAAUACAUUAUAUUAAGAAUAUCAAAUGCACUCCAAUUGCUUAUCAUUGGUAUUGUUAUUUUUCUAUAGCACUUAAAAUGUUAUCGUGUUAAUAUGUUAUGAUAUUGGUGAAAGGAAAAUUCAAUAUUAAAAAUUUUUUUUUUUGAAAAGAUACAAUAUUGAGUUGAUCCGUGACAUUAACUCAAUCAAUCAUAUUAUCUAUACUAGAAAUCUUAUUACAUGCGUAUACGUGUGAAAAUCACGUAUUUAGAAUACAAAUUUGUGUUUAAAAAUAACACACAAUAUAGUUAAUGAAAAAUAUGAUUUAGAAUUAAUUAAUAAUAACACAUGCCAUAUGUGCAAUACUAAAAUAAAAAAUUAGAUUAAAUUGUGAGUAAAAUGAAAUUUAAAUCACAUCAUAUUAAGAAUACUAAAUGAAUACAAUUGUUUAUCAUUGUUUUGUCAUCAAUCUUGAAUUGAUUUUGUGUUUGUUAACUCGAAUGAUUAACUCAAAAUCUCCAAGAGGGAAGGAAAAUUGGCCUUUAAGAAAAAUGGUGGAAGCAAUAAAAAAAAUGAAACAAUGAACAUAAGAGUUUAUAGUGGUUCAGCCCCAAUUACUUACCCCACUACCUUAGCUUUCUUCAACUAAGAAUUUUCCUAAAUUCACUAUUUUGAUAACCUUUGAGGAUAAUGUUUAACCUUACAAUCUUCCUUAAAAUUUCUACCCAGAAUCUUAAGAUUGUAACUCUCUUAUAGUUUCUAUCCAAACAUUAAGAUUCAACCAUCUCAAAAAGAUACAAAGAAGCGAAUAAAGAAAUAAUCUUUACAACAUCAGAAUGUUUGCCAAUUAAGCUCAAAUAAACAUGAAUACACUUGGGUUAAAGAAUAACAAUGAAAGCUCAUAAGUGUGUAUAAGAAAAAUAUGAAAGAAUUAAACAGUAAGGUUGUUUUGAUUGAUCUUUAAGCUUGACGAUCUCUCUCUUUAUUGUAGGACAUUUAAAAGAUGGUAUUUAUACCCUCUAAUUUAUUUUCAACCAUUGUGGUUGUUGUGAAAGUUAAUAGAGCCAUUGGAAUGAAAAUAUACUGGAGCAUUAAAUUCACUUACAACAAAAUGUAUUGAUACUUUUUUAACGAGUAUUGAUACUAUUAGCAUUUAAUUUCUGAUUUAGUGACCGUUAAAGUUAGUUAAUUUACGUCGAUACCAAAAAUAAUUUAUCGAUACCUAGUAAAAGGUAUCGAUACUUUUUAUAAUUGAUUGAAAACAAAAUGUCAAUUUUGUAUCGAUUUUAGAAAGGGUAUCGAUAUUUUGAAAACUAUCAAUACUUGGCCAAAAAGUAGACUUUUUGGCCUGGAGUAAUACUGACUUGUUUUAAAACGGUUUUAACUUGAUUGAAAAUGUUUAACUCAAUUGAAAUUAUUUUAACUUGAUUUUAUUAUUUUGCUAAUUUUGUUCAACUUUAACUUUUAUUCAAAAAUAUUUUAACUUGCUAUAUCAAAACAUAUUACCAAAUAAAGUUAGGUGUAACAGUGUUCAUUUGUGAUACUAACUCAAUCGACAAAAUUAUUCAUAUACACAAAUAUAUAAAAAUUCAAAACACAAAUAUACUUAUUAAAGUUCCAAAAUAAAAACUAAUAAUUACUUUAAGGGUAAUCUACAAAAAUAGUCACUUUUGUUUGCCUCAGGUUACAUUUUAGUCACUUAUGUUUGAAAUGUUACGUUUUAGUCACUUAUGUUAUUAUUUUGUUACGAAAUGAUCAUUCUACCGUUAAGUUCUGUUAUCUCUCUAACGGUAGUCCUACGUGGCAAUCCAACUAGAUUUUAGGUGCCAAUUUAAAUUUCUAAAUUGGAUAAAAAUAGAUUUUUAAUUAAAAAAAUUAAUUAAUUAAAAUUUUUAAACCUAAACCUUAACUAAAAAAACUGUUAUCUCCUCUUUUUUUAUUUUUCUUUGUCUUUUCUUUUUUUCAAUUUUUUUUCAUUUGACUGAAAAAACUAUUAUUAAGAUCAAAAUAGUUCAAAUCAAAUUGACUGCUUCAUAAAAAUGGAUUCAAUGGAGGGUUAAAAAGUUUUUAUGUGCAUGGUGUCAUUGGUUAAAAUCUCAUUAUGGAUAAAUUUUUAUUGAUUUAUAAAAAUAUAAAAAGACAAAAGCAUCCACAUAAUCAUAUAACUUUACAAAUAAAAUGAUUUUUUUGGUAAUUUCUUAACUAGGUUGAGACUUGGGUGACGCUAACUCAAUAAAAUGCUUAAUAAAUAAUAUAGAUACAUAUAACACGAAGUGGGUGGAAAAAAAUUAUGUAAAAAAAUUAUUUAAGACCAUAAUGAAUCUUUGUUUCGCUAGUUGUAACUCUACGUUUUGCUUCUGACAGUCUUAAAAUUCAAACUUUAAGUUUUCAUAAACCUAAUCCAUAUCAUACAACACUUAAUUAAUUAUCAAAUAUUAAAAUCAUAUAAAAAUCGAGCAUAAUUAAAAAAAAAAAAAACUCAAACAAACGCAAAUGAGAAAGCUAAGAUGCAACAUUUCACUUAACAACCAAACGAAAUAUUAAAUAUAAAGGCCGAAAUAUGAACACUUAUUACAUAUGAAGAUGUUUCUCCAUUUGUAACUACUGAGAGUUACUUUGAAUUUUUUGUUAGGAGAGAGUAAGUAGAGCUUAAGGGGAGCUGGAGCUUAAUGUCAAUGAUGCUAGUAUUACAUUCAUUACUUGAGAAAGUUGACUUUAUGUUUUAGGUCAAAAAAUGCUAAAGAAGAGAAUUGUCAACGACUCGAAAGUUGCAUGCAAAUUCCAUUACUAGAAAAAUUUUCAGAAGCCUAUUAAAAAAAUUCUUUUAGAAGGAAAUUUACAAUUUUUAGACGACUUUUUAGGUCAUGAUUAGGCUAAUAAGAAAAUAUACAUGACGGUUGGUGGCGUGCUUUUGGAAACUUUGUCUAAGGGCUUCUCUGACUCUCCAUAUAAUUACUUCUAGAUAUGUGUACUUGCAACGGCAUGUAAUAGGAAUAUUAAUAAGUGAUGAAUGUUAAAAUUAUAUAUAAAUUUUAAUUUAAUGUGUAAUUAUUAUAGCGACGUAAAAUUUUUUUUCUUCCGGUCGCUAAUUGUGGCGAUUUAAUGAAAAGUUGAAAACUAAAGAUUAAUUUUGAAGUAAAGUGGGAGUCGCCACCGAUCUUUUUUUUAGGUGUGAUCGGACACCUAAUAAAACAUCUUUUUGAAAAGAAAAUUUAUUCUCGAACAAAGAUGAAGGCUAAAUUUAGGUCUACGUCAAAAGUCAGAUAAAAAUCAGGGUUCGGGAGUCGGUUACGCGCGAGGAAGGUAUUAGCACCCUCGCGACGCCCAAAAUUAGUAUCUUAUAAACACGUGUUGUCUUGAUUUUCAAAAAUUCGAGUUCAAUGCAAGAUUUAGUCGUGAUCCAGUUGAAAAGACGAGAAAUUUUAGUUUUUUUGGUUUUUUAGAAGGGCAUACCGUUUUAACACGAGUCGAUUGAUGUUCACCCAACAUAGCGAUGAAAUCGACGACUUAGUAUUAAACCGAUACGUUGGCUCAUGUAUUGAAAUUAAUUAGAAAACAAGAAUAAGAUUUUCGAACUCAUGCAAAGCAAAUAAAUAAAUGACAGAGCUAGAAAUAUAUUGACGCAAAUACAAGUGUGACAAUAAUAUUAAAAGUAACAAAGAUAUAUGCGAUAUUAGACAUAAUACUAGAAUUAAACACGAAAUAGAAACAAUGAAUGCACAUACAUAAUGAUGAUGUUAGGAGUAUGUACGUAAUAUAGGAAUGAAAAAUAUUUACAUAAUAAUACUAAAUAUAGGUACAUAAUAUAUAUAUAUGCAUAACAUAUUUAAAAUGAACACAUACAAUAUACACAUAUAAUAGACACACACUAAUAAUAAUAGUAAUAAUAGUAAUAAUAGAAAGAUAUAUAUAUACCAAAUAACACCUAACAAUAUGAUAAGUAGCAAAAUGGAAAAUAAUAAGUAUAUUAAUGAGCAUAAUAAAAUAAUGCUAUAUAAAAUAUAUAUACACGUAAAUUAUAUGUAAUAAUAUUAGUAAUAAGUAUAAUAGGAAUAAAAUAAAUGUAAUAAUGAGAUAUACAAGAUACAUACAUAAAUACAAGGUUUAAAAGGCAUAUAUAUCCGUAAUAUAUAAAAACGUAUAUAUAAUAUUAAAACAUUUACAUAACAUAUACACACAUAAUUAUAAUGUUAAAAAACACACUUAAUAUUAAUAACAAUAUUAAUAUUACAUAAAGGUAUACCUAUAUAUACAUUAAAGAUGUAUACAUAUAUAAUAAAAUACUUGAAUAAUAUGAUAUUAAAAAUAUAUGUAAUACGUAUAAUAAAAAUAAUAUACAUAAUAUAAGAAUAUAGGAGUAUAGGAGUAUUAAAAAUAUAAAUAAAAUAAUGAAGAAAUGAAUAAAAAUAGUAUGCAUAAUAAUAUAAUAAGAAAAUAUUAUAAUAAGUACUAAAAAAUAUCUAUAUAUAUAUAUACAUGUAUAAUAAUGAAUAAUAUGAUAUACGAAAAAUAGUACUAAUAAAAAGUAUAUAUAUAUGUGUAAUAAAAUAUAUGUACUAAUAUUAGUAAUAAAUAUAAAUAAUAUAUACAUAGUAUGGUAUUAAAAAAACAUAGAUAUAUAAAACAUAGUACUAAGAUAUACAUAUAAUAUGUAAGAAUAUAUAUAUGUCAUAAAGUAUUAAAAAUUUGUACACGAUGCAUAUAAUAUGAUGUUAAGAGUAUACAUAUGAAAUAUGAUAUUAAAAGUAAGUAUACGUAGUACAAAGAAUGUAUAUAUAUAAUAUAGCAUUAAAAUAUAUGCAUAAUAUAUUAAAGAAUAAUAAUGUUAUAAGCAACUAGUAAUAAUACUUCAUAAAUAUAUACAUACUAAAAAUAUACAUAAUAAUAAUAAUAUAUACAUACAAAGUACACUAAUAUUUAAAAAUAAUAACAGUAAAUAUAAUAUUAAUAUUAAAUAAAAUUAAUAUUACAAAUUUAAUUUGAGAGCAAAAAUGACAAAAAGGACUAAAUUCGGAUUAAAAACAAAGUUUAGGGAAAAUUCGAAAUAAAAAAAGAAAAGAGAACAACCUAUUUCAACGCGCGCAAAUAGUGGAGGGACUAAAAACGAAAUAAACCCAUUCGAUCAAAUCGCACAGUAUUAUGGGGACUAAAUUGAAAACCAUGGAAAAUUAUGGGGUCGAAUUAAAAAAUGACAAAAUACUUAAUUGCAAAACGUUUAAAAAGCGGAGGGGUUAAACGCGCAAAUAACCCUCCCUUAAAAAACACGCUGAUCCUGCUCGGAGCGGGUCGGGUCGACCCGACCCGGGUCCAAAACGACGUCAUUUUAUUGUUAAAACCGGGGGACCAAAAUGCACCGUUUUUGUCCCCUAUAAAAGAUAAAAAAAUUUCAAAAAUUUCAUUUGGGACCGGGGAAAGAAAAAAAAAGAAAGAGAGGGGGGAGAGAAAAUGGAUUCCGGCCAGGGGGCACCGGUCCGUCACCAGACCACCGUCGGUCGCUGGCGCCGGCCACCGUGAAAAUCGAAAGGUAUGAUUUUUCUUCCCUUUUUUUUUAAAAAAAUUGUUUUAUAUUUUUUUAUAUAUUUUAGUAUAUAUAUGUGAAAAAUAGGCCUAGAAAACGAAACUAAAACAAAAAAAAUAUUACCUUAAAUUUCUAGUUUUUGAUUUUUGAUAUCUUUGAUUCUCUGAUUUUGAGUGUUCGAAUCACUGCUUGUAUAUGUAUUGUACUCUAACUUAGGUAUUGAUUUUCCUUGAACAUUCGAAUAAACACCAAAAAGAAAAAAAAGAAGAAAAAGAGCUGACCCUUUUACAAUGGUUUUCAUGGCUUUUUAUAGCCUUUACAUGGUCUGUUUCUUAUUGUUGCAUGUCUGCUUGACCUUGCAGGUGAGUUGGUGGCCGGUGGAGGUGACCAUGGGGUAGGUGGCGCCAGGGGAUGGUGUUGGCAGAGGCAAGUGAGAGGGUGGUUGCGGCGCUGAGGCAAGUGGGAAGAGGCUAGGGUUUGUGAUAGAUUUUUUGAAUUUGGUUUAGGGUUUGGGUGUAAUUGGGCUGUUGGGUAUUUGGGUUUUUUGGUGGGUUAGUUUAGGUGGGCUCAGGUAGGUUGAUGUGUAUUAGGCUGAUGGUUGUAAAUUUAUUUGGGCUGAGGGUGGGUUAGAUGGUUUAAGGGGUUUAAUGUAUUGGCUUUAUUUGUUGGGUCAAAAUUGGGUAGGUUAGUUGUAAUGUAUUUGGCUGAUGGGUUAUUUUGCUUUGGGUUUUAUUGGUUUAAUGUAAAUGGGUCAUGGAUAAAAUUGGGUUAUAAUAGCUACCCCUCUUUGCUCAUUUCGUGUAACAGGAAUGGAGCAAAGACAUAAUGAAAGGCCAAUUUUGCCCGUCUUGCCGAAUCUUGAUUUCAUUGGUGCUCCUCUUGUUCAGGUAGUCUCUUUCUAGUCCAUCGCAUCUUGUAGCUUUGGUUCAAUCCACUGCAUCUCCUGAUAUACGCCUUGUAGUUUCAAUCUUCUUCAAUGUAGCUUCAAGGAUAUGAGAUUUGUGGCUUCAAUCUGCCUUACUUGUAACUUUAGAAAGAUAAGAUCUACGACUUCAAAUCUGCUUUUCUAUCGCUUCAAUGAGAUAAGGUUUGUUGUCUUCUCUUCUGUAACUUUUAGAAAGACAAGAUCUGAUAUCCUCUAUCAGCUCCACUGCAACUUCAGGGGGACAAAACUUGCAACUUUGACCUGCUCCGCUGCAACUUCAGGAAGACAAGACUUGUAACUUUGGCCUACUCCACUGCAACUUCAGGGAAACAAAAUCUGGUGUCUUCAAUCAACUCCAAUCUUUAUUCUUUACUCGGCAUGUGAUCUUAAGCUCAACUUAUUUAUCGCAAUAUGGAUUGACUCUUGAAAACAGACAUUAAAAACAGAAAUUGAAAAUAGCUCAGCGCGUGAGCCAAGGCUCAAUUCACCUCUCGCAAUAUGAGUUGGUAUUUUUGAAACUUAAUUUGAAAAGUUGAUUUUUGAAAAUACCUCGACAUGUGACCCGAGGCUCAACCCACCUCUCGCAUUAUGAGUUGAUUUUUUUGAAAAAAAAAAUGUAAAUUGAAGAAACAGGAAUUGAAAAUACCUCAGCGUGUGAACCGAGGCUCAACUCACCUCUCGCAAUAUGAGUUGAUUUUUGAAAACAGAAUUUGCAAAACAGAUUUUGAAAAUAUCUCGGCAUGUGACCCGAGGCUCAACUCACCUCUCGCAAUAUGAGUUGAUUUUUGAAGAGUAGAAAUUAAACAGAAUUCGAAAAACAGAAUUUGAAAAUACCUCGACAUGUGACCCGAGGUUCAACUCACCUAUCGCAAUAUGAGUUGAUUUUUUUGAAACGUAAAUUAAAGAACAAAAAUUGAACAUACCUCAGCUUGUCCUGAGGCUCAACUUACCUCUCGCAAUAUGAGUUGAUUUUUUUGAAACAUAAAUUGAAAAUACCUCGGCGUGUGACCUGAGGCUCAAUUCACCUCUAGCAAUAUGAAUUGAUUUUUGAAAAACAUAAGUUGAAAAUACCUCAGCAUGCCCUGAGGCUCAACUCACCUCCCGCAAUAUGAGUUGAUUUUUGAAAAACAUAAAUUGGAAAUACCUCAGCGUGCCCUGAGGCUCAACUCACCUCUCGCAAUAUGAGUUGAUUUUUUUGAAAAGCAUAAAUUGAAAAAAAAUGAAAAUCAAAAAUACCUUAGCGUGUCCCGAGGCUCAACUCACCUCUCGCAAUAAGAGUUGAUUUUUUGAAACAUAAAUAAAAAACAUCAAAAUACCAAAAGAUGUCUUCUGGUGGAAUUCAUGUGUCUUUUCCUUGAUCCAGUAUAACUAUCAUUCAAAAUUUCUUGCUCUGCUGGAGUACCUGUGUAUGUCAUGUAUGAUGUUAUCAUGAUAUGCACAUGUUGGUCUUAAAUGCCUUUAUGCCUACAUGAUCAUGCUAUGCGCCUUGGGCUUGUUUGUCAUAUGCCCUUUUCUAUCAUGAUUUUUGAUGAUCUGCGUUCAUUUAUUUGACUCUUUACUUUCUCUUCAGGCCCUGUGUAACGCCCCCACGCCCGAGACCAUCGCCGGAGUCGAGUAUGGGGUGUUACUAAGCUUAGUUUAACAUUUUUAGAACUUUGGAUUAUUGUUUCUACAUUCACAGCUUUUAAGCUAUUUGCAUCACAGUCACAAGAAAAAUCAUAUCUUGAGUUACAAAAACUCGAAAUCAAGAUCCAUAAAUUUUCCCUAAAUCUAGACUCGUAUACCUAUCUACUAAUUUUUUUCUAGAAUUUUUGGUUGGUUCAAUUAGUACAGUUUAUUAGUUAAAGUUACCCCUAUUUCAGGACUCAACUGGUCUGACCUCUAUUUACUACGAACCACAUUUCUCUCUGUAAAAAAUUCAUAUGACUAUGAGAUUUGUUUCUACUAAAACUAGACUCAAUAAGGAUUCUGUGGAUAUAAAAUAUACCACCUAAUUAUAUCUUUAUAAUUUAUGAUGAAUUUCUAAAGUUGGAACAGGGGAUUCAAAAACUGCUAUGACCCUGUUUCACUAAAAUUCAAAUAUCUUCUAACAUAUAAUUCUUUUACCUGUUUCAUUUGUUUCAUGUGAAACUAGACAUAAUAAGAUUCAAUUUGAUAUGUAGUCCAUCACCAAAUUCAAUUGCUAUGAUUUUUAGUAAAUUUUCAAACUCGCGUCAGUGUUGCUGCAGUAUUAUGUUUAUGGCAAAUUUCAUCCUUUUUAUGAAUUUUUAUGCACUAAGUAUCUUAAUAGUUUCCUUAACAUCAAACAUAAUCUACACUAACCAUUUUCAUAAUUUAUCAUUAUCAAGAAUUUCCUCAACCAUUCCACAACCAUACCAUAAGAUCAUUUACGCAAAAUAGGUAUAUUGCUAUACAUGCCAUACUUAAAUUUACAAGUCAUUUACCAAAAGUCUUCCGGAUAGUGUGACUGAGCCUUCGACCUAUCCCGACUCCUGAGCUGGCUUGUCCAAAACUACAAUGAGUAAGAAGGAGGGAGUAAGCAUAAAUACUUAGUAAGUUCAUAUGCAAAUAAUAAGUAACAUAACAAACAGUUAUACCAAUCAACAUUAGCAUACAUCACUAAAACACCUAUCACAUUUCUGAUCAUUUUUCAUCAUCUUAUUACCUUAUAGUGGUUGUAUCAAUACUCAACCCGAGGGUUAAAUACAUACCUGUCCAAAAUAACCAUUUCACAUCACUCACCAAUACUUCUCUUUACAUCUCGAAUAUUCCUCCAUUGAGUAGAACUUUACCCGUUGAGCACAUCGGAAUAUAAUUCGGAUACAUGGAUAAUUUGCAUAUAAGUGCCACAUAUUCAAUCAAGCAAUCAUGUAACCCGCCCAUAAGCGAACUCGGACUCAACUCAACGAGCUCGGGCGUUCGCAUCCAUAAGUGAACUCGGACUCAACUCAACGAGUUCGGAUGCCUAGUUACAUCUCACGAACUCGGACUCAACUCAACGAGUUCGGACAUUCGCAUCCAUAAGUGAACUCGGACUCAACUCAACGAGUUCGGAUGCUCAACCAUCCUAGUGACAUGUCACUUGUAUCCUAAUCUAUUCCUAAGGUUCAAACGGGAUUUUUCUCGAACACUUAUCCUUACCGUCUUCCGUAGAAUGCCGAAAUCAAUACUCGGUAACAAUUAUAUUUAACAAGUAGCUCACAUAAUUUACAUAUUAUUUGAAAUUAACCACAAAGCAUACAUUUCAUAAUGAAAUUCAGCAUAACACAUAAUUAAUAUCAAUAACAUAAAAAUAAAAAUUAUGCUACAUUAUUUACACAUGAACUUACCUUGGUACCAAAAUACAAGGAUUUUGCAAUUUAGUCCACAAUCUUUUAUUUUCCUCGAUUGAGGUCAAUUCCACGUCUUUCUUGAUCUAAAAUAACACAUUUAGCUCAUUUAAUACUCACAUUAUCAAAUUAAUCCUUAACUCAAAUUUUGGCAAAAUUACAAUUUUGCCCCUAAACUUUUGCAUAUUUACAUUUUUGCCCCUAGUCUCAGGAUUAAACUUUAUUGCUUGUUCUUAUGUUUUACAACAUGCUGAUUACUUUCCUCUUCUAUGGCAACAUCAAAUUCUCACUCUAACAUGUACUUAUGACUAUUAGGUAUUUUUACCGAUUAAACCCUUUUACUCGUUUUCGCUCAAAACCGAGUAGCACAAGUUGUUUAACAUAAUUUAAAACCCCAUAUUCUAUCAUAAAACAUCAAAAUACACAAAUUUCACCUAUGGGUAUUUUUCCAAAUAUGAACCCUAAGUUGAAUUAUUGUUAGCAUAAGCUUAAUCGAGCUACCGGGAUCUCAAAAACGUAAAAAUCAUUAAAAACAGGGCUUAGAAUCACUUACUAUGAAGCUUGAAAGUUGAAGAAACCCUAGCUAUGGUGAGAGUGAAGUUUCGGCAGCAACUAAAUGGGGAAGAUGACUAUUUUGUGUUAUUUUUCCCAUUUUAUUUCAUUUAAUAUCAAAAUGACCAAAAUGCCCCCUCCUCGCUAAACUUUCAAAAAUUCCUUCCAUGUCCUAAUUUUUCCCAUGAACUUAAAAUUGGUAAAAUUUCUAUUUAAGACCUCCUAAUAAAUAUUUCAAAGCAAUUUCAUACUAAAAACUUCUAGAAUGCAAGUUUUGCAACUUAUUCGAUUUAGUCCCUACUUUCAAUUUAAGCACUUUAGGCAUAGAAUUUCAUCACGAAAUUUUCACACAAUCAUGUAAUCAUAUCAUAAUCAUCAAAAUAAUUAUAAAAUAAUUAUUUCUAUCUCGAAUUUGUGGUUACGAAACCACUAUUCCGAUUAGGCCCUAAUUCGGGAUAUUACACCCUAUACUCGUCCUCUAGCUUCACGAGUAAUCUACGUUUCUCAGAUAUCACUCUUUUGCCCCUGGUUGAACUUUAUCCUUGCUUUGAGGCUCUUGUACUUAUCAAAUUCUUAUCCGGGUAAUGCUUAACAUUUUUUUGUUUAGAGUAUGUCAUUUCACUAUUUAUCAAGUAAAUAAACCACAUAAUUAGAUGCAUGAAAAUGGUCAGGUAGGAACAAAAGGAUACCUCACAUUUAUUUAUUUCAAAUGUAGCAAACAAAGAAAGUUAAUCGAUGAUAGUAAAAAAUGUCAUAAAGAGAAAAGGGAUCGCAUUCAAUGGAUACAAAUGCUCUAGAUAUUCAACGCAUAAACUCUUCCACAUUCCUCAAUCAAGAAUCUUUUCGAGCAUGGCUUCUUGCAUAGAAGAUUUUGAGCUGCUAAAAUGCUUCAAAUACUGUAUUCCCGCUGUUUGACCCACCGUGUAAAAUGCCUUACUUUUUAAGCCAGUGCUUGCUUCAUUAGGACGCCCUUUUGGAUUUUCAUCCUAAUCUUUUGUUUUAAUCAAGACGCCCUUUUCGGGUUUUCACCUUGAUCUCUCUCUUUUUUUUAAGAUACCCUUUUUCGGGUUUUCAUCUUGAUUUUUUCAAGCAUAAUAUUUCUUCACAGCAUCUGAAUUUACUGGAUUCGGUAACUCCUUCCCAUCCAUCUCGGUGAGAAUCAAAGCUCCACCUGAGAAAGCCUUCUUUACGACGUAUGGUCCUUCCCAAUUUGGUGCCCAUUUUCCUCGCAGAUCUUUUUGUAUUGGGAGGAUCUUUCUCAACACGAGUUCUCCUUCGUGGAAUUCUCUCGGCCGUACCUUCUUGUCAUGGGCCGCGAUCAUUCUCUUCUGGUACAUCUGUCCGUGACAAAUUGCCUUUAAACGUUUUUCUUCGAUGAGGUUUAACUGGUCAUAUCGAGCUUGAACCCAUUCUGCUUCCUCUAAUUUCAACUUCAUUAAGACUUGUAGAGAAGGGAUCUCAACUUCGAUAGGUAGCACAGCUUCCAUUCCAUAGACCAAAAAGAAAGGAGUUGCUCCCGUAGAUGUCCGUACAGAUGUGCGAUAUGCAUACAAAGCAAAUGGUAGCUUCUCGUGCCAGUCUUUAUAUGUCUCGGUCAUUUUCCUAAUAAUCUUCUUAAUAUUCUUGUUGGCCGCUUCAACAGCUCCGUUCAUUUUCAGGCGAUAGGGCAAUGAGUUAUGAUGCUUUAUUCGAAAUUGCUCGCACACUUCCUUCAUCAUCUUAUUGUUCAGAUUCAAGGCAUUAUCUAAAAUGAUCCUUUUAGGCAAACCAUAUCGACAAAUGAUUUCCUUUUUCAAAAACCUGCAAACUGCAAUUUUUGUCACAUUGGCAAAUGAAACAGCUUCUGUCCAUUUUGUGAAGUAAUCAAUAACCACAAAAAUGAACCGGUGUCCAUUAGAAGCUUUUGGGGAGAUUGGCCCUAUAACAUCCAUGCCCCACAUAGAAAAAGGCCACGGAGAAAUCAUGACAUGAAGGGGCGAAGGGGCUACGUGAAUUUUAUCACCAUAAAUUUGACAUUUGUGGCACUUUCGUGCAAAACUAAUGCAGUCACUUUCCAUUGUCAGCCAGUAAUAACCGUGUCUUAUAAUCUUCCUGGACAUAGCGAAACCAUUGGCAUGUGUCCCACAAAUUCCUUCAUGGACAUCUUCGAGUAUUUUUCUGGCUUCAACAGAAUCUACGCAUCUCAAGAGCACCUGAUCUUUUCCUCUUUUGUACAGGAUGUCCCCAUCGAGAACAAAUCCUGCUGCCAUUCUUCUGAUUGUUCUUUUGUUGUUCUCAUUUACUUGUUCGGGAUAUUUUUGAUUCUUGAUAUAUUCUAAGACAUCAUGGAACCAUGGCCGACCAUCUGGCUCUUUUUCAAUGCUGAAACAAUGUGCAGGGACUUCAUAUAUGCUCAUUUGAAGAGGCAUUAUUUUUGUUUCUCUGUUCGCUUUGAACAUUGAAGCCAAAGUGGCCAGAGCAUUAGCCAAUUGGUUUUCUUCUCGCGGGAAGUAAUUAAAAGUUAUUUCUUUGAAUUCUUUGAUCAGUCCUGCCACUAGAUCGCUGUAUUUGACUAAUUUCGAAUCUCUCACUUCCCAAUCUCCACGGAUUUGGUAAAUCACCAAUGCUGAGUCUCCGUAUACCUCUAAAGUUUUGAUGUUUCGUUCGAUUACUGCACAAAGUCCCAUGAUACAGGCCUCAUAUUCCGCUAUGUUGUUGGUACAGAAGAAAUUCAACUUGGCAGUGAACGGAUAAUGGUUCCCUUCUGGUGAUACCAAGACUGCUCCAAUCCCAUGCCCCAAGGCAUUCGAUGCACCAUCAAAGCUCAUCUUCCAUGAUUUUUCUUUUGAUGACUCGCACUCUUUUUCUGUAAUACACAUCAAGUCUUCAUCUAGGAAAUCAAAUCUCAAUGGCUCAUAUUUCUCUGUUGUUCGAGUUGCUAAAAAAUCAGCUAUUGCACUCCCUUUUAUCGACUUUUGGCUCACAUAGACGAUGUCAUAUUCUGACAGUAGGAUUUGCCAUCGUGUCAUUCUUCCUGAGAGUGCAGGUGAUUCCAUCAUGUACUUUAUUGGAUCUAGCUUUGAAAUUAACCAUGUCGUAUGAUACAACAUAUAUUGCCUAAGUCUCCGAGCUACCCAAACCAGAGCGCAACAAUAUUUUUCAAUGGACGAAUACUUUGCCUCGUGUUCAUUGAACUUUUUGCUGAGGUAGUAGAUCGCUUUUUCUUUCUUUUUUCCUGACUUGUUGUGUUGCCCUAACACGUAACCCAUUAACUUUUCGAACACAGUCAAAUACAGUAUCAAUGGUCUUCCCGGAGUUGGCGGUACUAGCACUGGAGGACUAGACAAAUAUUGUUUUAUCUUAUCAAAGGCCACCUGGCAUUCCUCAUUCCAUUCUCCUGGGUUAUGUUUUCGAAGGAGUCGAAAGAUUAGGUCGCAUUGGUUGGUAAGUUGAGCGAUAAAUCGGGUGAUGUAGUUUAAUCUCCCUAAAAAUCCUCUGACUUCCUUUUGCGUGCGCGGGGGUGGUAACUCUUGAAUGGCUUUUUUUUAUUUGGAUCAACCUCGAUACCUCUUUCACUGACAAUGAAGCCUAGCAACUUUCUAGAGGUAACCCCAAACGUACAUUUGGCAGGAUUGAGCUUUAGCUGAAACUUUCUCAGUCUGUCAAACAACUUCUUCAGGUUCGCUACAUGCUCUUCUUCCCCUCGGGACUUAGCAAUCAUAUCGUCGACGUAGACCUCUAUUUCUCUAUGCAUCAUGUCAUGGAAUAACGUCACCAUAGCCCUCUAAUAUGUUACCUCAACAUUCUUUAACCCAAAUGGCAUUACCUUGUAGUAGAAUGUUCCCUAAAUUGUUAUGAAAGUGGUUUUCUCCAUAUCCUCAGGGGCCAUCUUGAUCUGAUUGUACCCGAGAAUCCAUCCAUGAAAAAAAACAAUGAAUGCUUUGUUGUGUUAUCCACCAACGUAUCAAUGUGUGGCAAGGAAAAAUUAUCUUUAGGACUUGCUCGAUUCAGGUCACGAUAAUCCACGCACAUUCGUACUUUGCCGUCUUCCUUUGGUACCGGGACUAUGUUAGCCACCCAUUCUGGAUAUUUGGAGGUUUGUAAGAAGCCAGCAUCGAAUUGCUUCUUGACUUCCUCUUUUAUCUUUAACAGCAUUUCAGGUCUCAUUCGUCUUAGCUUUUGUUGAAUGGGUUUGCAUUCUGGCUUUAAUGGGAGUUUAUGGACCACUACAUCUUCACCCAAUCCUGGCAUAUCCUGAUAUGACCAUGCGAAUACAUCUUUGUACUCGCGAAGCAAAGCAAUCAAAUUGUGCCUGGUACCCCCUGAAAUAGAGGUGCCAAUCUUCACUUCUUGUUUCUUUUCCUCAGUUCCCAAAUUUAUUGUUUCAACAGAUUCUUGAUGAGGUAAAAUCUGUUUAUCCUCUUGUUCCACCAUUCUUAGCAAGUCAGGAGAUGAGACAUAUUUUUCAGCAUUUUCUUCGGCUUCGAAUUCUCCUAAACAAACAGCCUUCUCAAAAUCGAUUUCAGGACUCGCAACAGGUUUGUUCAUGCCGUUGAUAUCUGAGCAGCUGAAAGUUGAAUGGAAAAGAAAACUAUAGAGGGGCAUCCAAGUAUUGGAACCAACAAACGAAAUGUUAUGGCAUGGCAUGAGCCAAAUGUAAGGAUAGGCUAUGAAAUGAGAAAAUGAUUAUGAAAUUAGUGAAAAUGCGAAAGAUCGUGACAAAAUGCAUCUUCAUUGAUGUUCAUUUAAAUGAUAAAAAGCAAAUCAUAAGCUCUUACAAAAGAAUCCCUACUAUUACUUAGGGGCACAUAAAAAGAAUAGCGUUAAUAUUGAGCGUUACUCUGGAGAAGAUUUAGAAACUACAAGGAGCUCCACAGCAGUCCAAUUGUUCAAAACAAAUACAGGAGGACAAGGGCGUAUCGUUGAAACAUCUUUAAUUGCAUCACUUCCUUUGUCAAUAACAUUUAUACUGACAUUCUGAAGACCCCUUUCAAUUAAUAACAUCGUACUUCGUGGACUAUCUUCCCCGGGGUAUAUCAUUCCUGCAGAUGUAAAUGUUUUUGACAAAGGAGGGUACGUUAUGGGCUUCCAUUCUAAUUCUCGGCCUAAAUUUCUUGCGAUCCUUCUUUCCUGAUCUUUUUUCCAUUAUUUUCUUCUUUGACGUAUGUCCGGCUGGAACCCCAGACCGUAUCGGGCCUUGUGGUGUACUGGCUUUAAAGCCCUAACUAUUCCUUGCAGAUAUCUCCCUAAACAUUUUCUCACUCGAGCUCCCUUUCCUACAGUCAAUUUGACACCUAUUCUAGUAUUUCUUGACAGUUUUGGCAUCGGAAUUCUGUUUCCCUCAGCGACAAAAGUGGCAUUGACAAAUUCAAUGGAUCGGAAGGAACAUUCUAUUGCAUCUUUACUCACUUCAAUGUAUGGUGCGUCGGUAGAAAUAGAUGCUACAAUGUCUUUUUCUCCCUCGACAGUGACCAAACAACCAUCCAUGAUAAAUUUCACCUUUUGAUGGAGGGAUGAUGGGACCGCUCAAGCGAAAUGGAUCCAAGGUCUUCCCAAAAGGAAGUUAUAUGAGGGUGUAAUGUCCAUGACUUGGAACUCGAUAUUGUAUAUAUAGGGACCCACUUCUAGAGGGAUCUCGAUUUUUCCCAUGACUUCUCGUAUUGUCCCGUCGAAUGCCCUUACUGUGGAAUGACAGGGCCUUAAAUAGGAUAGAUUUAUUAGAAUUCUGGACAGCGUGGCUAAAGGCAUGACAUUGAGUACCGACCCAUUAUCGAUAAGCACGUUCGGUAUUAUGUAGCCAUUGUAGCGAGUCGUAAUAUGUAGUGCUUUCACCGAGCCUCUACCGUUUGGCGGUAUCUCAUCAUCACUAAAAGAGACGAAAUUGUCCUUGUUCAGAUUGUUCACCCACCUAUCAAGCUUCUCAGCUGAUAUGUUAUUUGCCACGUAAGCUUGAUUUAGCACUUUCAGCAAAGCGUUCCGGUGUGGCUCUGAAUUUAACAAUAGAGAUAAAACUGAGAUUCGCGCUGGUUGCUUAUUCAAUUGUUCCACCACAUUGUAUUCACUAUGCUUGAUAAAUUUCAAAAACUCCAGUGCUUCCUCCUCUCCCACAGGCUUUUUAGUUUCUGGUUCAGACGCAGUUUCAUGCUCAUCUUCGGUCACGUGCAUUGGUGCUUUUCCUUUCUGUUUCAAGUCACUAUUCUUCUUUGCCGACUCGACUUCUUUAGAAUAGCACCGCCCACUGCGGGUAAAAUGGCCUACCUCCCCAACAUCUCCAGUUGUGGCUUCGAACUUUUCACCUUCAGGUGUGACGAUAUUGACGUCAUAUUUCCACGGUACCGCCUUGUCUUCCUUGUAAGGGAAAAGAGAUGGUACUUUGAUUAUCACUUUCAGUUUCAUCGGCUCCUUCUUCAUGUCGUAAUAAAUUACUAACGGUCGAUUAGCACUAUAAGGGAGACCUGAUGAUUGGCUGUCAGAGGCGCAUACUUCUCUUUCGUUGGCCUCUUCCCUUUUGUUAAGGACCUUAAUCUCCUUAUUAUCCAUCCGGUCUUGAAGAAACCUUUUAAAUUCCUCACACGAUUGAAUGUCGUGUCCUACAAUUCCAUGAAAAUCGUAAAAUCUUUGACCUUUUUCUCCGAAAAUUCUAUCGGGGUGACAGAGCAAUCAUUUCUUAAUCAGAACCUCCCAUAUUUUUUGCAGAGGUGUCCUUAUUUCCGAAACAUAUUUUCUGACUUGUCAUUCGUCCUCUUUCCCUUAUUUUCGAAACAUAUUUUCUGACUUGCCAUUCGUCCUCUUUCCCCACUGUGGUUACAUUCCCUUCGGUAUGGUUAGGGAACGGGUUCCCAGUUGCAUUACUCGAACUAUCGAAUCGUAGGAUGCCCGCAUCAAUGAGUCCUUGAACUCUCCUCUUAAAGGCUAGGCAAUUCUCCGUGGAAUGCCCCUAGUUCCCAGCAUGGUACAACUAACGUUUGGAUCGUACCACUUCGGGUAUGGAGGUUUAAAGGGUGCCAUGUAAUGAGGAGAUAUUAGUUGUUUUUCCAAAAUUUUUGGGUAUAAUUCCCCACACGACACAGGGAUAGGAGUAAAUUGCAGUCUCUCGAGAUUGGGUCUUGGUUCGUUUCUGGGUUGGCUUUGAGUGGAUACAGUGUUUUGUGGGAAUGUGGUGACGAGUCAUUGGUUGUUCGUGGCGUAUACGGGGUAGGAAGGAGGUGGUGCUUGGUAAUAAGGGGUUUGAGGGGGAUAAUAGAAAUUUGGAGGUGGAUAAUUUCGAGGUCGGGGUGGGUUUGGAUAUGGAUUAGGGGUAUAUAACGGCUUCCCAUUCCCACCAUAUGGGCUUCUGGUUCUUUCUUCUUCAUGGGGGCUACCCUUCUUGAACUUUCUUGACCUUCCAUUCUACCGCUCUUGACGGCAUUCUCUAUAAGCUCACCGGAUAUUACAAUAUCCGCAAGUCUUUCGUGGCACUUCCCACUAGUUUGUCAUAAAAUGGCACUUUAAGGUGUUGAUAAAGAGAACGGUUAUCUCCAUUUUGUUAGUGGGGUUUCACUUGGGCCGAGACGUCCCUCCAUCUCUGCGCAUACUGUCUAAAAGUUUCUGACGGCUUUUUCUCCAUCAUUUACAAAGUCAUCCGGUCUGGCACCAUAUCCGAUACAUGCUUGUACUGCUCACAGAAUGCUGAUGCCAAGUCUUUCUAGGAUCGAAUCUUUUCCUUACUAAGCUGGUUGUACCACCGAAAUAGCCGAUCCUCAGGUAUGGCACCAUUCCGAUACAUGCUUGUACUGCUCACAGAAUGCUGAUGCCAAGUCUUUCUAGGAUGAAUCUUUUUCCUUUACUAAGCUGGUUGUACCACCGGAAUAGCCGAUCCUACUAGACUAUCUGAAAACACAUGGUAUGAGUAGCUAUCUUUGUCAUAUAACCGGUCAUCUUCCGGAAGAACAUGAUGAGAUGCGCUUUUGGGCAUCUCGUCCCAUUGCACUUUUCAAAAUUAGACACCUUGAACUUCAACAAGGAAAAAUUAGAUCGGGUACCAAACCUGAGUUCCUUAUUGCACCUAGUGCAGAGAAGACUUCAGUGCCUUCUAUCGCUUUGAGUCUUUCCUCUAGGCUCCUAUAUAUUCUCAUUCGCAUUGUGAUUAUCCAAUUUCAACCUGGCUAUCUCUGCUGGAUCGUCCAAAUUUGGAAUGAGUGGAUCGGUAAGACUAGCCCCCGGGUUUGAUACGAACAUUCUUUGCCCCAAAUUAGCAGGUGGCGCAGGUCGUUACUCCAGGCCGGUAGUUUCCCAUUGAACGUACCCUCUUUGUGUUGCAUGGGCGUGCGGUGGAGUAAAUCCUGGAGGAUGAGGUGGAUCCUGAUCGAGGUUAACCCUUGACUGUGGUUCCACAACGUCAGGGUUCAUAGGUCCCUUUCCUUUUACCAGAGUCGACAUCAUUUCCAUCAUCUUGGCUAUUUGAUCCUUCUGUUCAAGUGAUUCUUCUCGAGAUCUCACUAUCAGAUCUCUGGUUUCUUGCUAUGACUUAGCCAGUUGUUCUUGUAAUUCCCUUUGUAUUCUUUCCAUCCUCUCAAUCCUUUCGUUAAAUUCAGCCUCCAUUACUCUAGCUUGAUGGCGCGUCUUAUAUGAGUGACGUGAUUCCAGGCUUGUGGUAUUACAACUGCCAAUUGUAUGUUUUAAUCUUAGCGAAUGAUUAUGGGAUAUGCAAUGAAUGAAUAAAUGAAUGCAUAAAUAAUGCCAAUCAUGAAAGAAAUGCAAGAAAUUAGUGUUGAUUUCAAGAUAGCCCCUAUUUAGGCAUUUCAUUCAUCAAAAGAGUUCAUUACAAAACAUUUUGCCACUUUCGAUUAAGCUAUUACACAAACUUCCUAGCUAUAUCUCCAUAUUUCUUUACUCGUGCUAAGAAUUCUGAUAUGUUCGAUCUUCGACUUGGAGGGAAUUGGCAAAUGAGAAUUUCAGCUUCUUCCGAUAGUUGUACCACGUGCAUGGCUACCCCACGAAUUUCAAUUAUCAAACAGCUAAGUUGCAUUUCUUUUUCUUGGAGGCCCUCUUCGUAAGCACGAAUGUCUCUAUCAUAUUGACUAUUCUUUUCUUCCAAAGCCGUCAAGAGAGUAUCUAGCUGUUGUUGACGAUCUUGCAGCAUAUCUUCUAAAUCCCGUAUCCUUUCGUUUAGUUCUUGACGUUUAGAUCAACUAGUCAUUACCUCGGCAGACAUAGCUUCAUAUUUGGUGUUCUUCUUCCUUAGCUCCAUCAUAGCCCGCGUAGCCUUUUCCUCCUCUUUCUUCGCUUUUCCUUUCCAAAAUUCCAUCCCGCCUUUAAUGUUGCUUAUUUCUUCUUUCCAUUCUGCCGACGAAUUGGCCAGCCUACUAUUCUUUAUUGCACUUCUUAACUUCUUAUUUUCCAGAUGAAGAUCUCUUAAGUCAUUUCUUACGACUUCAGCCUCUUUUUGUACUUUCUCAGUUCUGGAUCUUUCAAUCUGAACGUCGAUCUUCAAUUGGUAGUUUUCCUCUUAAAGAGCACUAAGGUCCCAAGACAUCUUGGUAUUUUCGCGUUCAAACUCUUAUCUUGCCGCUUCUAACUUAGACGACAUUUUCUUCAAGAAGGGAUUCUAAAAGGCGUAACUCAUUGACGAAACUCGCUGGCUAUUCACCCGUUGCAUUCUCCAUACGUCGUAAUCUUGAGUGAGAGUAUCAGCAUACAGGGCCAACUCCAUCAGAUGAACUUCCUUCCAAGAUUUUGCAGUGCCUCGGACCCUCUUCAUAUAGCCUUCACCCGCAAAAGUAAACUCGGACUGCGCUAUUUCCUCCAGUGGCGGGAAUAAAUUGUCGUAAAUAAAAUUGCCUCUGGACCAUUAAUGGAACGUAUCCAAUUCCUCCCCAUAGCCCGAGUAGUGGUACCCAAUCUUGAUUUCCAACCUUGUAUAACAGAACCGAAGGGCGGAUCCACGGUGCUCUCUAAGUUACAUCUUCAGCUCGAAGGUUCUGAAAAACUGAAGCCCAAUAUUCUUCGGUGACAUCCUUUGGCCAUUCUCUCUCAAUAUAGGCUUCCAAUGGGGCGAAGGUUUUCGAAAAUAUGUGGUACGGUGUGCGCUCUACUUUCCAGAAAUGGCUCAAAAUCCAGACACUGAGUAACUGCGCGCAUCCGAUAAAUCGUCCUUCUCCUUUCCUCCGACAACUACUCAGGGAUCUGAAGGUCUCGACUAGGAUAGUCGGGACAGGGUUGAUUCCUUAUUUUAAUUUUUCGAAGAAAUCCACCACUGCAACUUCUAUGUGUCCAAGGACUUUUGGGAAGAUGAUCAAACCGUAAAUGGCCAAAGCGAAUAGAUUUACCCUUUUCAACAUGUCAGGAUGGUUCAGAACCAAUUCUCGUAGGGGAGACCAUGGAAUGCAAAUGGUUUCAUUCUUUUUCUUUAUUUUUUCGGCCCAUGCGUCAGUCAUGUCUGUCAAUCUUACUAACUUCUUCUUGAAGGUCAUCGGCUUAGGCUCCUUCACAUAUACUUUAUAGAAUUACACAUUUUCAACACGAAGAAAAGCAACGUACUCUCUAUAGUCGGAGUCAUAUCUUCUCGAUUGAAGGUAAAACAUUGGUAAGCCGGAUCCCAAAAUCUGACCAUGGCUUGGAUCAAUUGUUCGUCUACGUUGACAGCAAUCAAGUUGGCUAUGUCUCCAUAUCUUUCAGUGUAGAUACCCCUAGUGUCUGAGUCCCACUGAUUCCAAACCCGAACCAAAUCCUCAAGGUUAUUCUGGAAAACAUUCAGAGUUACAUGCUCGGGCAGAUUGACAAUACAUCCCUCCACUAGACUAUCCCCUUUUUCUUUUUGAGUUUUUAGAGACCAGUCCCGAACCACGGCAUUCUUCUUGGUUGUUUAUGUAAUUGACUCUUCCAUCUGAAACCCGUUUUUUGGCAACCGAUCUCUAGUCAACACCUUUCCUAAUAUGAUGCCUAUAAUGCAUGAUGAAAAAUAAUGAUAAGACAAACAGCCUUGGUUAGUAAUCACAACAAGUAUAAAUUACGGUAAAUUCAGAUAAAAAGUGCAAAUAUCAAAGAGAUAAAAGGUAAGAAGUGCGUCUCCCAUGUACUUAUUUUGGUGACUAUUAACGGACAGAGGUUCAGCAUGGCUCUAAUUAGGUGGCUCAUAUGGUUCACAAUAUGCGGUUUCUGCUCUAGAUAGGUACUCGAAUUAUUCGUACUAUCGUCUACUAAGACUACUACGAAGCCUCGAUCGUAGCCCAUCACAGGCUCACAAGUUCAAUUCGAGGGAUUACAUUUACUUAUGCCUAUGUGGAGGGACAAGUUAACUCACGAAAGCAUAAGUCAUAUGUAACCUGAAAGUAUUCACUAGCCUGUGCGGAGGGACGAGUUAACUCACGAAGGCAUAGCGUUUACUUUCACUUAAACGGACGGAGCCCAAGUAGAGAGCUCAUGUUAUGCAAAAUGCAGGUGCACGGUGUGUGGGGAGAAACUCACAAACCUUUACGUUUUAUUUAAAAACUAAACUACAAAAACCUAAAAACUUAGAGCUGAAAAUCAACAAGAUAAAACAAGUUAGAAGAAUAUUUACAGCAUGAUGCAAAGGCAUGAAUUUUUGAAAACAAAAUUUGAGGAUCACGACUAAACAUUAAUUUGAACAAGGAAGUUCAAAAAUUUUGACAACACGAGUUUAAUUCCAGACACGACUCUCAAAAAGAAGUCCUCAGUGGAGUCACCAGCUGUAGCGACGUAAAAAAAUUUUGCUUCCGGUCGCUAAUUGUGGCGAUUUAAUGAAAAGUUGAAAACUAAAGUUUAAUUUUGAAAUAAAGUGGGAGUCGUCACCAAUCUUUUUUUUAGGUGUGAUCGGACACCUAAUAAAUCAUCUUUUUGAAAAGAAAAUUUAUUCUCGAACAAAAACGAAGGCUAAAUUUAAGUCUACGUCAAAAGCCAGAUAAAAAUCAGGGUUCGGGAGUCGGUUACGCGUGAUGAAGGUAGUAGCACCCUCGUGAUGCCCAAAAUUGGUAUCUUAUAAACACGUGUUGUCUUGAUUUUCAAAAAUUCGAGUUCAAUGCAAGAUUUAGUCGUGAUCCAGUUGAAAAGACAAGAAAUUUUAGUUUUUUUGGUGUUUUAGAAGGGCAUACUGUUUUAACACGAGUCGAUUGAUGUUCACCCAACAUAGCGAUGAAAUCGACGACUUAGUAUUAAACCGACACGUUGCCUCAUGUAUUGAAAUUAAUUAGAAAACAAGAAUAAGAAUUUCGAACUCAUGCAAAGCAAAUAAAUAAAUGACAGAGCUAGAAAUAUAUUGACACAAAUACAAGUGUGACAAUAAUAUUAAAAAUAACAAAGAUAUAUGCGAUAUUAGACAUAAUACUAGAAUUAAACACGAAAUAGAAACAAUGAUUGCACAUACAUAAUGAUGAUGUUAAGAGUAUGUACGUAAUAUAGGAAUGAAAAAUAUUUACAUAAUAAUACUAAAUAUAGGUACAUAAUAUAUAUAUAUAUGCAUAACAUAUUUAAAAUGAACACAUACAAUAUACACAUAUAAUAGACACACACUAAUAAUAAUAGUAAUAAUAGUAAUAAUAGAAAGAUAUAUAUAUACCAAAUAACACCUAACAAUAUGAUAAGUAGCAAAAUGGAAAAUAAUAAGUAUAUUAAUGAGCAUAAUAAAAUAAUGCUAUAAAAAUAUAUAUACACGUAAAAUAUAUGUAAUAAUAUCAGUAAUAAGUAUAAUAGGAAUAAAAUAAAUGUAAUAAUGAGAUAUACAAGAUACAUACAUAAAUACAAGGUUUAAAAGGCAUAUAUAUACGUAAUAUAUAAAAACGUAUAUAUAAUGUUAAAACAUUUACAUAACAUAUACACACAUAAUUAUAAUGUUAAAAAACACACUUAAUAUUAAUAACAAUAUUAAUAUUACAUAAAGGUAUACCUAUAUAUACAUUAAAGAUAUAUACAUAUAUAAUAAAAUACAUGAAUAAUAUGAUAUUAAAAAUAUACGUAAUACGUAUAAUAAAAAUAAUAUACAUAAUAUAAGAAUAUAGGAGUAUAGGAGUAUUAAAAAUAUAAAUAAAAUAAUGAAGAAAUGAAUAAAAAUAAUAUGCACAAUAAUAUAAUAAGAAAAUAUUAUAAUAAGUACUAAAAAAUAUCUAUAUAUAUAUACAUGUAUAAUAAUGAAUAAUAUGAUAUACGAAAAAUAGUAAUAAUAAAAAGUAUAUAUAUAUGUGUAAUAAAAUAUAUGUACUAAUAUUAAUAAUAAAUAUAAAUAAUAUAUACUUAAAAAAACAUAGAUAUAUAAAACAUAGUACUAAAAUAUACAUAUAAUAUGUAAGAAUAUAUAUAUGUAAUAAAGUAUUAAAAAUUUGUACAUGAUGCAUAUAAUAUGAUGUUAAGAGUAUACAUAUGAAAUAUGAUAUUAAAGGUAUGUAUACGUAGUACAAAGAAUGUAUAUAUAUAAUAUAGCAUUAAAAUAUAUGCAUAAUAAAUUAAAGAAUAAUAAUGUUAUAAGCAACUAGUAAUAAUACUUCAUAAAUAUAUAUACAUACUAAAAAUAUACAUAAUAAUAAUAUAUACAUACAAAGUACACUAAUAUUUAAAAAUAAUAACAGUAAAUAUAAUAUUAAUAUUAAAUAAAAUUAAUAUUACAAAUUUAAUUUGACAGCAAAAAUGACAAAAAGGACUAAAUUCGGAUUAAAAACAAAGUUUAGGGAAAAUCUGAAAUAAAAAAAGAAAAGAGAACAACCUAUUUCAACGCGCGCAAAUAGUGGGGGGACUAAAAACGAAAUAAACCCAUUCAAUCAAAUCGCACAAUAUUAUGGGGACUAAAUUGAAAACCAUGGAAAAUUAUGGGGCUGAAUUAAAAAAUGACAAAAGACUUAAUUGCAAAACGUUUAAAAAGCAGAGGGGUUAAAAGCACAAAUAACCCCUCCCUUAAAAAACACACGGAUCCUGCUCGGAGUGGGUCGGGUCGACCCGACCUGGGGCCAAAACGACGUUGUUUUAUUGUUUAAACCGGGGGACCAAAACGCACCGUUUUGGUCCCUUAUAAAAGAUAAAAAAAUUUCAAAAAUUUCAUUUGGGACCAGGGAAAGAAAAAAAAGAAAGAGAGGGGGGAGAGAAAAGGGGUUCCGGCCAAGGGGCACGGUGGCCGGAAAAUCGAAAGGUAUGAUUUUUCUUCCCUUUUUUAAAAAAAAAAUUGGUUUUAUAUUUUUUAUAUGUUUUAGUAUAUAUAUGUGAAAAAUAGGCCUAGAAAACGAAACUAAAACAAAAAAAAUAUUACCUUAGAUUUCUAGUUUUUGAUUUUUGAUAUCUUUGAUUCUCUGAUUUUGAGUGUUCGAAUCACUGCUUGUAUAUGUAUUGUACUCUAACUUAGGUAUUGAUUUUCCUUGAACAUUCGAAUAAACACCAAAAAGAAAAAAAAAAGAAAAAGAGCCGACCCUUUUACAAUGCUUUUCGUGGCUUUUUAUAGCCUUUACAUGGUCUGUUUCUUAUUGUUGCGUGUCUGCUUGACCUUGCAGGUGAGUUGGUGGCCAGUGGAGGUGACCAUGGGGUAGGUGGCGCCAGGGGAUGGUGUUGGCAGAGGCAAGUGGGAGGGUGGUUGCGGCGCUGAGGCAAGUGGGGAGAGGCUAGGGUUUGUGAUAGCUUUUUUGAAUUUGGUUUAGCGUUUGGGUGUAAUUGGGUUGUUGGGUAUUUGGGUUUUUUGGUGGGUUAGUUUAGGUGGGCUCGGGUAGGUUGAUGUGUAUUGGGCUGAUGGUUGUAAAUGUAUUUGGGCUAAGGGUGGGUUAGAUGGUUUAAGGGGUUUAAUGUAUUGGAUUUAUUUGUUGGGUCAAAAUUGGGUAGGUUAGUUGUAAUGUAUUUGGUUGAUGGGUUAUUUUGCUUUGGGUUUUAUUGGUUUAAUGUAAAUAGGUCAUGGAUAAAAUUGGGCUAUAACAAUUAUAUAUACAAAUUUUAAUUUAGUGUAAUUAUAUACGUGAAAUUCUUUUUUUUUUGAAAGCUAAAUUCAUUAAUUCAUUAAAUGAAUGAAACCAUACAAUUCAAGGGAAAAAGGGAAAAAAAUAACAAACACUCGUCGUAGAUGGUGAAAGACAAGCUCCAUCAAUACAACAAAGGUUUUAGCCUCAAUACCAAUAGAACAUCAUGACACGUUGACAAUUGGCUUUGUCAUAACUCAAGUACGACAUAUUUGGAGUGCUUGCAAACACUUAAUAAGGAAAUCAACCCCGAAUGAUCCAAAGCGGCGAGCAAAAAUCGACAAAAGAAUCGAGCAUUCACCGAACUAAAGAGAAUGACAACAGAACCAUCCUUAAAAUCACUUGUAAAACUAAUGUUACAUGCAUAAGACUAAAAAAUGUUCUUUUAAGACUAAAAAUUUAUUAAACAAAAGAAAACAAACAAAAGAAAACAUAUAAAACUUAAGACAACACAGGUCCAAAUCGAUCCAUGAAAUAAUUUAUUAUUCUAAAAAACUACUGAUGGCUGGUGGAGUUUUAGCGAACAACUGACGUCGUCAUCUGUCCGCCACAACUUGUUAAAACAAUAAAUAUACCCACAAAAUAGAUCUGCAAACUAAAAAGAGAGAAGAUAUGUGGAGUGAAUGAGAAGAAUAAAGAAAGAAAGAGUUGGUGGGAGAGAGAAAAAGGCAGACGAUAGCUAAUCUCACUGGGCAAAACAUAAGAUAAGAAGCAAACGGCUUGAAAAAGAAAAACUAUACACGUGAAAUUUUAAUUGUUGUUCAAAUAUAUACUUAAAACUUUAAUUUUAAUUUAAUCCUACGCAUUUAAAGAAAUAAAUAUAUCAAUUUAUUUUUAUAUUGGACAAAUAUAAUUAUUUAUAUAAGUAUUAUAUAAAUAUAAAAUAAUAUUAUAUCAAUAAUUGUGUUAAUAAUUUAUAAAAAUUGAAUUAAAUAAAAAAUUAUAAAAAAUUAAAAUUCAUAUACAUAAUUUUACAUUAAAUCAUAUUUAAUGUAACUUUGAACGGAAUAAUAAUAGUCAUACAACGUGUGGUUGAAAAUCCAGUUUGAUUUUGUUGAAACUAUAAACUCGUUUUCCCAUCAUCAAGUAAUUUAAAAGAAAAAAAUUCAAAAAAAGGAAAAGAAAUUAUAAUUCAGUUUAAUUGUUAUUGACGCUGUAAAGAAAGCGAGGAAAAAAGAAAGCUGGAAAGUGUAAAGAAAUACGAAGCCAAGCAAUGGAACCGGGUAACGAAAAACAACAUUAAAAAGGAUGAAAAUGAAGGGAAGGUUGGAAACGCAAAAAGUCAAUAAAAUAAAAAUAAAAACCAAAAACUUUAAUCUUUCUAAAAUAUUAUUUUUACAUAUGAUUUUGUAAUGAAUUAAUUUAAUUAAUAAUAUUUAAUUACUUUUAUGACUUAUAUUUAGAAAAUAAUAUUUCUUUUUGCUUAUUUUAAAAAAAUAUAUAUUUUUAUGAGAGUUUUUGCUUAUAUUUCUAAUUUUAAAUUUAACUUUUUAUGUUAAUUAAGUCUUAACUCGAUUGGCAUGAGCAUUGUUUUCAAUGUACAGACCCAAAUCUGCCUGCGCUUACACCAUAUCAAAACCAAAAUAAAAAGGCAAAACAAAACAACAAAAUAAAAAUCCAAUAAUAAGUGUCCAUAGUCCAUUUUACAACAACCCAACAACUAAACCAAGCCCAAAUAAACCCUAACACAAAUUGGCCCAAAAUCUAAAAUUUCUAGAAAACCUUGGCAUCAUUCUUGCGCCGCUGCUGCCUUCGUGCCAGCUUCCACGCGCGCCGUUGCUUCAUGCUCCACACCCACGAACGGCUUUUCCACACCAUGCACACCUGCAACAGACUACAAACAAAGGAGCAAUGGGCAACAAAUGACAGCAAUGAAAAUUUGUAUUUUCUUUUUUUAUUUAUUUUAUUUUUUCGGCUAUAAAACUGAAUGAAAACAAUGUAAAUGGGAUCUCUUUUUUGGGUAGAAAUAUACACGCAUAUUUACGCAUACAAAUCAAUACCAAAAAAUGUGAAAAAAGAACAGCUUUCAAGUGGUAAUUUGAAAUAUCAUUUUUCUUUUCAUUUUGCUCUUAUCUCUUUGAUUUUCAUUAUUAUAUGAGUAAAAAAAAAGAAUAAAGGAGAGGGAGGAUACUUAUCGUGAUUAAAGCCCUCGAAUCCUUGUUUGCUUUGAAGAAAUCAAAGCUCAAAUAGGGAUCGAGUGGUUUAAGAAUGGCAAAACCCUCGGAUUUGUGGUCGAACAGGGUCGAUCAGGCCUUCGUGCGACGCCGUUCGCUGAUUACGGAGGCAAAGUGGUGGUUGAGUGAGGAUUUAAGUUCAGCCGAAUGAAGAAGGGAGAUAGGCUUUAGGUUUUUUUAUUUUGAUUUGCUUUUAAGUGGCUGAAUGUUAGUUUUAGGGUUCUUUUUUUUACACAAAGUAUAAAACGACGCCGUUUAAGGGGAGGGGGUCCGCGCGUCAACCCACUCGGAAGCCCGGAUCGGCGCCUGUGCGCUUGAAAUGGGUAAAUUGUGCCCUUCGUCCCUCCCUCUCGCGCUGCUACCUGAUUGGGGCCCUCUGCGCAUUUUCUUUGUUUUUUAAUUUUUUCCCUGAGAUUUACGCAUGAUUGCAAUUUAAUCCGCGGCUAAACGCAAUGUUUUGAUAUUUGGGAUAUUUUCAAUUUUGAUCCUUAAUCAUUUGUGCGCGUACUAUUUCAAUCCUCAGCUCAGUUUUAUUGAUUUGUCUAUUUAUAAAUUAUCCUUCCAAUUUUGUUUUUAUUUCAAUUUAGUUUAUUCUAUGUGUUAUAUUCUUUUGGAUUUAUUUGUUUAGUUAUUUAUGUAAUUAUUUUUUUUAAAAACCUAUUAUUUUAACAUAUUAUUUUGAAC